rnacentral:lncRNA from 1 species
AAGCUCAUCCACCACCUAACAAUAGAACUGUGAAGGGGAAAUCGAGCUUACUGCUAGCAAUAUCUACAUUUGGAUAUCAGAUACUGCCAUUAGUGUGAUUGUGGAAUUUUCUUUUUUUCAUUUAAUUUAAUUUUUCUUUUCAUGGGUUGUUAUCUAACAACGAUUGCUCCCAUUUCAGUUUAGAGUUGGAUGCCCCAAUGAAAAUGGCAAAUGCUAAUUAAGCUAACCGAUGUGAGACCUCUAGAUGAUCACCAUGCGAACGAUCAAGUUCAAAAUGAGGAACCCAAGCCAAAUGGUACUAGCAAAUGCUCCGAUGGGCUUGAAGUGCCAGAAAUUGGCCCUCAAGGUUUGAUAAUGAAAAAGUUUGUAGUGUUGUUGACUUAAAUGAAGAAGAGAUGGUGAUUUCGGUCAUCCUAAUUCUGUACGUGGACUUGAAAUUUCUGAUUUGUCUGGGCAGAAAAGCGUCUUAAUGAACUCUACUCCUGAUAAAUCUCUUCUUGAUUCAGAUGAAAUUUUGAAUGACCAGAAUGUGACAAGCCGAUGUCCAAAAAAAAAAAUAUAUAUACGUGACAAGCCCUAAACCACAUGAGCCAGAAAAUGACAAAAACCAUGUAGUUGUCAACGGAGAUGCUGGAUACUUGAAACAUUCAAAUGUAUUUGAAUGCACUGAAUCUGUUGUCAUUUAGGAGGAUGGUUGAACUUGUGAUGAAUUUGGUGUAAACUACAUUAAUGACUGCACAUGAUAGAACACACAUCGAGAAUAUGCAAGAGCACAUCUCCUCAAUCCGAUCUCUUCAUACACUCAUUCUAGAUGGGGUGAAUUUUUUGUGUGGGUUGGCUUGAUCAGUUGAGCAGGGGCACUUGUAUUUAUAUGCAUCUUCCUAAGAGUCUUGUCCAUCAAGAAACUCUUAAGAAGUCCUUAUUGCAUUAGGUUUAUAACUUCUAAUCCACAAUUAAAAUAGGAAUCCUUCUAGCUCUUAUAUUAGCCUUAAAACACUAACUUUAAUAGAGCUGCAGGUUUAGUUGUUUUGAACUCCUAAUUGAUAUCAAGUCUUAGAAUCCUUUGAUGAUUAUAAGACCACACUUUAAUGGGUUAGACAUCUACACGUCUAACAUUCUCCCACUUGGUCUAAUGAUCAUCAAGAACUCAAUAUCAAUUACUGUAAGGCAUAUGGAACUCAAUUAAACUAUAAUUCCUAAUCAAGUCACUGUCAAUCAAAAGAAUAAGCAUGGAACUAUCAAGACUUAUUGAACAUUUCAAUAUUUCAACGUCUUUAUAAUUACGCAUACAAGCUCUCAAGAUCACAUGGGACUUCUGUCAAGAUUAGAAUGCAGAAUGAUCAUGACCAAACUUAAUUUGUGUUUACAAAGGUCACUUUCAUUCAUAUGCCCUCCCUUAAGAGAUUAUCAAGAUCUCUCCUUAAUGACUCUGGUAUGAAUUCAUGUCUUAUGCAGUGACUGUAGCUAGCUAUACUGCAUGAUGACAUGUAACUGGAUUCAUUUGUCAAGAAUAAUAAACAUAAAAUUGAAGUCACAUAAUUUAUUAAAAGAACUGAACCAAACAGUAGCAAACAAAAUAAUUGAACUGUCUCCAUGAAAAUAAUGAAAUUAAGUGGAAUAAAACUUGACUCCCACUGAUUUUGCAUAUCAAAAUUAAUGGCAUAACCAAAAUCGUAUCAAAUUUCCCAUUAAUACUUUUGGAAUAACCUCAUAGUAAAUCAAUGAAUCAAUGCAAUUGACAGGACCCGCCCCGGAAUUUCCUCGGAGACCAGAGCAGACCCCGUCUUUGUUCUGACAUCACCCCGAUUCCUGGCCCACUUACUACAAAUCGAGACUCUCUACUAAAAUUUUGGCAGAGUCCCCCCUGUGAAUUGAACAAACCCAACAAAAUUCAACCUGCAUAAUAAUACAAAAUAAUCCCAACCAGCAGUAUGCUUUAAAGUGAAUAAACAAUUUACAACAAAAUGGCCUACGGCCUCACAAAUCAAACCCUAACAGGGGCGAUAAUAGAGCAUGUCUAAGAACUUCAAUUUCAACAAAACAGAGUUCAAAGGGAAUAACAUGAAGAAAGAGUCCUACGAAGGCUCAAGGCUCGGAAGCGCACAAUCCGGCUCUGCUGCGGAGCUCAGUCAACUACUGGCUGGGGGGGCAAAACAGAAAAUUGUGAGUGGACAAAAAUAAAUUUAGUUCAGUGUAAACCAACAUAAUAUAACCCCACCGUUUAGAAAACCAUGCAAGAAAUCCCAGGCAUCUCAAAACCGUCAUACUCAAGUAUAUAUAUAUAUAUAAUAUAUAUCAAAACAAAUCGAUACCAGAUGCCAAGUCCGAAAUCCAUAAAGAAUACUUUACAAAACCACCAUACAAAACUUAUAAAUCCCACAACUAAACUCUCGAAAGCGUACCCAUUGGCACGACCGGCAAGGAAGUAUCCACACCGAGAAACAAGAAUGAAGGAAUAUAUAUAAAUAUAUAAUAUAAGAGAUAUAUAUAUAUAUAUAAUAUAAAUAUGACCAUCACCUAGUUGUACCGGGGAAACAAUCCAACCGGGGGAUUGUUUGACUAGUCACCCUGGCAAAGUCCUUAUGAAGAGUCCUCAAUCCACCAUGUGAAGAGUCCUCAAUCCACACCGAGAAACAAGAAUGAAGGAAUAGAUAUAAAUAUAUAAUAUUAGAGAUAUAUAUAUAUAUAUAUAAUAUAAAUAUGACCAUCACCUAGUUGUACCGGGGAAACAAUCCAACUGGGGGAUUGUUUGACUAGUCACCCUGGCAAAGUCCUUAUGAAGAGUCCUCAAUCCACCAUGUGACUAGGGAACAAGUCGUCCAACUGAGGGAACAAUUCUCAGCCAGCAUGUACCUCGAUAACCUCAAAAUCCGUACGUCUGUGAUCAGUCCUACGCACGUAGACUGCCCAAUCAAGGGUCUACAGCAACAUCCCGUCAAGGAUGCCCCGGGUUCCGACAAUUUCAAGUAUCUCAAGUCUCCGUAUCCAAGUUCCAAAUCAGGGGAGGUACAUAGGGUGGUGCUUAUAGCACACCAAACUGACAUUCUAUACCCACCACUUUCCACAAUCUCAUCUCAACAACCCAAGUACCUCACACAUAGCCAAACAUAUAUAGAAAAUUUCAAAAUCCAUAUAUUCAUACUCAAGAUACUCAAAUAUGUCAAAACCCAAAAUAUAUUUUCAAUGCCUCAUAAAAAUAUCACUUUCAACAAUUUCAUAAAUAAUAUAUCCAAAAUACCAUUUCAAACAUCAUGCAUAAUAUUUCCCAAAAUGCAUAUAAAAUAUACUUCCAAUACCCAACUAUGCCAAAGCGCUAUACAAACACCAAGUUCAACUCAUGAAUAUAAUAUAUUCAAUAAAUCAUUAAAACAUUAUGCAUAAAUCUUUCAUCAAUAAAACCAUGCAUAAGAUUUGAAAACAAAGUCCACUCACAAGUAGUCCCACGCUGCUUGACCUUGAGAGGGUCCCGCCUGCUGCGUAUGCAUGGUCGGAGUACCUAAUUCAGAAUACGUACACAAGAUUAAUACGAAGCGUUUCGAACGAGUACUUUGAAUUAAAUAUCCUAAUUUCCCAGGUUUCUAGUAAGUGUACUAGGAAUAAGACAUUCUAAGGUCCAACUACUCAAUUUGGACGAUGGAACAACUUCGGGUGACACUCGGUCAACCGGUGGUCAAACUUCCCAAUUCGGGUCAACCGGGUCCACGGGACCCACGACCUCCGUUUUACAAUCCGUAAGUUCCUAAAGGUUCCACAAGGUCUAAGAUACCCGUCUCGCAAGUUUGGUCCGAAACGGACGGUUAGAUCACUUACGAUCGCACGAUCAGACGGUUAAUAUAAAACGCAAACUUUAAGUUAUUGAAUUGGAACAUCCAAGGCUCCGAUUCAUGAUCUGCGAAGUCCUACACGAUCCUAGGAAUACCUAGAACAACAUAAUUUAAUUGGGAAACGAUCCAACGGUCAGAACCUAUCGAACCCGGAUAACGCACACUAUGCGAAAAUCCGUUCGAUAGUCAAACGACAUCCGAAUUGAGAUCCGCGAAUUCCUACGUACUCGUGACAACCAGGAGAUCGCAUUGGGAUAAUAAUGCCCCUCUGCUACAGUGCCCAUGCGCCGCCACACGCUCGGGCAGCUCGUGGGUGUCCAAAGCGAUAAAGCUUCUCCCGAAAAUCUCCAAAUUACAAGCCACCCCGGCUACAGGUUCUACUCGACGAGUGGAACAUUUUAUUCUACACCCAAGUCCAAUUCGGACUGCAAGUGGUCGGAAUCGGCGUCGAAAACUCACGGUUUAACCCAAAACUUCACGGCUUCGAUUCGGCAACCACCGUCGCCAUGGUCGUCGCACAACCUAGGAAAUAGAUAGAAGGGGAGGAGAGCUACCUGUUCCAAGCGACGGUGCAGCUCACGAUGGCCGGAAACAUCGCCGGUGACGUCGGCAGUUUUGGCUAGUUUUUCACUUCAUUUCCACCGCCGUUCGCUGGGUUUUCGAUCGGAGAAAGGGGUGGGCUGGGUAAAGGAGGAAGAGAGGAAGCUUUUGCAAGAAACGGCACCUGAAAUGGAGCUCGGACGGCGAAGUUCUUGCCGUCUGAAAUUUCGGCGAAAAAAACUGUCGGGGGAGGGGGUUCAGUUGCGAGAGAGAGAGAGAGAGAGGGGAGAGAGAGAGAGAGAGAGAGAGAGAGAGAGAGAGAGAGAGAGAUCAGAUAUUUUAAACCUAAAUUUUGAAAUAUUUAUGAUUUUGCCAUUGUCGAUGUUUUGAUCGUAACUUCCUCGUUACAACUCCGAAUUAAGCCUACCACGUGUCUACGAAUUCGUCUCAGUACAACCUACCCAAAAAUAUCAGUCACUGCCCCAAACACUUUCUGGGCAAGAAAAUGACCAAUUUACCCCUACCCUAAGGGUAAAUUCGUAAAUUCACUUAAAUAAUUUAAAAUAGGAAUUAAAUUUGGAGUCGGGGUGUUACAGCAAUUUCCUUUCAUUUACCUUCUACCUUACAAACUUGAAACAAAAACGUUAAUGCUUAUUAGUAAUCAUAAAUUCAAUGAAAGGUAAAAGUCAUUGAUUAACCACUGUUAAUUGAAAAUAUGAAUUAACAAGAACAAUUAACACAUAAACAAUCUUUGUUUGUACUAGCCUUAAAACCCUUAAUGAAGAACUGGAACAUUAAGUGAUUAACCAAAAACAGUCAAAACUAAAUGUUUGCAACAAGGAAGAUCAUUGAAUGCUCCCACUCAUCGAACACAUGUUUUGCAACCAGCACAUGUAUCAAGAAAUGCGCAUAGAACUGUAAGAUCCCACAUCAACCAACGGAGAAGGGGUGAUGUGCCUUAUAUGUGCACACCCGCAUCCAUCUAGCACGAGGUCUUUUGGGAGCUCACUGGCUUCGGAGUCGUAGGAACUCCGAAGUUAAGCGAGUUGGGGGCUAGAGCAAUCCCAGGAUGGGUAACCCACUGGGAAGUUGCUCGUGAGUUCCCAGAAACAAAACCGUGAGGGCCAGAGAGGAGGGGCCCAAAGCGGACAAUAUCGUGCUACGGCGGAGCCGAUCCCGGGAUGUGACAAGAACAAAUCGUAUUAUUUUCACUGAAAUCGUUUCCUCAGGAUUCAACUUUAAUUCCUUCAAUUUAUUUCUCAAAAUAGCACUUUACUAACACAUAUCUUGAAAAACAUAUAACAUGUCAUGCAGAUUGGUCUUUAGUUGAGAAAUAACAAAACCAUAAUGAAUGCAUUAAAAUUUAUUCAUUUUGUACUUUAAAUAUCAAUUAAAUUUUCUUUAACCAAUACAAACUAAAAACUGUAAACAUUGUAAGAACUUUAGUAGCCAAAAUAAACAGCCAGUCACCCAAACAUUAGUCAUAAACAUAUAGAUGCAUAAAACCAACACUUGAGAUGUAAAACUUCAAUGUGUCAACAACCAGAAAACAGUUCCAAGUAUGCUCCAAAAACUUUAUGAGCAUUAUCAAAAUACAAGAUAAUAAGGUAUUGAGUGUGAAGCCCAAAACUUUACAUCACUUCUCCCACUUGGGCAAACACUCGCUUCUUUGCUAGUGCACCAAUAACCUUAUGAUUAGAAACACUGUGAAAAAAUGGUGUAAAAGAACUUUCAAGGUCUGCUCCUAAUGUACUUUCACAGUAUAAGCCUAAAUGAACAAAACUGUCAAGAAAUUUCCAGCAAUGAUAUGUGAUUACUUGAGAAUUUACCAUAAUUAAUUUAUAAGUCGGAUUAGCUUCAAAUUUCAUGGAAACAAACUAGAGUCAUUAAGCUUUAUACAUAAAAAAAAUAUAUAGAGUCGUUUAUAGCUAAUUAAAAGGUCUAAAAUUGAUUUGUAACUCAGAAAAUCUGUCAGCACAUACUCUUCCUGAACACAGAUCACAAAUAAAAUUCUCACAAAUAAACUAUACAUCCAAUAAUCACGAAAUUUGCAGAAUUCACGAAGACACGUAUAUGCUUAACAUAUCAAACAUUCAGGUCAUUUGAAGAUCUUUAGUUGAGUCAUUCAACAAUCUAUAUACAUAAGGCAGAAACUGUUAGGAAAAUUUCUGUGCAUCUGUUUCAACUUUAUAAAUUCACCAAAAAUUCAAUUCUCAACAUAUUUUCAUGAAAUCACCGCCUACAGAAACCUUAGAAAAUCAUCCUUCUCGCCUAAUUUUUUUUCAUUAGUUAAUUCGAAUUAUAACUUCACCCUAACAGACGAAAUGUUAGCAUAGUUCAAAACUGGAAAAAUAGUCAACUAUAAAUUUAUGAAUGCACCUCAAAAUUUAGUUAUCCUUAUGCAUUCUAAACAUUCAACAUUAAUUUCCAUGUAGGUACAAAACAAUUAAUACCAUAUCACAAAGGCAAAAUAUAAAAUAUCACUUUAUCAAGUUUAAACACUUUUAGCAAUCAAAAGAUCGUUUGCAUCUUGAGUAUCUUAUAUAUUGCAAUGUGCCACUUUUGAUUCAAAACAAAAUUAGUGAGCCUUGAUUAGAAGUGCAAUUUGAUCCAUGCAACUCAUUCAAUUAAGAAAUAACAGUAAUACAAUAUCCUUAAACAUGAUCUACGCUUCAAAUUGCAUGGCCUUACAAAACAGCCAAUUUAUUUUAUGAUGAACAUAACCUUAUGGAUUAAUCCAACUUUACAUGAUUCCAUCAAAUACGAAUUAAUACUUUUAACACAUGUGGAUUAGUCCAACUAUUACGGAUCAAUCCUUUUACAUGUGAAGUUGCAUUGAUGCUACAAAAACAUUCACUUAAAUGCAUACAAAAGGCAACCAAGUCUCAAACAUGUCCAUACAUAAUAAACAAACAAUAUAGCCAAGCAAGAAAGUUCCAAAGUAGCUCAUGUUUCCCUUUAUGUGAUCAACUGAAUUUAUCUUUCCUUGAGUCAUGAAAACAACUUUUAUGACUAUUUAAGACUACUAUUAAUAAAUUAUUAUCAGCAACUCAAGCACGUGAGAUUUAUCAAAACCGAUAAAUAGGACGUGUAUCAUGUUACAAUCCAUAUAACAAAACAAAACCGUAUAUGCGCCUAAUGGAGUUAAGGUUCAUUGUGACAUUCUGAAAAGUUUUUAAAACACAAACAUAUCUGGAUAAGUUGUCCCAUAGUGCUUAAAAAUAUCUGUACAUUAUUGAUUCACACCUGUGGGUUGAGAAUCAAACAUGUUUUUAGUGAUCACCAAAAGAGUCGAUAUAUGAAUUUCUUUCAUAGGUUAAAUUCUCACAUCUGUGGAUAGAGAGAAAUUCCUAUAUUAAUUCGCAUACAUUAUCUUUUGGGUCACUCCACCAUUAAUAUACGUGGAUAAAAUUUCCCCAGGAAGCCUUACUUAAACAUUAUUAACUUACACCUGUGGGUCAUAAGUUAAACAUGUUCCAAAACACUAGACGAAUAUUAGGUCUGAAUAAACUUCUUGUACAGGAAAAUUUCUCAUCUGUGGAUCAAGAAAUUUCCUGUUAGUUUACACAAACCCUUUCUCCAUGUUGUUCCAUCACAUCUGUCAUCAAUUUGUAUUCUUUUCAUCUGUGGAUGAAAAUAGCACAAAAGGCUGCUAGUUGUGAUGCAAUUAUUGAUCAAUUUUUAGAUUGGAAACUAAAUAUGCUAUAGUUAAGCUGCUGUGGCUCGCUUAACUAAUGCAAUAUUCGAGAUCUCCAGUCUUUGACUAAUAGCCUUUCAAGCAUGAAUGAUAAAGACUUUAUAUCGAAAACAUGCUUAACAGAAUGCGUUAGUGAAACAAAAGAUUAGAAAACAAUACAUGCUGAUGUAGCUUUCAGUUUUAGGUUUUAGCUUUCUAGUUCAGUACUUUAAACCUUUAUGCAUAUAUGUACUGUCAUGCUUACUUGAAAACCUAGAAAUCAGCUUGAUUAAAACUACCCAAAAUAAGCAGCGUUUAUGAGACUAAAGGCCUUUGUAAAAUAUGCAAUCAUUCUAUCUCCAUAUUGCAAGCCAAGCACAAGUACCCUUGAUUAUGAUUCCAUGUUUUUCGACAUCAGCCUUAGUGAAAACAUGUCAACUUGAUGAGAUAAAAAACAUUUAGCUUAGUGCUGGAAUAAAAUUAGGUAAAUGCUUAUGUAGCUUUCAGUUUGAGGUUUUAUCUUUUGGUUUGGUACUUUAUAACCUCUCGCAUAUAUACAUCUGCUAUGCUAAUAUAAAAAACCUGAAACUCAGCUUGGUUAUAUAGAAUGAAAUCAUGUGCAAAACAGAAUUCUUGAUCGUGUGAUGCUUUAGUUUAGUAUUGCCUUAAACUCUGAUUAUACAAACAUAUAUUCUUUAUACCGCAAAUCAGAUAUUAAGCAUGCCUGAGAUCAAAACUUGAGGCUAAAAUUUAAUACGCCAUAGAACAUGAUGAUAUUAAAAUUAACACUAGAAAUCUAGAUCAUAGCGCAAAAUGAUUGAUGAGAGAAUCGCUAAAAUGGAUUUCUCCAAAUAAGUCAUGGUAAAACAAUUCAUGACAGGUGCGAUAUCUAAAAAUAAAAAACCUUAUAUGCUUUAGCCAACGCAAGUAUUAGUAAUUAGUAACUGUAGCUUGCGGCAUUUUCAAUUAUAUGUUUGCUUGGUAGAGACAAAAGUAUUACCCUGGCUACAAAAAAAUUUUCAUGCAUAUAUAAUGGUUCAAAGUAUAAUUUGCAAUGUCCAAAUAGGUGAGCAAGUUCCUUCCGUUUUUAAAAUCUCACAACAAUUACAUUUAGAAAAGAUGAGCCAAUUCUAUAGUGCAACUCCUAUGUAUCAAAUUAGAGGCAAUUUUAGCCUUUUGCAUGCACGUCUAUUGAUGGGAAACAGAUAUAGAAUAGGUCAUUCAUACAUACCUCGUAAGCUUAUAUUUCCAUAUUGGAGACCCUUUGAUAUGUCUUCUAGAAUCUUUGAAUUUGAGUCAGGUACAUCAGAAGUCGACACAUUAAAAUCAGGAAGGCCUCCGUGCAUCCAAGAUUUUCCCCACAACGCAAUUGAAUUUCGAAAAGAUGCCUCAAAACCAAAAUUGAAGGCCCUGUCAACAGGCAGCAAAAGAGGAACAACUUUUUGCCUUUGGCAAAAUGCCGCCCAAUUGCAGUGGCUGAAGGGAUGGGUGAUUUCUUUUGGUUCCAAAACAUGCAGCCUAGGCUCUGAUACCACAUGUAAACUAUAUUAAUGACUGCACAUGAUAGAACACACAUCGAGAAUAUACAAGAGCACAUCUCCUCAAUCCGAUCCCUUCAUACACUCAUUCUAGAUGGGGUGAAUUCUUUUGUGUGGGUUGGCUUGACCGGUUGAGCAGGGGCACUUGUAUUUAUAUGCAUCUUCCUAAUAUAAGAAACAGAGUUCAGGGGGGAGAAAGGAGAUGAGAGAUAGAGGAGGAGAGUAAUUGAAUGAACCAGUGUGUUUGGUCUCUGUAUUGCAGCCGUAUAUAAUGUACAGAGAGUAGACUUUCUCAAGUCUAUUUACAGAAAGAAGCAAUACAUGGUAAGUACAAUAAUCUCAUAUAUGUUAUGAAUCAAUUCUAGCUAAUAUGUCGUUGAUCUUGGGAGGAAGAAUCUGUCAAGUCUGAUUUGGGGAAAUCAACUGAUUUCCUGGGAGGAACCGGAGUGAUAUUCUCUUUACCCUCCCUCAAGCGUAGCGGAGCAACGCAGAGAUUAAGCUUGGAUUUUAGAAGUGAAAACCGAUCACGACCGAGACCUUUAGUAAAUAUGUCAGCAAGCUGAUCAGAGGAAGGAACAUAGGAGGUACGAAGAGCCUUUCGAGCAACUAAUUCACGAACAAAGUGGUAGUCGAUCUCGAUAUGCCGGGUGCGAGCAUGAAAAAUAGGGUUGGCAGCCAUAUAGAGAGAAGAGAGAUUGUCAACAUAGAUGCAGGGGGCAGAGCGAAGGGGAAUGCCCAGUUCACGAAACAAGUAACAAAACCAGCGAAGUUCGGCUGCAGUAUGUGCAAGAGCUCUAUAUUCAGCUUCAGUACUAGAGCGAGAAACAGUAGACUGUUUCUUGGCAGUCCAUGUGAGAAGAUUGGGGCCAAGGAAAACACAAGCACCAGUAGUAGACCGGCGAUCAUCAACAGAACCAGCCCAAUCAGCGUCAGAGAAACUCCGUAAGGAAAAAUCAGUGGACUUAUGGAAGAUAAGACCUUGCUCAAGUGUGCCUUUAAUGUACCGAAAAAUGCGCUUGACAACCUGAAGAUGAGAGGUUCGAGGGUUGUGCAUAAACUGGCACACCUGGUUGACAGCGAAGGAAAUAUCAGGUCUGGACAAGGUAAGAUACUGGAGGCCACCCACCAUACUCCGAUAGGUGGAUGGAUCAGGCAAGGGAUCACCAUCCAGACAAGAGAGCCGAGUGUCAGAGGGCAAAGGGGUAGGAGAUGGUUUGCAUUCAGUCAAAUGAAACCGGGUCAAUAAAUCCACUGCAUAGCGAGUCUGAGAGAGAAAUAAAUGGUCAGAAAACCAAUUAAUUUCCAUGCCAAGGAAGAAGUUUAGCUCACCCAUACGGCGGCUGUCAAAAGUUGAACAUAUAGUUGAUCAAUGAAGUGGUUUACACUUGGUGAGGGAGAGCCAGUAACAAUGAUGUCAUCCACAUACACUAGAACAUACACUGUGCAGGAAGAGGAGCGACGAAUAAAGAGCGAUGCAUCAGAGUGACUGUGAACAAAGUGCUGGGCAAGGAGAAAGGCACUAAGACGUUGGAACCAAGCUCGAGGUGCCUGCUUAAGGCCGUACAGAGCCUUGUGGAGCCGACAAACAUACUGAGGGUGAGAGGGAUCAUGAAAACCAGGGGGUUGUUUCAUGUAGACCUUCUCUUGCAAGUACCCAUUCAAGAAGGCAUUACGAACAUCCAAUUGCUGAAGAGGCCAAUGGUAGGAAAGUGCCAGAGACAAUAUAGUGCGAAUGGUAGCCAGUUUGACCACCGGGCUAAAAGUUUCCGCAUAAUCAAAGCCUUCCUUCUGAUUGAAUCCCUUGGCAACAAGACGAGCCUUGUAUCUGUCAAUUGAGCCAUCUGCCCUCCGUUUAAUUUUGAAGACCCACUUGCACCCCACAAUAUUCAUGCGGGAGGUGGCAGGAACUAAGGACCAGGUCUGGUUCUUCAUGAGUGCAGCAUAUUCAUCGUGCAUAGCAUCGAGCCAGUGGCUGUGUUUGGAAGCAUGGGUAAAGCUGGUAGGUUCAAGGGAUAGGGGAUCAGAAGCUUCAGCAGAAAGGGCAAGGGGUAAGGGAUGGGGGCUGGUUUGAGAGUAGAGGGGUUUGGGUUCUGGACCAAAUGGGACAAUGGUUUGGAGACUCUUGAAUUUUUGUGGAGGAUUGGGUGUAUCUGGAGAGUUAGGGAAAAUCGAUGGAUCAAGAGGUGAAGAAGGGGGAGGUGGGGUAAGGGGUGGGGUUGUUCCGUCAAAGUCGAAGGAUAGGUCUGGGGAAAUUGAGGGCGAUGGGUCUGUGGAAAGGGGCGGCGAGGUUUCAGUGGAAAGAGGCGGCGAAUGGGGGAUGUUGGAUACCAGAGAAGGAUCGGCUGGGUUCGUGGUCAGUGUUGUUGGGGAUACAGAGGAGGACAGAGGGGAGAACAAGGGGGUGUCGAAGGAAUGGGGGGAGCUAAUAGGGUCAGAAGAAAUAGGGGGAAGUGAUGGGCCUGUGGGAUUAAGAGAUGAGGGAUAUGAGGGAGAAGGGCUGACCAGAGGAUUAGAGGGCCCAAGAGAUAUGGGCUGGUCGGCAAGAGAGAGAGGUUGAAUCCCAUUUGAGUGCAAAGGAGAUGGAAGCUGGGGCUGCUUGUAAGGGAAGGUUGUUUCAUCAAAGGUCACAUUCCGAGACGUAUAGAUGCGACCUGAAAAAGGAUCAAGACAGCGAUAACCCUUAUAGUGAUCAUCAUAACCAAGAAAUACACAUGGAAGAGAUUUAAAAGAUAACUUAUGCUUGUUGUAUGGCACCAGGUGGGGAAAGCAUGCACAUCCAAAGCUUUUGAGAAAUUUGUAGUCUGGUGAACGGUGAAGGAGCUUCUCAUAGGGAGACAGAUUAUCAAGCUGCGGUGUUGGUAAGCGAUUGAUUAGAAAAACUGCAGUGGAGAAGGCUUCAACCCAAAAACUAAGAGGCAAUCGCGAUUGGGCUAGCAGACAAAGACCCAUUGCAACAAUAUGGCGAUGUUUCCUUUCCACCACUCCAUUUUGUUGGGGAGUGUAGGGAUAAGAAAUUUGAUGCGAUAUGCCAUGAUCACGUAAAAAUGCGAGGAAUAAUUUGUUGAUAAAUUCACCCCCACCAUCAACCUGCAACUGCUUGAUUUGAGAACUAAACCGAUUUUCCACCAUCUUUUUGAAGGUAAUAAAUGUAGGAAAGACAUUGGACUUCUUAGCCAAAGGAUAUAACCAAGUGAACCGAGUGUGGUCAUCAACAAUGGACAAAUAAUAAUGGUAUCCAAAAUUUGAGGGGACUGGCGCGGGCCCCCAUACAUCAAGAUGUAAAAGUGCUAAUGAGGAUUGAGCAUGAAGCUGUCUGUAUUCAAAAGGCAGUCUACAAGAUUUUCCCAAUGGGCAAAUAUGACAAGUUUCAUUGGAGAUAAUGGUACCAUUAACAGGUAAAUGGUACUUAUUCAACAAGGUUGUAAAAACUGAAUGAGAUGGAUGUCCAAGGCGUGCAUGCCACACUUCCUGUGUCGUGCGCUCUCCAUAGAAUGCAAGUUGACGAGCAAGAUGUGGGGUUGCCUGAAUGUGAUAAAGCCCAUCAGAACUACUGCCAGUAAGAAGUACCGUCCCCGCCUUGAUGUCCUUGACAUGAAAACCAUUAGCAUCCAACUCAAAGAAACAAUCAUUAUCACGACAAAGGCGACGAAUAGAUAUCAAAUUCUUUCGUAUUGCAGGUACGCAUAGCACUUCAUUAAGGUUUAAGGACUUAUGUAACCCGGUCACUUUAGUAUUGCCAAUAUGUGUUAUUGCUAACUGGUUCCCAUUGCCAACAACAAUUGUAUCAGUACCUGUGUAAGGCUGGGCAUGCGGUAGAGAAGCGGUGUGGGCGGUCAUGUGAUGGGUAGCACCUGAGUCAAGACACCAAUUGAGGUUUGCUAUAUCAUCAGUAGAAGGAGACGGGUUGACAGCAUUUUCAGCCACGUAGGCAUGAGGCUUACGAUCUGGACAGAAGCGGGCUAUGUGACUAGGCCUAUCACACCGAUAACAAAUGGCUUCUGAGCGCUGGGUAUUUGGAGAAUUUCCAGGUGGUGUUGGAAGGAGUGGUGGGCGGCCAUCUGUAAGAGUUGCGUGAGAAGGGGCAGAUGGUGCAAUCUGUUGGUCGCGAGGCUAAGUGUUGUGUCCUUGUGGCCAAUUUCCUUGGGUUGAUUUCCACGGAUCUGUUUGCCCAUUGUGCCCUUGAAUCCAAUUUCUGCCACGUCCACGUCCUCGUCCAGAUCCGUGAUAGGGGUUGUGAUGGCGACCAGCGGAGUUUGAAUGAGGUUUUCGCUCAUUGGGCAUUCGAUCAGCAGCCAUAGCAACACCUGAGGCCACGUUGAGCGACAUGCGUUUCUGUAAUUGUUCCUCUCUGAGAGCGAGAUCAUAAAACUGGUCAAAACCAAUAUCUGGGUGCAAGUGGAGUGUGGUGGCUAACUCCUUGUAUUCAAGCCCAAGUCCGUCUAGAACAUAGCUAACGAAUUCAUCAUCAUCCAUUGUUGCACCAGCUUGUAUGAGGGAAUCAAGAAGUGAUUUGGCAUGGUUGAGGUAGUCAGUCACAGUUGUGGUGUUGUCCUUCCUGAGGGUGCGAAUUUGGUCUCGAAGGAUUCGCAGAUGGGUACCUGCAAGGGGUGAGAGGCGCUUGCCCAGAAGAUUCCAAGCCUGAUAGGCGGUGGUACACGGGAUGAGUAGAAUCUUUAUGGAAGAGGAGGAAGUCGCCUUGAUCCAACUCAAGACCAGUUUGUCUCUGGCGAACUCAGGAUGCACAGAGCCAUCUUCUUGCACUUUGGGUGGGUCUGUGGUUUUCUUGAUGACCUCUGCAAGGCCAUGCAUCUCCAAUACGUCUUCAAAUUGUGAUUUCCAACUCAAAUAGUUGGUUCUGUCCAUGGGAAUUGGGAACAGAGAUGAGAUGUUGAAAGAGGUGGGCAAGGAUGGGAAUGAGAAUGAGGGUGAGGCAAGCUUUGACAUUUCAGAAAUCAGUUUUGUCAUAUCAAUAUGACUUGAUUCUCUAGACUUGGGUGUGUUUGCCAUUUGAUUGGGUAGGAUCGAAAAACGUGAGCUUUGGCUCCGAAGAGCUCUGAUACCAUAUAAGAAACAGAGUUCAGGGGGGAGAAAGGAGAUGAGAGAUAGAGGAGGAGAGUAAUUGAAUCAACCAGUGUGUUUGGUCUCUGUAUUGCAGCCGUAUAUAAUGUACAGAGAGUAGACUUUCUCAAGUCUAUUUACAGAAAUAAGCAAUACAUGGUAAGUACAAUAAUCUCAUAUAUGUUAUGAAUCAAUUCUAGCUAAUAUGUCGUUGAUCUUGGGAGGAAGAAUCUGUCAAGUCUGAUUUGGGGAAAUCAACUGAUUUCCUGGGAGGAACCGGAGUGAUAUUCUCUUUACCUAAGAGUCUUGCCCAUCAAGAAAAAGUCCUUAUUGCAUUAGGUUUAUAACUUCUAAUCCACAAUUAAGAUAGGAAUCCUUCUAGCUCUUAUAUUAGCCUUAAAACACUAACUUUAAUAGAGCUGCAGGUUUAGUUGUUUUGAACUCCUAAUUGAUAUCAAGUCUUAGAAUCCUUUGAUGAUUAUAAGACCACACUUUAAUGGGUUAGACAUAUACACGUCUAACAUUUGGCCUCAUUAAGCUCUCUAGCUCUAGUACCGUCUGCAAUGAGCUUAAUGGUUUGUCCUUGGUGGAUGCUGGUAUUGGACAGAAUGAUGGUAAGUGUGAUGCUGAUUAGCAUAUUAUGGAUGUCGAGUUCUCGGGCAAAACAAGUCUCACUAGUGAGUCUGGGGUUCUAUGCUUGUAUCGUUGUUGCCCUACAUGUCUAGAUAUCCUCUACAGUUUGACACCAAAAAUUCUUAUUCACAAAUGGGGAUCCAAUAGGAGCCUAUGGAUUGCAGAGGAUGCCCAUGAUGUUGUUGCAUCAGUGUCUGUGGAUGUUCUUGCAGCAGUUAGAAGAAUGAAUGUUUGUGGAGGUUUCAGCAACUCAUUGGAUGAUAAAUUGAGAGACGGAAAUAAUGAGACGUUUGAACGGUCGGAAACAAUUACAUGCCAUUGCAAAACUUCAGGAAAUAAAAGUCUUUUGCCAGUUGAAUGUAAAUGCCACACCAUCAGCGAUAGCACCAUAACAAAUAAGCAAAUGCUUUCCGAAUACUCAUCCCUGUUUGAGUGAAACUUUAUUUUCAGAGAUGGUGUACUGGUUCAUAUGGAUCCUGAAAGGGAUGUUUCUUUUCACUGCAAAUUAGAGACCCUGUGCCUCUGUUCACUUAUAGAAUUGAUAGUAAUGAGCAAGCUACCUUUUCAUUGAUUUGAUCAUUUCGCAGCCUGCAUUUGCUUACCCUGUGGCAAAGUUUUGUGCCGUAGCGGAAUUUAGAUGUGAAAAAUGAAAUUAAAAAUUAUUGGUUUGGUAGGUCUAAACUUUUCUGCAAGUUCCUUUUGGAGUUUUGACUCUCUUUGAGGAGCUAAUCUCCAUGUAAUUAAUACAUUUGGACACUAUUUGUUCAUUCAUUUUUUCGUACUUAGUAGUUUAUGGGUUGAAAAAUGAAAUUAAUAGUUAUUGGUUUGGUUGGUCUAAACUUUUCUGCAAGUUCCUUUUGGUGACUACCUGCUGCCAUUGCUCCUUCUCUCGGUCCCGUGACCGAGAGCGUCACCUUGAUGUGCACCGCCACGCUGCAGCCGCAAGGCGCCACAGUAGGCACCUGAUGGGUAUAUUUUAUAUUAUAUAUUUAACCCCAUUCUUAGUAUAUUUUGGUUAAUAUUUUGGAAAAAUUUUGAUACUUUGAAUUAUAAUUCCAGUAUAGGACUUUCGACUUCCUUUGGAGCAAAACAUAAUCAAAUGGACGAAUUUUAGAGUAAUUCCAGUUGAAAGACGUACGUGAGUCACUUAGCUUGAUCGUAUCAAAAUUUCAGAUUUUUCUACCAAGCAAUUAUUUUCUGGCAAUAAAAUAAAGCAGCAGUGCGCGAUGUUGGAAUAGUGACAUUUUGGGCUUUUAUUGCAUUUUGGAGCCCAAGAUGACCUCGGAUAGGUUCGUGGCCUUCUGGAGAAGUGUUCAGAAUAUUUUUAUCUUUAAAACAAGCUAUCUUGGGCAGGAUUUGGAGGAGAUUUGAGGUCAAAACGUGACUGGGCAGAUUGUGGGCAAAUUCUCCUAAUCCAAUUUGGAUUUUAUAUCCUAGUAUUAUUUUAUUUUAACUUAGUUUCCUGGUGGAGAUUGGGUAGCUAGGUUUUAGGAGGUAUUUAAGUUCUUUCUCGCAGCAAUUUUGUGGACUUUUUCUUUUAUGCAAUUCUGGGGAAGACAGAGACUUUGGCUAGGGUUUUGAAGAGCUUCUACUUCAAGGUGUUUUUAUUCCUAUUCAUUCGAAUGAUAUUUUCUUUGAUUUUAAUUAUGAGUAUGCGUAACUAAUUCCUUUUGCUAGGGCGAGGCCAUAAGCCUUAGCAUGAAUAUGUAAUUUUAUUAAUUUGCUUAUGAAUGGAUGCAUGUUUGCUUUGAAUUAUUAAUCACUGCGUUUAAAACUAUCUAUCUAUUUUAAUGACUGAUCACCAUUAUGAGAUGUAGACAAGUAAUUUGAUGCAAUUUCUGUUGGAACAUCACCCUGAAAUUGAGGAGGGCUUCUUGUGAUUAGUAAUUGUAAGUUCACUUAAGGCGAACAUCACGCUCUUAAGGGUUGCAUGAUUUUUCGAAGGGUUUUCACAAAGCUUAAUGAGUCUUGCAUGUUUAUAUUUGAUCUGAACGUCACAGACGGAUUGCAUGUUAGAUAUAUGUUUUCGCUUGAACAUCACAAGGAAAAUAUGCAUUAGGAAAACCUAACCUUCAAGGCAUAUAUGUGAAAAUUCAUAAGUAAUUGAUAGAAUUGCAUAGGAUUGUGACGGUGAUGACUAAGCCCUAGUUUUCUCUAAAUUGUUAGUCUUUAAAUAGAAAACAUUUUUCUUCUUUGCUGUUAUUAUUUCCCAACUUUCAGAUUUCUUUUACUGCUAAUUUAAUCUUUUCAAAUUCGUAAACUUCAAAUUGUUGAUAAAAUCUAUUUUAGUUAUUAAUUAAGAGUUAGUUUAAUUACAAAUUAGUCAAACAAUCUUUGGAGACAACGACCUUGCAUGAGCACUUAUACUACAAUUACCUUGUAUUCUUGCAAGUAUUUUCAGUAAUUUUUACCCUAUUGCGCAGGUUCUAAAAAUCCUACCAAGAAAUUGGCGUCGCUGUCAGGGAUUGUUUUAACUAAUUUGUUUUUAUCAUAUUCUUAGUUGAUUUUGUUUAAACUUUUUUUUUUUCCGUCAAAUUUUUUAUUUUUUUUUAAAAUUGAACAUUUUCUUUUCUGUUUCAUAUUCUGCCGACUGCAUGGUCCAGACCAGAUUAGGAAUUGCACAGAUUGCAUAGUUUGAUCCAGAACCAGAGCACAUCCUGCGCAGACAGCGGCGAGAAGUUAAUUGGGCCUGGGACUGUUCACUGUAGGGCACUUUUCUGCAGAAUUUGUUUGCAGACGAGGGAAACAUGGCGUUAGAAUUACCUGCAGUAGGCAAACCACUCUGGGAGUCGUUGGCAGCCCGUGCCACUGAUGCCCCAAUUGCAUUGUGUAUCCCGAACAAGAAGAGGGUGAUUCGUUUGAGAUCAAGCACCACAUGCUUGAGAUUUUACCAACAUUCUGUGGGCUGCCUAAUGAAGAUGCGAACAUACAUAUAGAAAAAUUUAUUAUGGGUUGCAAGAAUAUUUUGAUUUGGGGUUUUUCUGCUGAAGCUAUCAAGUUACGUCUUUUCCCUUUCACUUUGAAGGACAGGGCAGAAACUUGGUUAUUCACUCUACUAGCUAAUAGCAUUACUACUUGGCAGCAGUUACACACAAAAUUCCUGAACAAAUAUUAUCCAGCAUCCAAGACAUUGAAUUACAAGAGGGAGAUCAAUAGUAAUCAACAGUAAUCAGCCAUCACAUCCGCCACAUAUUAGAAAUCUACUACCUCAUUCUUUGGGGCAGAGUCAGUCAGAUCAACAGUAAUUAGACAAUGAAGAGAAAAUGCUCAACUCAAGGGCUGAAAAGAAGCAAGCAAUCACAGUUUCUUCCUAUGAAUCAAGUAGAUCUGAAGGGAGUAGAACAAGGUGAGGAGAAAGCAAAUCCCGUUCCAGACAGUCGAGCAGUCCAAAAAGGAAAAGGAACAACUACUGCCUAAUAGCAAUCAAAGAAUCAGGACCAAGUCAAGGGAAUCCAUCCAAAGGUCUCUCCUGAAGAAGGAUGGAAGCCCGAAAAGGACGUCGAGAUAGUACCCCUUAAUCUUGACAAGCCAGAGAGAAAAACGUGGAUCGGCUCGCGCCUAAGCCCAUAUGAAAAGGCAGAGCUUGUAGCCUUCCUCCAUAACAACAAAGACGUAUUUGCAUGGUCACCAUCCAACAUGCCAGGCAUCAAUCCCCAGAUCAUCUACCAUCGCAUUCACGUCAACCCAACCAUCAAACUAGUAGCACAAAAGAGAUGCAAUUUCACUCCCGAGCGAGUUGCCAUCAUUGAAGCUGAAAUCGACAAACUCCUAGCUGCCGGUUUUAUUGAAGAAGUCUCCUAUGUAGAAUGGCUGGCUAAUGUUGUUCUAAUAACAAAAAAAAGACAAGGGGCAUGUGGAGAAUUUGCUUUGAUUACACCGAUCUCAACAAGGCAUGCCCCAAAGACAACUUUCCACUAUCAAGAAUUGAUCAGUUCGUAGAUUCCACUUCCAGCAAUCAAUUGCUAAGCUUCAUGGACACUUAAUCCUACUAUAAUCAAUUCAUGAUGCACAAAGACGACAAAGCAAAAAAUUCCUUCAUCAUUGAAAAUGGUACAUAUUGCUACAAACUCAUGCCUUUUGGGCUGAAGAACGUCGGAACAACUUACCAAAGGCUAUCAAAGGCCAGUGAACAAAAUUUUCAAGGAUCAGAUUGACAAAACUAUGAAGGUCUACAUAGCGACAUGCUAGUCAAAGCGCCCCAGCGAGCAGACCACAUCAAGAAUCUUGCCGAAGCAUUCAGCCUGCUCCGAAGCAUCUAGCCGAUUUUGGGAUAGUCACCCAAAGAGGCAUCAGGGCAUAUCCGAAUCAAAUCAAGGAGAUACUCAACAUGAAGUCACCUGCAACGACAAAAAAGAUACAAAGUCUAAUGAGCAGAGAAGCAGCUCUCAAUUGAUUCCUCUCGAUAUCUACUAAUAAGUGUAGGCCAUUCUUAAAAGUCUUUAAGAAAUGACAAAAAGACAAAUGGGACGAAGAGUCAAAGUAGCCUUUCAAAGCUUGAAGACCUACCUCACUUCGCCUCCCCUGCUCUCAAAAUCGAUACCCGGUGAAGAUUUGUUCAUCUACCUGGCGGUGGCCAACUCAGCUGUGAACUCAGCUCUCAUAUGAGAAGAGCUGGGCGCACAACAUCUGGUAUUCUAUAUAUCAAAAGUUGUCCCCGACGCAUAGACUCGCUAUCCGAAAAUAGAGAAGGUCAUUUUAUCUCUUGUAGUUUCUACGAGAAAACUAAGACUACUAUCAAGCUCACUGGAUAAUUGUCAUGACAAAAUUUCCUUUAAGAUCUCUUAUUCACAGCCCCGACGUUUCUCAAAGACUCAUGAAACGGGCUGUCGAACUUAGUCAAUACGACCUCUUCUUUCGGCUGAAGACUGCUAUAAAAGUCGAGGCUUUAGUAAAUUUUGUUGUAGAGUUUACUCCGACAGUCGAAGAAGAGAAGUUGGUCAUAAAAAACAAGAAAAAAGUAAACGAUACCUCCCUUACCCAUCCAAGCUUGCCCAACGACAUGUAGCAGUUGCGUGUAAACGAAGUAUCAAAUCACAAGGGAGAUGGACAGACGUCGUCUUUGAUAGGACUUGACCCAAAUUCCACUUUGGAAUUCGAGCCGAACCCUGUGAGUGUCCGACACCUGGCUAAAGCCGGGCACAAAGACCAAACUACCCUUCUAACUAAAAAUCCACUUUUAAAAUAAGAUUAUCUUCUGCCGAAAAUUCGGCAGAGUUUCCCCUGUCAUUUACUCAUUUCCCAAAAUCUCCACCUGUCAUCAAACAUUUAUAUAACUCAAUCGUUUAGCAUGCAUUCAAUUAUAUCCAAACAAGUUAAGCAUCAUAAUAUACUGAUCUCAGAUAGCAAUAAAUCAAAUAAAUCAAUCUGCUAAUAAAAUUCUUCUCAACUUUCAGAACAACAAUACUGUUAUAAAACUAGAGGGAGAAAAUGUAGAGAGAAGUGAUAUGCUAAAUAUAAAGCUUCACUAUGUUUUUCCUCCCUUAAUCUUUGGUAGAACCACCUAUUUAUAGGCUUACAAGAUAGAAGAUUGAAUACCAUCAUUUACAAUAUACUUAUAGGUUACAAGUACUAAUUACAAAUACUUAAUGCAUAGGUUACAUAAAAUCCAACGGUGGAAUAUUAAGAGGUAUGGUGGUCAUCCACCAACUCAUGCAUUUACAACACUCCCCCUUGGAUGUCCACCAUACAAUGACAUUGUUUCCUCAUUAAAAACCUUGCUUGGAAAACCCAGUGGGACAAAACCAAAGCGAAGGGAAAAAGAGUGAAACUUUCUUCUGAAUCAUUGAUAUGGUGUUGGAUGAGCUUAUAUUGCCUCGUUAAAACCUUGCUAGGAAAAAACCCAGUGGGACAAAAACCUAGUCGAAGGGAAAAAGAGUACAACGCGCAUCUGCCUUGAAUGUAGUAGAAUUGGGAUGCUCCCCCUGAUUGAUAUCUCCCCCUGAUUAAUAUCUCUCCUUCUCUGAUUUGAGCAAUACAAGCAAUAUUGUCUUCAUACAUGAUCAUCUAUCACACUAUUCAACCUGCUUUUCACUUUUCAAAUGAUUGAAAUCUUUAGGAGUAUCAACAACUAAUUUAGUAGUCAGAAUAUGUUACAACAAUAUCAAAUUUGAAUUCAAAAUACUCAAACUCUUAGUGUUAACUCUUAAUUAAGAAUAUUGUGGUACUUUAUAUCCUUCAAGAGGUUGCUUCAUCCGAUAUAUCUCAAAUAUUUCAUGAGCUUUGAGGAUUUCCAUGUACCAUAUAGUCUUAAUAAAUAUGCAUUUAACACAUACUAUAAGUUUUGCGUUAAAGUAACAACUGCACUUAUAGAAAUGUGGAUGCAUUUACGAUGAGAUUGGAGACUAAAACCACAUGUCUCUCCCAGGAAACUUUAUGUCAUAUUAGUGAUCUUAUUUCACUUCACAAACACCAAUUCGUAACCUUCAUACUGAACAUUUGUAAUUUGGUGUUUGAGUUAUAGGUUCAAUAUCCAACUCUUCUUAUUUAGUGAUAAAUGGAAUUGCCUAUUUCCAUUUUUGGCCAAUCACUUAACUUGUCGACAUUCAUGAAACGUGAUUUAAUAUAAUCAUAGCCCUUGAUGAUUGUAGUAUCUACUAAUAAACCAAAUGUAUCAUCAAUUUGUGAUCCCACAAUUCUCAUGUGCAUGCGCAUGCAUAAUUUAUAAGCAUCUCAUUACUUUAGGGUACCAAUGCCUCUUCAGGGGCUUAUGUUGUCACUUAUGGGACAAACAUCUCUUUUAAAAUGAAUUAUUUAGAAUAUGUGGAUCAUAACCUCCUAUAGAGCGUUAUUUUUUAUAGGGCUUGAAUUUUUCAAAUAAUCUCCAUUUCUGAGGAGUUAAGUCUUUAGAACCUAUAUUUCUGACAUGCUUCAGGCAUGCAUUAAAUAUAUAGUCACCAUGUUAAUGGAUUGUGAUACGAGAAUAUCAAUCCAUGUUAGCAUAUGUACAAAUUAUAUAUGCAUUAUCUUGAUGAGACAAAAGCGGAUUGAUUCAACACUAUUUCACGACGUUCUUUAGGAAUUGUCAUUUCUCCCCCUAACGGCGGGAAAAUUGUCUCAAAAUGUAGGAAAAUAAACUCACAGUCGUUAUCAAAUAUGUGACCAUUUUAGUAGGCACAUUCAGUAAAACUGGUGAAGUGAUCCAUAAUUAGAUGUUGUAUAGGCUCACAAAUAUCCCCUUGAAUUAUUUCAGGAAAGAUGGCUCAAAGUCAAUUUUUGACUGAGAUGAUCUUAUGACAGCUUUUAUUUGUGAGCGUUCUUUGUAAUGAUAUUGUUGGACAAGACAAUAAUUUGAGUCUUUAAACGAUGUCCUUACAAAUUUAUAAAAAUCUUAUGCAUCAUUGUGGGACAUGGAUUGCCAAGAUAGUCAUGUCACAACAUAAAAGUUAUUCGGUCAAUGAACUUCUAGUUCAUGACAUCAUAAUCUUCAACUAUAAUAGUUGUGUAAUAUUGGGGCCUCAAGAACUUUUGGUUCAUAACAUCAUAAACUUCCUACCCACAAAAGAAAGUAGGAAGUUUCUCCAAUAGACGCCUCUGGCUAUCAAUAUUGGGGCGGUAAUACAAAACAUUACCAUUGUAAAACGAAAUUAAUUAAUAACCUAACAUAAAUAAAAUAAAAUAUAAUAAAAUAAGUAAAGUGGUAUAAACAAGGAAUAAAAUAAAUCAAUUAAAGAUUAUGAAAUUCCAAGAUAAUCCAAUAUUAAUGUGGAUUCAAUAUAUAGAUAAAACUACAAGUUUAAGAAUUGGAUUUCCAACCAAUUCAGGUUCAUAUAGGCACAAAUAAGUAAUGAACUUCAAGUUCAUAUAUAGUAUUAAGAUCCAUGAAAAACUAUGAACUUCAGGUUCAUAUCAAUAUAUAUUCGAAACUUCAGGUACGAAUACGUAGAUCUAAAUAAAUUGAAUUAAUAGUUGUGCUUUGAACUUCAUACUCAAAUCGAUGUAUAUGCACUCGAAACUUCUGGUUCAAGUUCUUGACAUAUGUAGGCCUCAUGGAAUUCUGAUUUUGAUUAAUACAAAAUCGAGGAGUUUUAUGUCCUUAUGUGCUCUUUAAAUUCGCGGAACUUCACGCCCUCAAUUAUUUGGAAUCAAAGAACUUCAGGUUCUGAUUCAAUCAAAAGGACUCUAUAUCCUAAUCUAGUUAUAUGAUGAGGAUCACGGAACUUCGGGCCCCUGAUCUUUUGUAUAAUUCAAACUCAUCAUAAUAAUUAAGAUCAUACUUAAAAUUAAAUAAACAAACAAAUAAAAAUAAAAACAUGGCAUUAUAUUCAUGUGUAAUAAGAAUAAGAAUUUUUUUUUUCUUAAACAAGCAUGAUGAAGUCUGAUGGUGAGUACAAAGAAACUCUAUACCAUGUGAUGACUCUAGCUCAUAUAAGAAGAAAGAAAAUUCAGAGAAAGAAAACAUACCAAGAGCAAUGUCGUGCUGAUAACGUGUUAUAAAACUAGAGGGAGAAAAUGUAGAGAGAAGUGAUAUGCUAAAUAUAAAGCUUCACCAUGUUUUUCCUCCCUUAAUCUUUGGUAGAACCACCUAUUUAUAGGCUUACAAGAUAGAAGAUUGAAUACCAUCAUUUACAAUAUACCUAUAGGUUACAAGUACAAAUUACAAAUACUUAAUGCAUAGGUUACAUAAAAUCCAACGGUGGAAUAUUAAGAGGUAUGGUGGUCAUCCACCAACUCAUGCAUUUACAACAGUGUUGGUAAUCUCAAACAUUCUAACUCGUGGCUGCACCUUGUAACUAUAGGCUGCCUACGUACCCUUACUGAGGGAUCAAGCAACACGUAGUUCUUUAAUUGCAAAACCACUCUAGUUCUCAUAUUUCAUCUCAGCUUUUUAUUUCAAACUUCCUGGCAUUAUUUCUCACAUAGUAAUAUAUAAUUAAAUGAAGAAAUAAAAGCAUUUAUAUCAAGUAAUCAUGCUUGGAAAGCCAUAACCAUCAAUUCCUCAUGACACCAAUGGUGACACGUCUUGACCUGUAAUCCUCGAUGGACUUAGGAGACAUCUGGUCAACCUGGUCCGCAAUCCUUGCUCCCGCGGUCCGUAUAACCCUAAGACUUGUAGGGCAAAAUAUACUAAAAAACUCAAGGUAUUUAAUACUAUAUAAAAUAAUGCAAGAUAAAGAUAAAUGAACAUAAUAAAAUAACAUAAGUUAAAGAUUAUAAGUUCCGAACACCCUUGUAUUGAACUCACGUAAAGUUCAUAAAUAAAUAAAUAAAAAUAUAUAUAUAUAUAUAUAUAUCAAUAACUUGAUUAGAAUCUAUAUAUAUUUCCAUCUAUCGCUUGUAAAACAAAUGUGACGCUUAAGAAAAUAAUGGUAAUUGUAUAAAAUCCUCAAUUUAGUUUAAACGCAUCUCAGAACUUAAAUUCUCUCCACCUAGGCAUACCCCCAUUUCUGAUCCGUCAAUUCCUUAAUACCGUCAAUUCCAAUAAUAAUCCGUCAAUUCCAAUGUUAGUUCGUCAAUUCCAUCCUCACAGGCCUCGGAAACACAAGGUUAACCGAGCCGCAUUCCUCGCAGGUCUCAGAGAUAACACUUCAAUCUGAGCCGCAAUCCUCACAGGUCUUGGAGAUACCACUUCAAUCCGAGUCACAUUCCUCGCACCACAUGGUUCAGGUGUCCCCGAAACUAGUGGGGCAUGUCAUAAAUGAUAAUCCGUUUUCAAAGACAACUAGGGAGUACCCUCAUGGUGGGUUUGAAAACUAUAACUCGUCAUUUAUAUAAACUUUCAAUAAAUUGGUUCUCAACUAAACUUAAAAUAUAUACAUAUAUAUAUAUGAGAUUCUUGUAGAAAUGUCACCUGAACUUAUACAUCAAUUUCAAUUUGUCACCUUAAAGAAAAAUUUAAGCAAAAUGUCACCUUAAGUUUUCAAAAUCCAUGAUUUGUCACCUGACUUUAACAUCAUCCAAUUUUUCAUCCAUUUUAAAGGGUGUUUUAGUCUUUCCAAUAUGUAAACCCUCUUUUUUAUAUAAUUUAAAUAUAAAGCUAUGUAAACCCUUUUUCUUGGAAAGACUAAAAUACCCUUCAAAAUGGAUGGAAAAUUGGAUGACGUUAAAGUCAGGUGACAAAUCAUAAAUUUUGAAAACUUAAGGUGACAUUUCACUUAAUUUUUUUUUAAGGUGACAAAUUGAAACUAAGGUAUAAGUUCAGGUGACAUUUCUACAAAUAUCCCUGUAUAUACCACAAUCUGAUAAAAGCCAAAAGCUAAGAUUCAUCCUUUUCAACUACUGAAUAUAUAUAUAUAUAUAUAUAUAUACCCCAAAUACUUGGCCAGUUUGUUAACUAUUUCGAUCUCUGCUUAGCAUACCAUUCUAAUAUUAUAUUUAUGCUCUUACCGCACAAUUAACCAUAUGAACAUAUAUAAACAUGUGAUAAAUAAACAGAUAAUUAAAUACUCAUUUCGAAAUCACAUAAAAUCAUGAAAUUAAAACCAUAACUAAACCAAAUGAACACUCGCACACACAUGAGCUUUCUAAAAGCUCAACCAUAUCCUAUGGAGCUCAUCCUCAUUAUUUAAUCCAAAGUCCUGGCCCUGGGCUCCUAGAAGUGCGUGCAUUGUAUUUGAAGUCAUUCUCAAGUCUAUGUAAGCAUUUCCAAUGAUUAGAACGGUCUAGAAGUGCCUCAGGACUCAAAAAGCGAUAAGUCCCAAAAAGUCAACCUAGGACCCUAUGGGGUCCACGACCUCAAGAUUCCAAUAUGAGAGUUCCUAGAGGUCUUAACAUGCCUAGGACACAUGUCUCGAGAGUUUGGUCUCGAUCGGACUGUCGGACUACUCACGAUCGCACGAUUGGAUGGUUAUUGUAAACCUAACCCUAAGGUUGGCCUUAUCGGAGUAUCUGGGACUUCGAUUCCCGAUCCGUUGAAUCCUGCACGAUUCAGAAAUUGUCUAGAUUGACAUAUACGAGAAUAACUAGAUCCAACAGUUCAAAUGUAUCAAACCCUGAAAUUGCACAAUAUGCGAGAUCCGAUCGGGGCUCAAACGUUGUCCAAAUUGAGAUUCGCAAAUUCCUACACUCUCUUGAUGACACGAGGAUCAUUCUAGGACUAAGAGUGGGUAGCUUGAUCAAUUUUCGGCAGCAGGAAAUACUCCAAACUGCCAGCCCAAACUCCUAUCUUGGGUAUAAAACCCUAUUUGGAACCACUUUUGAUCGAACCUACCUCGAAAAAUGACUGGAAGUAGCCGGAAUCUCAUCCCGAAAUCCGGCCAAAUUUUGGGUUACAAAUCGAGUUGCCUACACUAGAAAUUGAUCAAAUCCUACACAACCAUCAGCUAGCACAUAUUGAAAGGAUGGAAAAACAGACCAAAUUCGAAGAAAAUGGUGGCCGGAGGUGUCCGAACGAGCUCCACGAAAUUUUGUCAAAAACUGUCCAAACCGCCCUGCUUCGUGGCGGUUUCCAACGACCAUGACUGCGGAUCGAGGCUGAGAUGGACUGGGACUGGAAGAGGGAAGUAUGACGGUUCUAAUGGGGCCGGCCUUGCUUGAAUUGGUGACCGGAGUUGGGAAAAAUCACCCUUUGAAGUUGGCUCGUCAAAACUGCCCAGAGAGAAGAAAUCUGGGUUUUUAAAAAAACUAAACUUACCCGUAUGCCACUGAAUUUCUUUUGAUUGUCAUAUCUCCGUUACAACUCUGAUACAGGUCCACUACAUGUCUACGGGCUCAUUUUGACGUGCUCUACACAACAAUACAAUCAGAAUUUCCAAAUUCCUUUCCAAACUUAAAAUGGCCUUUUGCCCCUUAUAAUAUUAAAUAAUAUUUUAAUUUCUCAAAAACCUUACACUCCUACAUUUUACACUUUGCGCGACGAAGAGAAUUGCGUCGCGCAAAAUACAUUGUAGUCGCACAAAUUUCAGCGCGACAGAAACUUCGUCGGGCAGAAUCCAUCGUGCAAAAAUCGUGAAGAAAGACUUUGCGCGAUGAAAAAAUAUUGGUCGCGCAAAGUCUUAAAAAAAUUUAUAAAAAUUAAAAAAUUCCUACGUCCCAUUUUUGGUACUCGCCCAAAUUUUUAGAGUUUUGCGCGACGAAUACUAACGUCGUGCAAAUAUUUGCCUGACGAAAUAUUUUUUGUGUUUAAAAUGUUUUUAAUAAAGAUAAACUAAUUUUAAUAGUUUGCGCUACGAAAUAUUUUGUCGCGUAAGGUUUUUGACUUUUUGUUUUAUUAUUUCUUUAAUAUUAAUUUAUUUAUAUUAAUUUUUUAGAAUUUUUACUUUUUAAAUUUAAUUUAAUUGUAAGAUUUUUUUUAAUUACUUUAAUUUAAAUUGAUAUAUUCAAAAUAAAAUUACAUAUGAAAAAUAGUGAUUAAAUUAUCCAAUAAAUAUAUAUAAUAUUGUAAAUGUACACAUAAAUUAACAAAGUACAAUAAUAAAAUCCUAAUACAAGUGUAUUGUGGUGGUAGUGGCAGAUGAUAUGUUUUGAUAGCUUCCUAAUCCUCAACUUUAGCCAUCAAAGUCUCGAUGAUUACCUACCAAAAAAAAAUAUGGUCAAAUAACAAAAAAAAAAAAAAGAAGGCAUAAUCUACCAUAAAAUUGUUAUACCACAAAUCCAACCCAAACUCCAAUCUCUCCCCUUUACUCAACACCAAACCCCACACAAACUCAAAACUAACUCCAAAAACACAUAUUAAUGAAAAAAAAUUUAAAAUUUGGAGAGAAUAUACCUUUUGGCAAGAUUGAGAGUGAUUGAGAAUGAGAGGGAGAAGUGAGUGUGAUAGAAUUAGAUAAGAUAGUGACAGAGAGAUGAGAGAGUGAGAGAUAGUGAAAGAUAGAUGAGUGAGUGAGUGAGAGUGAGAGAUAGUGAGAGAAAGGGUGGGAUCUGGGGAGAGGGAAAGAGAGAGGAGAGGUAAGAGUAGAGAAAGACAUUGAGAAAAUAGUGGACGAGUUAUUUUGGUUUUAAAAAUCGUAUCACUUUGCGCGACGAAAAAUAUUGUUGGUCGCGCAAUGUUUUGCGCGACAAAAAAUAUUGGAAUAUUGGUCUCGCAAACUUUUGCGCGAUGAAACAUAUUGGUGGCGCAAUCGCGCAAAGUCUAAAAAAAUUAUUUAAAAAAAAAAUUCCCGCAUCCCAUUUUGGAACUCGCCCAAAUUUUUGCGUGACGAAAAUAUAUAUUGGUCGCGCAAAGUCUAAAGUUUUUUUUUUAAUUUAAAAAACCCGCGUCCCAUUUUUGGUACUCGCCCAAAUUUUUUGAGUUUUGCACAACGAACUGUUGGUCGUGCAAACUUUUGAGAGACGAAAAAUUGGUUCAUAGCACAAUAUUUAUAAAAAUAAUUGUUAUGAAUAAUAAAAAAUAAAAAAAUUAUUUUAUGAUUUAAAAUAUAAUUAAGGUGAAAGCUACUUAAUAAAUAUAUAUACUAUUCAAUUUCUUAAGUGUUAUACGUACAAAAUAAAAAAAUUUAAAGCUACUUAAUAAAUAUAGAUAUAUACACACACACACCAUUCAACAAUCCAACCGUAAGACUUGUUUGUAUAUACUUCAAGAUCGUAUGCCCCAAAAAUCACAAAAAACAAACAUUCAGAGAUCUAGUAAUGGGAUAAAACUUUUCGAUGGUUAUAAAUGAAAAAUCACGAUUUAACGGUUAUUUUAACUCCGAUUUUGAUGAUUUUGUUACAGCUACACUCCUUGACCCUAUAUGAAUACAAUGACUGAAUUUGAAAUUCAAUUUAAAAUAUUUACACUAGUGGAUACCACAAAAUCUUAUGUUAUAUUUAACGAAAGUAUAAAUAAACUCUUAAUCGUUAGUGAAUACAUUGUUUUGAUGGCAUACACAUUCUACGAAAACUAGUUUCAACGAUCCAACUGUCAAACUUGUUUUUUUAUACUUCGAGAUCAUAUACGCCAAAAAUUGAAAAAAAAAACAUUCAGAGAUCAAGUAACGGGACCAAACUUUUCGACAGCUAUAAAUGGAAAAUCAUGAUUUAAUGGUUAUUUUAACUCCGAUUUUGAUGAUUUUUUAUAGCUACACUCCUUGACCCUAUAUGAAUACAAUGACUGAAUUUGAUCUUCAAUUUAAUAUAUUUACACUAGUGGAUACCACAAAAUCAAUGUUAUAUUUAACGAAAGUAUAAAUAAACUCUUAAUUGUUAGUGAAUAUAUUGUUUUGAUGGCAUAUGCAUUCAACAAAACUAGUUUCAACGAUCCAACCAUCAAACUUGUUUGUUUAUACUUCGAGAUCAUAUACGCCAAAAAUCGGAAAAAAUAAACAUUCAGAGAUCAAGUAAUUGGACAAAACGUUCCGACGGUUAUAAUGAAAAAUCACGAUUUAACGGUUAUUUUAAAUUCGAUUUUGAUGAUUUUUUACAGCUACACUCCUUGACCCUAUAUGAAUACAAUGACCUAAUUCAAUCGUCAAUUUAAAAUACAUAUUUUCUAACAAAAACCCAAUCCGAACAACAAUAAUAUAUUUUUCUAAAACAAAAAUCUGAUCCGAUCUAAAAUAAUAAAUUUAAAGCUACUUAAUAAAUAUAUAUACCGUUUAAUUUCUUAAGUGUUCUGCAUACAAAAUAAAAAACAAAAAUAAAUUGGUUUAGGCGACGAAAUGUUUAGAUUACGUCAUGCAAAGAUUUGAAAAAAUAAAUUAUUUUAUUUUAUUUAUUUUUAUAAGGACUUUGUAAGACGAAGUUUACUGUUUCGUCGCGCAAAGUCACUUUGAGCGACGAAUUAUUUUUCGUUGCGCAAAAUUUGGUCGCGUAAGACUUUGAGCGACGAUGUAUUAUCGUCGCGCAAAAUUUUGUCGCGCAAAGUGACUUUGCGAGACGAAUUAUUUUUCGUCACGCAAAAUUUGGUCGCGCAAGACUUUGAGCGACGAAGUUUCGAGUUUCGUCGCGCAAAGUGACUUUGACCGACGAAUAGUUUUUCGUCACACAAAAUUUGGUCGCGCAGGGGUUUUUUUUUACUAGUGUUAAUUAAUUCAAAUCAUUUUAUUUUAAUGUUGAUUUCAAUUUAUUUCCUCUUUUAAAUUUAUUCUCUCUUACUUUGAAUAUUUUAACACUUUUUCGGGCCAGGAUGUAACAAUUUCACCAAUCUCCCCGGUCAACAAGUCAACAUGUAAACCUAUUAAAAUAUUCCGGGGUAACAUUGUCUUUUUCUUUAAUGAUUUAGUAUUUAAUUAUUAGUUUAGGACCGGGUCGUUACAGUCUUAGUCACCCCACACGGAAAUUUAUUGGAACAAGCUAUCACACUGGGCUUUCUAGCUUCAAACAACGAGGCAAAAUACUAGGCAUUGCUUGCCAAAUUGCGCCUAACAAAAGAGCUAUCAAUCAAAAGAUUAGCCAUAUACUCAUACUCCUAGUUGAUCACAAAUCAAGCUUCAGGCGAGUACAUGGCAAAACAUCCAACAAGUUCCCCAGGCAGAAAACACUCAUGCUGAUGCAUUGGCAAGCCUAGGAUCAACGCUGGAUACUGAGUUCAAACGUUCCAUCCGGUCGAACACCUUGACUGACCCAGCAAUUGAGCAGAUUGACUCAAUGCAGAUUAAUGAGGACCCUAGCUGGCAAGACCCCAUCAUCAACUAAUUGGCAAAUGGAAAUUUGCCAAAAGAGAAAUCUAAAGCUAGGAAGGUCCAGCAAAAGGCAGCAAGUAACAUGCAAGACAACAAGCUCAUUCGCAGAUAAUACUCCGGCCUUAAUCUCACAUGUAUAAAAUAUCCACAAACACUUAAGGUGCUCUGCAAGAUUUACGACUACGAGUGUGGUAACCACUCUGGGGGUAGGUCAUUUGCAUAGAAGGCUCUAAACAUAAGCUAUUUAUGGCCUACCCUAGGCCAUAACUCCACCGAAUAUGUCAAAAGAUAUGAUUGCUGCCAAUGGUACAAACCAGUUCUUAACCUGCCUGCCAAAGUUUACCAUCCGCUGAAUAGUCCAUGGCCUUUCAUGCAAUUGUUCAUCAACUUAGUGGGCCCCAUGCGAAUAACACUUGCCAAGAAAGACAUGAUGAUCAUCGCCAUUGACUAUUUUACUAAAUGGAUUGAGGCGAAAGCUCUAUCUUCUACUAAAGAAGCCGAUGUGGAACUAUUUGUCUAGAGAAAUGAUAAGCCUAUAUUUUAUAUAUAUUUUAUGCCUCUUCUACUUAUUUAUUUGUUAAUUUUCUUGGAUCAAAUUGGUUGUUUUAAUUGGUUUUGUGAGAUUUGUGGAGGAAUUGUGGAAAUAGGAGGAAGUGUGCUAAAAAGGGCAAGAAGAUGAAGAUUGAAGAUUAAUUAAGUCAAGAAGCCAAGUCAUUCCUUUUGUCGCAAGGAAUGUUGUCAAUUUUCCUAGUUGAAGAUGGUUCAAGUCUUAUCAAGUCAAACAAGGAGAAUUAAAGAAGACCCUAUUUUAGAAGGAAUCCUACUUUUAUAACAAUUGUAAUUAUACCUUAGAUAGGAUUUCUAGGAGUCUUAUAAAUAGGAAGUUUAGGUCAUUGUCAAAGGAACCCCAAUCAUCCAUCAUCCUACAUAUUCAUACUCAUAGCCGAAAUAUCCAGAGGAGAAUACGAAGAAAGCUUGCGCAACCUUGGCAUUCUACUUGGAGAAUUCAAUGUCUACCAUGUCUUCAUCAACCAUCAUGAUUCUCAAUAAGUCCUUCAUGAACUAAUUCCUUUUACUAGGGCUACGAUGUAGGCUAGCUAUGAAUACUCAAAUUCUUUGAUAUUGUUAAUUUUAUUUAUCUAUACAUGUUGUGCUAUGUGCUUCUUCAAGAAACACUCCCAAGUGCUUAAAUUUGUUAUGAAAAUUGAAGAUUUUUAUAAUAAAAAUGCUUUUGUUAGAAGCACUUAUAAGCAGAAGUACUUCCUAGAGAAGCAGUCCCAAACGAGCUAUAAUAUAUUACCACUUAUAUGUACAAUGAUUAUAUUAACUUUUAAAGGCCUAAUCAUUUUAUAGAUUAUAAGUGAAGCAUGCGUUUCGAGUAUAUAGCACCAUAUGUAAUUAAUUGUAGGACUUUUCACAUAUAAGCCCAUAAAUGGAAGUUCAAAUCUUCUGUUCCCAUUUUUUGUCCCCUCUUUGUCUCCCAUUUAGAAUUUUGACACCUAUUUAACACCACUUAACCCAGUCUUAACAGUGUGAACCUUCCCAACAAAAAAAAAGAAAAAAAAAAGACUACAAACUCUCCUCUGCCACACCCCUUCAACUUCACCAUUUUUGGUUUUCAUCUUCAUUGCUGAUGAUUAUUGACCUUCGACUGUUUCCACUCAGGGAUGGACCCAGUAUUUUAAAAUGGAGUGGGCUAAAUUUAGGUACUAAGCAGAUAGAAACCUCAACAAUACUAUGUGAUUUCAUUGAUAACCAAAAAAAAAAACGCAAGAACAAUAAAAUCAAUUGCAAAUCCUAUUUGAUAAUUCAUAACUCAUAAACUGAAACUGAUGCCCCAAUUGCAAAUCCUAAUUGAUAAUUCAUAAGUGUCAAUUGCAAAUCGUAAUUGAUACUUCAUAAACUCCAAAAAAAAUCCUCAAAUUAAAGCAUCAAGAAAUUGAGAGAAGCUUACAUAACGAAUAUAGAAACUUGGUUGACUUAAGUUUUGAAGGUGAGUGCAGUAGCAACAAGAGACUUUUUUUUUUUGGUUGAAUUUUAUUCUGAUUAAGGUUUCAAGCCUUCAAUCACUGGAGGAUUUUUUGGAGAAACUGGAAUAUGCCCCUUUGUUACUGCCCACCAUCUAUUCGAUUAUUUCCUCCAAAGAAGCUCCAGGUAGCAGCUCCUUUGCGUAGGCUGCAGUGCGCAGGGCUGCUUGGUUUCUUUUUUUUAAGUGAUAUGUUCAAAACGCAUAGUUUUGGUCCAAGUAAAACCAAAUAAUAAUAAUAAUAAUAAUAAAAUAAAAAGAAAGGGCCAAUAGCUAGCAAUGGUUGACAUCCCUUCCUCAAAUGAGUUUCAAUCGAAAUUGGAUACCCCAAAUAAACCCUAUCAUCCCCAACUCUUAACCCUACACUUCCACACCUGAACUACCACUACCCACACCGGCCAACUCCCCAACCACAUUCAUUUUUUCUCAAUCCUCCUUUGCCUCCAUCAUCCAUUAGCUUUCUCUUUGCGCUUUUUUCAUUAUCAUUGACUAUCUCUCUCUCUCUCUCAAAUUGGUACAAAUAAAUUUCAUUACAUUCAUUAAGCAACGAAACCCUGAAAGGAUCUCUCUCCCCCUCUGUAUUCUUUGAUUCAUUAGUAGAAACCCAUUUGUUUUUAGAGGCAAAAGAAGCAUUGUGAAGUGGGCAUAAGAUGGAUUUCUCUUUAUGCUUUAAUUAAUUAAGAUGGAUUUUGGGUUUUGGUUAAUUGAUUGAGUUUUGGUUAUGGUUAUUUUGUAUAGAUUUUUUCAAUUUAUUUAUUUGUAUAUAUUUUUAGUUUUUAAUUAAUUAAUAAAGAUUGUUGUGGUGUGAUUAAAGCUUGUUAGUUUGUAUAUAAUUAACACGGUGAAUUUGUUAAUAUGAUUAAUAUGGUGUUUUAGCCUUUUAAAUAUAGUUUAAAUCAUCAUGGUAUUUGGUUAAAUUUUUGUUUUUAAAAGCUUUUAACCUUUGAAAUAUUAAUAAUAUAUUAAAUCAAUAGAUUAAAAUAUAAUGCAACAACCCGAUCCUAAAUUAAUUUUUAGUUAUUAAUUUAUUAUGAGAAAAGAUAAUUUUGCCCCUAUAAUAAAUUAUGAGAGAAAAUGGUGACUUGUUGACCAGGGAGACUUUGGUAAAAUUGUUACAUCUCGGUCAGAAAAAAUGUUAAAAUAAUUAAAGUAAGAAUAAAUUUAAAUGAGGAAUAAAUUGAAAUAAACAUUAAAAUAAAAGGAUUUGAAUUAAUUAAGGUUUUUGAGAAAUUAAAAUAUUAUUUAAUAUUAAGAAGGGGCAAAAAGGUCAUUUUAAGUUUGGGAAGGAAAUUAGAAAUUUUGAUUGGACCAUUGCUUAGAGCACGUCAAAACGGGUCCGUAGACACGUAGUGGACUCGAAUCGGGAUUGUAAUGAAGAAAUGAUGAUUAAAAGAAGUUCAAUGGCAUAACCGUAAAUAAUUCGAAGUUCAGUUUUUUAAAAACCCAGAUUUUCUGCAGUUUGGUAGCUCGACCAGCUGACUUCCAAAGGUGAUAUCUCUCAACUCCGGCCACCAAUUGAAGGAAGAUCAGUCCCGUUAGAACCAACAUACUUCCCUCUUCCAGUCCCAGCUCAUCUAAGCCUCUAUCCACCGUCGUGGUCACCGGAAACCGCCAUGAAAUAGGGCGGUUUGGACAGUUUUUGGCGGAAUUUCGUGGAGCUCGUUCGGCCACCUCCGGCCACCAUUUUCUUCGAAUUUGGUAUGUUUUUCCAUCCUUUCAAUGUUUUCUAGCUGAUGGUUGGGUAUGGAUUGAUCAAUUUCUAGUGUAGGCAACUCGAUUUGUAACCCAAAAUGUGGCCGGAUUUCGGGAUGAGAUUCCGGCCACUUCCGGUCAUUUUUUGAGGUAGGUCCAAGAAUAAAAGUGGUUUCAAAUAGGGUGUUAUACCUAGGAUAGGAGUUUGGGCCGGAGGUUUGGAGUAUUUCUGGCUGCCGAAAAUUGAUCAAGCUACCCACGCGCUGCCAGCUUGUGUGCGGCGCGUGGGCUGCAUAGUGAGGUCACUCUUAGUCCUAGAAUGAUCCUCAUGUCUUCACGAGCACAUAGGAAUUCGCGGAUCUCAAUUUGGACAACGUUUGUGCCCCAAUCGGAUCUCUCAUAUUGUGUGAUUUCCGGGUUUGAUACAUUUGAACUGUUGGAUCGUAGUUAUUCUCGUAUAUGUCAAGCUAGACAAUUCCCGAAUUGUGUAGGAUUCAACGGAUCGGGAAUCGGAGUCCCGGAUACUCCGAAAAGGCCAACCCUAGAGCUAUGUUUACAAUAAUCGUUUGAUCGUACGAUCGUUAGUAGUCCGACAGUCCGAUCGAGACCAAACUCUCGGGACAUGUGUCCUAGGCAUGUUAAGACCUCUAGGAACUCUCGGAUCGGAAUCUUGAGGUCGUGGACCCGACGGGUUCCCGGGUUGACUUUUUGGGGACUUAUCUCUUUUUGAGUCCCGAGACACUUCUAGACUGUUCUAAUCAUUGGAAAGGCUUACAUAGGCUUGAGAAUGACUUCAAAUACAAUGCACGCACUUCUAGGAGCCCAGGGCCAGGACUUUGGAUUAAAUAACGAGGAUGAGCUCCAUGCGAUAUGUUUGAGCCUUUAGAAAGCUCAUGCGCUUGCGAGUGUUCACUUGGUUUAGUUGUAGUUCUAAUUUCAUGAUUUUAUGUGAUUUCGAGAUGAGUAUUUAAUUAUCUGUUUAUUUAUCACCUGUUUAUAUAUGUUCAUAUGGUUAAUUGUGUUGUAGGAGUAUAAAUAUAAUAUUGGAAUGGUAUUCUAAGCAGAGAUCGAGAUAGUUAACAAACUAGCCAAGUAUUUAGUGUAUAUAUAUAUGUAUUUAGUUUAGUUGAGAACCAAUCUAUUUAAAGUUUAUAUAAAUGACGAGUUAUGGUUUUCAAACCCACCGCGAGGGUACCCCCCAGUUGCCUUGAGACAGUUUGUUGUUUUGAUGAUGCCCCACGAGUUUUGGGGACGCUUGAACCGUAUAGUGCGAGGAUUGUGGCUCAGAUUGAAGUGUUAUCUUUGAGACUUGCGAGGAUUGUGGCUCAGAUUGAAGUGUUACCUCUGAGACCUGCGAGGAAUGUGGCUCGGUUAACUUUAUGGUUCCGAGACCUGCGAGGAUGGAAUUGACAGACUAACAUUGGAAUUGAUUGAUUAUUAUUGGAAUUGACGGAUAUAUGGAAUUGAUGGCAUAUAUGGAAUUGACGUAAUUAAAGGAAUUGACGGAUCAGAAAUGGGGGUACACCUAGGUGGAGAGAAUUUAAGUUCUGAGAUGCUUUUAAACUAAAUUGAGGAUUUUAUACAGUUACCAUUAUUUUCUUAAGCGUCACAUUUGUUUUACAAGCGAUAGAUGGAAAUAUAUAUAGAUUCUAAUCAAGUUAUUGAUAUAUAUAUACAGUCCCGAUCUCUUGGACCACAGGAGUUCAAGAGAUUUGUGGUCACUCACCGUUGGAUGUAAAUUCAACGGUUCACUCAAUCUUGAACUUCUUUUAAGAAACUUUUUUGAACCAUUAGAUUAAUAUCCAACGGUGAGUGACCACAAUCUCUUGGACUCCUGUGGUCCAAGAGAUCAGGACUGUAUCUAUAUAUUUGUGAAAUUUAUGAAAUUUACGUGAGUUCAAUACAAGGGUGUUCGGAACUUAUAAUCUUUAACUUAUGUUAUUUUAUUUUAUUUUAUUAUAUUCAUUUAUCUUUAUCUUGCAUUAUUUUAUAUAGUAUUAAAUAUCUUGAGUUUUUUUAGCAUAUUUUGACCAGAUGUCUCCUAAGUCCAGCGAGAAUUACAGGUCAGGACGUGUCACCAUUGGUGUCACGAGGAAUUGAUGGUUAUGGCUUUCCAAGCAUGAUUACUUGAUAUAAAUGCUUUUAUUUCUUCUUUUGAUUAUAUAUUGCUAUGUGAGAAAUGCCAGGAAGUUUGAAAUAGAGAGCUAAGAUGAAAUAUGAGAACUAGAGUGGUUUUGCAAUUAAAGAACUACGUGUGGCUUGAUCCCUCAGUAAGGGUACGUAGGCAGCUUAUGGUUAUAAAGUGCAGCCACGAGUUAGAAUGCUUGAGAUUACCAAUGCAAUAGUGUUGUUUUGAAAGUUGAGAUGAAUUUUAUUAGCAGAUUGUUCAUUUGAUUUAUGGCAACCUGAGACCAGAAUAUUAUGAUGCUUAAUUUGUUUGGAUAUAAUUGAAUGCAUGCUGAACAAUUUAGUUAUAUAAAUGUUUGAUGACAGGUGAAAAUUUUGGGGAAUGAGUAAAUUAUAGGGGAAACUCUGCCGAAUUUUUCGGCAGAAGAUAAUAUUAUUUUAAAAGUGGAUUUUUAGUUAGAAGGGCAAUUUGGUCUUUGUGCCCGGUAUUAGCGAGGUGUUGGAUACUCAUAGGGUUCGGUUCGGAUUCCAAAGUGAAAUUUGGGUCGGGUCCUGUCAUAUAAAGUCUCAUCAUUCUUCAGGCAAUUGUGCACUAACUAACCAUGAUGCAUUAUAUUAAUAAUAUAUUAAAUCAAUAGAUUAAGUUAUAAAGUUAAACAUUUUUCAACAAAUUAUGGGGAAGAUUCUUGAAAACCUUGUAUAUGGUGUUGGACAUUUCUCAGUGUAAAUUAAAAGUAAACGAUUAUCAUUAUAGAAAUAAGCAUAUAAUUUCUUAUUACCACAUCCUACAAUUAAAAAACUGCUUCAGUUCGUGGGGUGUGUUCUCAAGGGAGCGCAGAUGGCCUGGAAAAAACGGUGGCAAUUUUGUGUGUGGAAAUUGAGUUUGAUUCUAAGUGUGCCAUCUGUUUAGCUUUCGAACAUGAUUCUAAAGGGAACCCAAUCUUUUUUAUAUAUAUUUUUAAUACAAGCGAUAGUCUAAACUACAAAAGAAGGGAGGGAGUUUCUCACACAUACACUAUCAAUGUGCCAUGGAAAUUCGAACUUGAGAUCAUUAGUCUGUUUGUUAAAACCAUUUUCCAAUGGGCUAGACCUCAUUGGCCACCCCAGUCUAUUCUUAAUUUGCUUGUUGAGGAUUGUGUUAGGUUUUGUAAUUAGGCCUAUAGUAGCAAUUAUGUGCUAUUUUCACAAGAUACGACACAUAGCAGAUUAUGGUUCACUAGUAUUCGAUGCGAAAACAUGGGCAGAUCUAUGUGCCACUCCAGCCCAGUGCUGAAUUUUGAGAAUAUAACUUAGGCUAAGUUGUCCAAGUCCAAACUAUGUAAAUCAAAUAUUAGCCCACCCGCUGUGUACAAAUAAGGCCACCUCUGCAGAAAUUCCAACCAUUGGAAUGACUGGAAUCCAUGUUAUGCAACUUUGGAGCCAUGUGAUGCAACUUUGAGCCCGUUUGAUCAUGUAUGUUUAUAAUAAAGAUAAAUAAUUUUUAUGUAAUAAAUGUUUGUUGAUAUGUGGUCAUGUUGGCCUAUAAAUAAUCUGGAUUUGAGCAAGUCAUGCAACACGCGCAUACAUUAUAUCACAAAACCAAAGAUUGCUUCCCCUGUAGUUUCCAAUAAGCCUCAUGCGGUUUGUCUUCCUUUGCCAGCUCAAAGCCAUAUAAAGGCAAUGCUCAAAUUAGCAAAACUCCUCCGCCAUAGAGGCUUUCACAUAACCUUUGUCAACACAGAGUUCAACCACAUGCGCUUUCUAAAAUCUCUUGGACCUUAUUUCCUUGAUGGCCUGCCUGAUUUUCGAUUUGAAACCAUUCCAGACGGCCUUCCAGAAUCAGAUGAAAAUGCCACCCAAGAGGUCACUUUGCUUUGUGAGUCGUUCAGAAGUUUCUUGCUCUUGGCUACGUUUCGUGAGCUCGUAAAACUCAAUGAAUGGGGCAGUGGCAUGGAGAUUCAUAACAAUGUCAAGAGAGAUGAAGUGGAGAUGCUUGUUAGAGAGUUGAUGGAGGGAGGGAAGGGUAAGAAAUUUAAAAAGAAGGCUAAGGAGCGGAAGAAACUAGCAGAAAAUGCAACUGAUCCACAUGGCUCCUCAUCCAUUAACUUAGAUAAUUUAGUCCAUCAAGUGCUGUUAAGAAAAAACUAAAUGUUAUCCAUCUCCAUAUAAAUAAAAAAAUCGCCACAUUAUUGUUGGUAUCUCUAUUAUUACUCUAUAUAGCACCCUUAUUCAUGUAUGAUGUCAAUCGGAGCCUAAUAACUGAAGGAAGUUGAGGUUCUAUCCCAAAAUCAAUUGGCAAUAGGAGUAGCCCAACUCCUUAUAAACCCAGGCUAGGUCCCUUAACAUUUCAACUUGGAGAAAUGCUUUGGAAUCGAGGUGGGGGUUUCUUGGUGACCUUUUACGAAGAUUGAUCUAAUUAAAUUUCGUGAGCACUAUAUUAUGCAUGAUAUUAUUAUUUGAUUAUUAUUGUUAUUGGGUGUUUAAGUGUUGUUAAUUAUCAUCAUGUUAUUUUAUUAAUAUUGACAUGAACAUAUGUUAUUGGUGAUGGCUGGAAUUCUUGGGUUGAUAAAGAAAGUAAGAAAAAGGGGGUAAUGGGAAGGAUCUUUUAUGUAGUUGAGUCUAACUCUUGGCAGGUACCAGGUCUCAAGGAUCCCACAGUGCACAUGGUUUUCAUUUGGUGAUUCGGGACUGGCGACAAGAAGUUAGACAAGAUGAUUAACGAAAAGGGCAUUAUGAGAUGAUUGAAAUGGGUGGUAGUUCAUAUAAAAGGGGAAUUAUGAGAUUAUUAAUAAUGUGAUAUUUAGCUGUGUGAUUACAUGUCACUUAAUUUAGUUAUAUCAAUCUACUGUGGUGAGGUCUCAUGUCCCUACUGAGCGGUGGUUUCUCAUCCCUCACCCUGUUUAAUUUUUCAGAUGAAUUAGUGGGCAUGACAAGGACUAAAUCAGUUGAGGCUGAACUAGAUAAGAGUGAUAGAGCUUUAUUUUUUUUAAUUGUAAAGUUUUAAGAUUUUGGAAGCUAUUUUUAUAAGAAAAGUUUAUUUUAUGUUUCGGCUUCUUUUUAUUCUAUUUUACCUUUUAUUUUCUCAUACACUGGGCACGGGGUUUCCACUGACCCCCGGGUCCGGGGCGUGACAAGGGUUAAUCGUUUUAUUCGUUCUUGAACUUAGACCCAAUUUGCAUUUGAGUACCUCAAUUUCCAAAAUCGUUCCCAUAUUCCUUUAACUUCACUUUUGUUAGGACAAAUGGUCCUGCCAUUAAUUUUGUUAACUUUUUCUGUUAAAUGCAGGGGCAAAAUGAUAUUUUUAUAUUAAAACCCAAAAAAUAAAUAAAUAAUCACAUCUUUAAAAUAACAAUAAAAUCAAAUCAAAUAAAAAACCAACCAAAAAAAAAUCGAGUUUGGGGAGAGUAGAAAUCGGGAUAGAGGGGGAGAGAGAGAGUUUAAUUUUAAUUUUUUAUUCAUAUUUUAAUCAAUUUAAUACAAAAUGAGGAGAACUACCCCCCCUCUUCUUCUCUUUUUAUUCACUACAUGCCGUGCAAAGAGAAGAACUAAAUGAGGUUAGGUUAUUAAAAUUGAGUGAGCUAGGAUUUUAUUUUUUUUGGCUGGAAAAAAGAAGCCACCUGGGUUGCCAAACUAAAGGUACAUCCGUGGGUGAGCUAGGAUUUUAUUUUUUUGGCUGGAAAAAAGAAGCCACUUGGGCUAUAGCCCAGGUUUGCCAAACUAAAGGAAAGUCUGUGGGUGGGCUAGGAUUUUAUUUUUUUGGCUGGAAAAAAGAAGUAGGUUUGCCAAACUAAAGAUCCGUCCCUGUUUCCACUUCAACCCAUUUACAAUCAAACUAUUUUAUGACUAAAACACUUCACAUUAAUGAUAAUUUUAUUAAACUAAAACACAGUUUUAUGAGUCUACUUAUGGAGAAAAACUUAGUUGCAAUGAGAUAACACUAUUUUGCUAUCCCUAUUUCAUAAAAGUCUUUCUCAUACUUAUGACUAUGGUUGCAGCCUGCAAUAUUCUUAAAAUAAAAAAAUAAAAAAAGUAGCUAUUCUGAAGGACAUUACCUCACUUUUGCUGUAUAAAUAAUCUGCAUUUGCAAGCACUGCAAUGCACACACAAAAGCUAAAUGGAUUCCAGAGAAGUAGCAACUAAGCCACAUGCUGUUUGCAUUCCAUUCCCUUAUCAAAGCCAUAUAAAGGCAAUGCUUAAAUUUGCAAAGCUCCUCAACCACCGAGGUUUUCAUAUAACCUUUGUUAACACAGAGUUCAAUCACAAGCGCUUUCUUAAAUCUCAAGGACCCAAUUCCCUUGUUGGCUUGCCUGAUUUUCAAUUCGAAGCCUUCCCGGAUAGCCUUCCGGAUUCAGAUGAAGAUGCCACACCAGAUGCCACCUUGCUUUGUGAAUCCAUCAGGAAAAAAAAAUUCUUGGCUCCCUUUCAUGCCCUCCUUGCAAAACUCAACAAUGAUGCCAUAUCAACAUCCCACAAUCCUCCUGUGACUUGCAUAGUUUCAGAUGGUUUCAUGUCCGCGUUCACAAUCACAGCUGCUGAAGAAAUCGGAGUCCCUAUAGCGCUGUUCUACACUAUAGCUGCCUGCAGCUUCAUGGGAUUUAAACAACUUCGCGCUGUGGUCGAAAAAGGACUUUUUCCACUCAAAGGUGAAUAACUACGAAUUAAAAGCAAUUGUUGUUUCUAAACAUGCAAAUGAAAUGUUUCUUCAAUUGAAUUUCAUUUGUCUAUUGCAGAUGAGAGCUGUUUCAAAAAUGGCUAUCUGGACACCGUAAUAGAUUGGAUCCCAGGAAUGAGAGAUAUCCGUUUAAGGGAUCUCCCGACCUUCGCGCGAAACACAAAUCUGGAUGACACCGGAUUUAACUUCAUCAUGGAAGAAACCGAAAGAGCUCAUGAAGCUUCAGCAGUUGUUCUUCAUACUUUUCAUGCCUUGGAGACAGAUGUUUUGGAAGCUCUCUCAUCUAUGCUUCCCCAUGUGUACACCGUUGGCCCUCUUCAAUUGCAUCUCAAUCAGAUACCAGAGCACCCUUUGAAAAUGGGAUACAGUCCAUGGAAAGAAGAAACUGAAUGCCUCGAGUGGCUAAACACCAAGGCACCAAACUCAGUUGUCUAUGUGAAUUUCGGCAGUGUAGCAGUCGUGACACCAGAACAGCUUGUGGAGUUUGGGUGGGGACUUGCAAAUAGCAAGCUUCCAUUCUUUUGGGUAAUUAGACCUGAUCUAGUUGUUGGAGAAUCAGCUAUUUUGCCGCCUGAGUUUGUGGCUGAAACUAAGGAAAGAAGUCUAAUAGCUGGGUGGUGCCCACAAGAGCAAGUCCUCAACCACCCCUCAGUUGGAGGAUUUUUAAUGCACAGCGGUUGGAAUUCAACAGUUGAGAGCCUUACUGCAGGAGUUCCUAUGCUCUGUUGGCCAUUCUUCGGGGACCAGCAAAUGGACUGUCGCUAUACUUGCAAUGAAUGGGGAAUUGGCAUGGAGAUUAGUGAUGAUGCGAAGAGGGAAGAGGUAGAGAAGCUUAUCAAAGAGUUAAUGGAGGGAGAGAAGGGUAAGAAGAUGAAAAAUAAGGUCAUGGAGUGGAAGAAACUUGCAGAAGAAGCUACUGGUCCACAUGGUUCUUCAUCCACAAACUUAGACAAUUUAGUGAAUCAACUGCUAUUGAGAAAAAGUUAAGAUGUUUCCAUAAGAAUAUUGAUGUUAUUAAUUAUCAUUUCCAUUGCCAUUGUCUCAAAUAAUCAACUAUCUGGCAAUAUAUAUGUACUACUGGUCUGUAACCAUGAUGCGUACUAUAUCUAGAAUUUUAUUCUAAUUAAGGUUUUACUACGCUUCAGGCCUUCAACUCUAAAGUCUUUAUCAUUUUUCAGGCAAUUGUGCACUAACCAUGAUGCAUUAUAUUAAUAAUAUUUUAAAUCAAUAGAUUAAAAAUAUAAAGCUAUACCUUUUUCCACAAAUACCCCCGAGCUUAACGGGUUAACGGGUAUUCGUGAAUUGACACGACACGACACGAUAGCUUAACGGGUGACUAACGGAUCAAUACGAUAUCAACAUGACACCAUAACCCAUGCCUGAAUACUGAAUUUUUCGUGCGAAUUCAUGUCGUAUUAAUGGAUCGUGCACAAUAUUGUCUCCUCUAAACUUAGAUACUUUAGUCGAUUUAAGAAAAAACUAGAUGUUAUCCAUAACCAUAUCUCUAUUAUCACUGUUGAUAUCUCUAUUAUUACUCCAUAUAGCGUCCUUAUUCGUGUAUGAUGUCAUACGGAGCCUAAUAACAUGUUUUCUUGUUUUGUUCUAAAAAAGUUUUUUGAAAGAAGUAGAGACCAGUAAAUGAAAUUAAAAAAAAUUAAACCUCCAAUAAAUAUGGCCAUGGAAACAUGGUCUAACGCUAAAUAUAAAAUAAAAUAAGGGCAACUAAACUUGCCAUGGCCACAGACAUAGUGGCUUAAUAGUAAGUAAAUAAAAUUAACUUUGGAUAAACUGUGGUGAGGGAGUUGGAAUAGUACACAUUGAAAAGUAUCUCAGUUUUGCUUUAUAAAUAAUCUGCAUUUGCAAGCACUGCAAUGCACACACAAAAUCUCAGAUGGAUUCCACAGAAGUAGCUACUAAGCCACAUGCUGUUUGCAUUCCAUUCCCUGCUCAAAGCCAUAUAAAGGCAAUGCUUAAAUUUGCAAAGCUCCUCCACCAUAGAGGUUUUCAUAUAACCUUUGUUAACACACAGUUCAAUCACAAGCGCUUUCUUAAAACUCUAGGAUCCAAUUCCCUCGAUGGCUUGCCUGAUUUUCAAUUUGAAGCCAUCCCGGAUAGCCUUCCAGAUUCAAAUGAAGACACCACACAAGAUGUCGUUAAAAAAAUAAAGUUAGACCAUUUUCAACAAAGAAAUUAUGUGGAAGUUUCUUUAAAACCUUGUAUAAUUAUGUUGGAGAUAUUGACCUGAUGAUAAAGCAUAAUCUCUCAUUAAUACUUGAAUGCUUAAUCUGAAAGAAAGAAAAGAAAAGAAACAAGAAAACACAGACAAGGUUAAAGAAAAGACAAAAUCCAAAAGCUUACUUUGUUUCCUCGUCUUUCCAAAUCCAAAUCCAAAUCCAAACGCCACUCAAAUCAGUUAGGAAGUUUCUGAUUGUUUAUUUCAUUUCAUACUAGAUACAAAGAUAACAACAGCUUGAGUAAAAAAGAACAAAAUUGAUAUUUUAAAUUAGAUGCUCCAUUUCAAACCAUAGACACUCCUCUAACGUGAGCUUGAUGAUUAGGGACAAAACCACAUGAAUGUUAUUUCACCAUAAUGUUCGUUUUAGUCAUUGUACACAACUCACAACACUUUCACACAAAAAAUUAUUAUUGUACCAACAUCACUUUUAAUAAAAAGUUGUCAAAAGACAAACUGCUUUCUUUCACAACUGAUUUCUCUCACAGCAAAUCUGACUGUAAUUAUUUUCACAUCACAACAAUGCCAAACUAGCUUCGUUUUAGAUCCUUAUUUCUAUUCCUACUUGGUUUAGGAUUCCUAUUUUAAUCUUAUUUCCUACCCACUAUAAAUAAGGCUUUUAGGAAGUCACAUUAUUAUUUGUGGCUAGAGAGUGUCUAUGAGUGUGGUUACGAACCAAAUUACAAGUGAGUGUGAGGAAUUGGUAACAAUUCACUAUAGAAAUACAAGAGAAAAAAUAAUUUCAAACACUCCGAAGUUUUCUUUCUACUAACUAGCCAGGUGAUGUUGAGGGAUUAAGCCUUCUUCAAUUAUACACCAAGCGAGAAGAACCAUUCACUACUACAAAAAAGCAAAAAGACGACGGUAAAUUACCGUCGUGUAUUCGGUUUUUCAAUGGUCGUGGAAUCCACCGUCAUCUUUUUCCUCAUAAACCACGACGCUAAAUCACCGUCGUUGUUAAAAUAUACAACGUCAUCAUCAAAUACAAAACGACGUCUUUGUACUGCAAAAAGAUCUAAAAAAGCAGUCGAGGAUGAGAAUAGACGACCAACUUUCUAAAAAAACCGUCGUUAAAAAGGAAAAAUAUGACACAUAUUAACAGAACAAGGCCGCAAGAUAGACAUACAACGACGAAAAUUAAAAUAAGACGCCGUUAAAUAUCAUUUUCACGACAAUAAAAAAUAUGACGUCUUUAAAUACAUUAGAAGACGACGUUAUUGAUACCUACUACGUCGCCUAUAUAAAAACAGCCGUCCUAAAAUAAAUUUUCCACUUCGAUUUUUCUAUAAAAGAUGACGUGGAAAUAUUUGUCAGUGUCAUUAUUUACGACGUAUGUAUUUAUAGAGUAGACGUUGAACAACGAAACAACGUCGGUUACAAAUAUAUGAGAGUCGUAUUACAAAAUUUAUACGUCCUAUUUUCAGAAACAAACAACGACGAUAAAUAUUAGACGUUGUUAAAUAAAACAACGUAGAAAACAAAUAAAAACAGACGUGUUUAGUCUGCUAAAGUUCUAAAAAAUAGUCGAGGAUGAGAAUAGACGACCAACUCAAACAAAUCACCGUCGUUAAAAAGGAAAAAUAUGACACAUAUUAAAAGAACAAGGCCGCAAGAUAGACAUACAACGACGACAACUAAAACACUACGCCGUUAAAUAUAAUUUUCACGACAAGAAAAAAUAUGACGUCUUUAAAUACAUGAGAAGACGACGUUAUUGAUAUCUACUACGUCUCUUAUUUACAAACAACCGUCGUGAAAUAAAUUUUCCACUUCGAUUUUUCUAAAAAAGAUGACGUGGAAAUAGUUGUCAGUGUCAUUAUUUACGACGUAUGUAUUUAUAUAGUUGACGUUGAAAUGCGAAACAACGUCGGUGGCAUUUAUUUACGACGUAUGUAUUUAUAUAGUUGACGUUGAAAUGCGAAACAACGUCAACUAUAUAGUCGACGUUGUAUUUAUAUGUAUUCAUUACUCACAACGCACUUAUUAAUAUAGACGACGUUGAACUUCUAAACAACGUCGGUUCUAAAUAAAUGAGAGCCGUAUUACAGAACAUAUAGACGGCGUUGAUUAUGAUGAGAGCCGUAUUACAAAUAACGUCGUUUAAUUGAUAUUAGACGGCGGUUAUAAUGAAUUACCGUCGGAAUUCAUUUCGUUCCUCUUCGUUUAUAAAAGAACUUGCGACGUGGAAAAUGUAUGAUGACGUCGUAUUUUUUAACGUUCAGAUUAUAUAUCUCGUUUUUUAGACGUCGGUAUUAUGGGAUUGGAGUCGUGUUAUUUUGAAUUACAUGGCGGUUCUUAAUCCUUCCCCGACGUGAUAUCCUGAAUAAUUGCUUCACAAUAGCGUCGUGGUUCUUCAUUGUUACGUUGCUUUAAGACGUCGGUAAAUAUGCUGAAUAACUGGUUCACAAUAACGUCGUGUUUUAUUUGAACAGACGUCGUUUUUUAUGCAGAAUAUAAUGAUGUAAUCUGGAACCAGUAUUUUUUGCACUGAUUGUUUUGUGGCCAAAACCUGUAUAAUGAAAGUGAAGAAAUCACAUUACAAUAUAUUACAAAAUUAAUGUCAUACACUGCCAAUUACAUAAGCAUCAUUCAAUCCAUAUAUCUUCACACCCAUCUCGAAUAUUUUGACCACCUAACUCACCCACCAGUUCAUCAAAUGUGUCAACAUUUGGCAUCCCUCUAGUAAAUGGCUCACACUCAAUUAUGACAUCACCUAAGACUUCAACACCAAUAACAUCAUUAUAUUCUCUAUUAGGCAUUGAUAACACUACCGACCAACCACGAUGCAUCGGGUCGUCAACAAAAAAUAUUUGUUUGACUUGAGAAGCCAAAACAAAUUGGUCAUUCCUAUGUCCAAUUUUACUCAAAUCUACAAGGGUAAAUCCAAGUUCGUCGACUACAAGACCAGAACUAUCUAUCCAAUCACACCUAAAGACUGGGAUUGUAAACUUUUGGUAGUCAAGGUCCCAAAUUUCUUGAAUGACACCAUAGAAACCCAUAUUUGAGAGAAUUGGGUUUUUAUCCUUGACACUAGCAACUUGCAUGGUAUGUGCAAGUAAAUAAACUCCACUAUUUUGAGUUGUCCGCACAUCAUCUUGUGCCUUGAUAUUGAAUUUAAUACCUUUAAUAAGAUAGCUCCUAUAUAAUGGCACUGCCAUGUUUGGACUAGCUGCUAGCCACCUUAAAUUUUCUGAUACGCCAUGAUUGUCUUCCUCAAGUUCACUUUGAACCUGCAAAUUAAUCAUAUCUUAAUUCAAUCUAACAUAGAAAUAAGAAGAAAAUUAAAAGAGAAAUAUGUUAUUCAACAACAUAUACCUUGAAGCGUAGCCAUUGAAUGAAAGUGCUAUUGUGCUUAUCCUGCAGCCACUUUGUUCUCUUUCUAAAUUUUGGAUAAGCAGUUUUGAUGUGGAUCAUAUGUUGCCUACAUGACACGAAAAAUUCAAGCAUUACGGUCCCAAAUAUAUAAGAUAAACAUAAGAAAUAAUUUAAAAUGGAAACUUAAAGAAUAAAACUCAUACGUACUCGAUAUAAGGUAGGACUUCCUCUGUAUUCUCCAAGACAUAUAGAUGUGCUUGAUUCAACAGGUCCUGAUCAACUACGCUCAUUGUGCAACCUGAUAAUGGCUUUGAAACUCCCAUCUUUUGGCUUGAAAGCAUUCCAACUGUACUAACAUCAGAUAAAUGCUGAGUACAAAACUCUACCGCUUCUUCAGCUAUAUACCGCUCAGCAAUGCAACCUUCGGGACGAGUACGAUUCUGAACAUAUCCCUUCAGCACUUUCAUAUAUCUUUCAAACGGAUACAUCCACCUAAAAUAUACUGGCCCACAUAGACGAACUUCUCUGACAAGAUGUACUACUAGAUGAACCAUGAUAUCAAAGAAUGAAGGGGGAAAGUACUUCUCAAGCAAACACAGAGUAACUACUACAUCUUCUUCCAACUUAUCUAGCUUGGAAACAUCAACAGUCUUUGCACAUAUAGCAUUGAAGAAGAAGCACAAACGAGUUAUUGCAUACCUUGCAGGCUUCUCCAAAACAGAAUGAAUUGCCACAGGGAGCAAUUGUUGCAUUAAGGUAUGACAAUCAUGUGAUUUAAGGCCAAGAAGUCUUGAAUCUUGUAAAGAUACAAGAUUUUUAAUAUUUGAAGAAUAACCUUCAGGGACCUUCAUACCAUAGAAAGAAUUGCAAACCUCUCUCUUCUCUGCUCUUGACAAAUUCCAAGGCCCAGGAGGCAAACGAGUACGUCUUUCUCCAUACUCGGGUUGCAAAUCAGUUUUGACCCCCAUGUUCAAUAAAUCUAAUCGAGCAGCAAUCCCAUCUUUAUUUUUUCCAGGGAUCUCCAGCAAUGUACCAAUGAUACUAUCGCAAACAUUCUUCUCAAUGUGCAUAACAUCUAGGGCAUGCCUCACAGGAAGGUAUUUCCAAUACUCGAGAUCAAAGAAUAUUGAUUUCUUCUUCCAACAAACUCUGUCACCAUUUUCAACCAUAUGCAGCACUUCUUCUCCGGUUAAUGGCUCGGGAGGUAUGCCAUAUUCAGGUUUCCCAUUAAAAGCUGCACGUUGCCUCCUAUAUGGAUGAUUGAUUGGUAACCAUUUUCUAUGCCCAAUGUAACAAAUUUUGUGGCCAUUUUUCAACCUGUGACUAGGUGUAUCAUCGCUGCAUAUUGGACAAGCUUUAUAUCCUUUAACAACACAACCAGAUAAGUUUUCAUAUGCGGGGAAAUCAUUAAUUGUCCACAUUAAUGCAGCUCUGAGUGUAAAGUAUUCUCCAUUAUGUGCAUCAUACACUCCUCUAAUCCCAUCCCACAAAGAUUUUAAAUCAUCAAUCAAAGGCUCCAAGUAGACGUCUAUAUCAUUUCCGGGUUGUUUAGGACCGGAAAUCAAUAAGGUUAACAUCAUGAACUUUCGUUUCAUGCACAGCCAUGGAGGGAGAUUAUAUGUAACUAAGAUAACCGGCCAACAACUAUAUCUGCUACUUAGAGAACUGUGUGGAUUGAAUCCAUCAGAUGAAAGAGCCAAUCUCAAGUUUCUCGGCUCAUUACCAAACUCAGGCCAUUUAUCAUCAAGAAGUUUCCAAGACGGGGAAUCCGCCGGAUGAGACAUCUGACCGUCAAUUGAUUUUCUAGCAGCAUGCCAAGUCAAACUCUUAGCUGUCUCAUGUGAUUGAAACAUCCUUUUAAACCUUGGAAUUGGAGGAAAAUACCACACCACCUUCGCUGGCACACCCUCUUUCAAGAUUGAAUCUUUGCCUUCCUUCCACCUUGAGAUACCACAAGUAGGACAAUUAGUUGAAUCCUCAUACUCCUUCCUAUACAAGAUGCAAUCAUUGGGGCAUGCGUGCAUUUUCUCAUAACUCAGCCCCAAUGCACACAAAGUCUUUUUAGCCUCAUACAUAGAGGUUGGUAUUGUAUUUCCUUCUGGAAGCAAAUCGCCUUGAAGUAUCAAUAAUUUUGUAAAACAGACAUCACUCAUCCCAUGUUUUUCCUUCAAAUUAUACAACUUCACUAAUGCCGAUAACUUCGUGUACUUUCUACAACCAGGGUACACUGGUUGAUCUCCAUCCCCAAUCACAUUGGCAAACUCAUACGGAUCGGAACCAAAAUCACCAAAAUCAUUGUCAUCCAUAUCAAUUUCUUCAGACACAAAACUGUACCUACUAUGGCCAUCAUCUUCUUCAACAUUUCUACUAGCAUUAGUAGUUGCUUCCCAAGGUUCUCCGUGAAAUGUCCAAUUCUUAUAGCUUUGGUCAAUUCCAUUAAAGUAUACGUGAUCCCUUAUAAUUCCAACCCCAAACAACUUCAAAUUAACACAUUUAACACAUGGACAACGGAUAUGUGUUGUAGUUAGAAGAUUUUCUACAGCAAAGUUCAAAAAUGCUUCCACCCCCAAACUCAUAUGCCUUCGAUCUUCUAUCCGAGUGCAUCCAUGACUUAUCUAUCUCCGACACUAUAACCUAUUAUCUAUAAUAAAGUGAAAAUACAGGCAAUGACCAUCACUAUAGCAGAUUAUACAAAGAUCUAAUAGCAAGUAAUACACAAAAGAGACGACGGGUUUUAAACAAAAACAGACGUAUUUGGCAUAUAUAGACGACGGAUUUUCAACAGACGUCGUCUAAUAUAAGUAAUACAAACGACGGUUUAUGAAAAAACCGUCGUGUAUAAGUAAUACAACGACGGUUUUUUCAUAAACCGUCGUGUAAUGAUCGUCGUAUGCCUAAAAAGGCGUCGUGUCUCAGUUUAUUUUCAAGAACCCAAAACCCAUUAAGAACACAACAUAUAUAUGAAACCAAGCAAGAAACCAACAUAUACAUGAAACCAAGCAUGAAAACAAUAAAUCCAUUCCCAAUUCAACAUAACAUAGGGUGAUUAAAAGAUCCGACAAAAUUAAAUCCAUUCCCAAUUCAACAUAACAGAUAAUGUAAUCCAUGAACCCAUUAAAGAGAAAAUCCAUGAACCCAUACCUAUAAGCACAUUAUUAACAGAUCACAAAGCAUAUACCUAAAACCCUUUAACAAAACAACCUAAUAUCAUUCAAUGAAUUUACAAGGGGAAGAUAGGGUUUGUACUUACAGGUUGGACGAGCUCACAGAUUCGACGGAGCCUGGAGAGUGCAACUUUUAAUUAGAGCAGAAGUGAGAGAGCGAAAUGUUAUGUUGCGCGAAAUCUGAAAAUUUUAGGGUUCAGGGUUAGAAGUAUAAGAAUAAGAGCCAAAUCUAAAAAAUUUAGGUGGCGCGAAAUUUUUUAGAGAGCGCGCUCUUUAAAACGUCGAAAGAAAAACCAUGGCGAAAGUUCUACAAGAACCGACGUAAAUGUAAUAUUCCACGACGGAAACACUGAACGUAACGCCAUUUAUUUUGACGCUUCAUUUUUCGGAUUAAUUUUAAAUUUAUUUUGAAUAUUUUGAUAUAAAGACAACUGAAAAACCACGUCGGGGUUAAGAAAUUUAAGACGUUGUAAAUUAUAAUAGACGACUUACAUAUUAAAAUGACGUCGUUUAAAGUAUAAACCAUGUCGGAUAUUUUACUGCACGACGUAACAUAUGUAUUCCACGACUCAACUACCGUCGUUAAAAAUUAAUACCCUAAACCCUUAAAACUAAAUUACAUAAUUUAAAAAUUUAAGUUUAUAAAAGGGUUUAUGGUUUUACAGCCUAAUAUAUACCCUAUACUACCCAAAAAUUAUACUUUAAAAAUAAACCCCAAUAAAUAACAACCCUAAUCUCUAAACCCUAGACUCUAAACCCUAAACCAUAAAACUAGAAGUGAUUUUAUGACUCAUCAAAACAAUUUUGUUUUGGAUGGUCAUUUUAAAUUUUUGUUAUUCAAAAUGAAUUUUUUCAAGGUUUAGGGGGAAGAAAAUAUAUCAAAGACUUCAUAGGAGUUGACUUUGCAUUUUUCUGAUUUAUUUUAAAUUUAUUUUGAAUAUUUUGAUAUAAAAAUAAUAAAAUAUUCUUAUCACAACAACAAACCACGUCGGUGUUAAUAAAUUGUAGACGUUGUAAAUUGUAAUAGACGACUAAGUUGUUAAAAUGACGUCGUUUAAAUGAGAAACCAUGGCGGAUAUUUAACUAUCCGACGUAAAAUAUAUAUUCCACGACUUAACCGCUGUCGUUGCAAAGUACUACCCUGAACCCUUAAGAAAUUGAAGACGUUGUAAACCAUAAACGACUCAAUUGUUCAAAGAACGUCGUCUAAAUAUCCUUUUACGUCGGAUUUGUUUAAAACGAAACAACAAAAAACGACGGUUUUUGACUUUAUUAGGUCGUUGGAAAAGUAUUACACGUCGGUUACGCAAUUUGUAUGUUUGUUUUUUUUUUUAAUUUAAGAAAACCUCAACAAAUUUUUACAUUAUAUAUUAUAGACAAAAUUUGUACAUUAUACAUAAAUAUCAAGUGUUCAAUAAUUCCCCUAUUCCAGGUGAAGGCAAACAAACUCUGCCCAUUCAUUCCGGACUUCAUCAAUUGCUUCUUGGGGGUAUGGCGCUUCCUGUUUUCCCUUGGCAUACUGCAUAAACAAUGACUAUUAGGGUUUAUAAAUAAAAAGAAAUUCAAUCACAGACGACGAUAUUUUUCAUAACCGACGUAGUAUAUCUAUUCAACGACGGUAAUUUUACAUGACCGUCGUUGAUAAUACAAAAAAUGACGUAAAAUGUAUGAAGGUAAUUUCUUCUUACCUUCUUCUCAAACACCAAGGAAGGAUCCAUGAUGAUGUCCCUCAUGAAGCGCAUCACAUAAUACCCGCAUUCGACACUGCUGGGUUGCUUUGGUGUGCCUGACAGAGUUUUUCAAAUUACUGCUUUACGGCCUGAUCUGGCUAUGUGAGAAUUAUAUAUUUUUAUAGCACUGUUCACGAUGUUUUUGGCCUCUUCAUCGACCACACGAUUUCCGGGCAGAGGAUCCAGAAAAUAGACGAUUUCCCUCUUUGCUCUCACAAUCAGCAAGAUCCAAUGACGGCUGCACAAAAUUAAUAUAAAAACGACGGUUAUUUACAAAAACGACGUAUUAUAAUAUUUCACACGACGAAAUAAAGUAGCAAUCGACGGCAUUAUAUAUUUAUCAUGACGAUAAAUAACUACCGACGUGGUUAGUAGUUUCAAACGACUCAAUAAAAUAAAACACCGACGUGGUUAGUUUAUACGCUGUCAUUUAUUGAAAAUCAUAAAAACAAAAUCCUGUUAAGGAGACUAACCCUGGAUUGUAAGGCAUCAUGAAAAUCUGUUCACCAUCAGUCCUCUGAAGUCGAGCUGCUACCGGUCGUGAUCUGUCAGCUAUUGUCCCAGAGUUGGCACUAACUGUAGCAGGGUUGAUAAAGCCAACCAUGCUGCACAUAUUUGCUUGUUUCAAAAGAUCGUGUAAGUACCUAAAUAUAUAAAAUAAUAUAAACAAGUCAGCACAAAAAAAACACACGACGGUUAUGUAUAACAAAACGACGUAUUAUAAAAUUUCACACGACGUACUGAAAUAGACAACAACGUUAUAAUAUAUUUAUCACGACGGUACAUACUAACGACGUGGUUAGUUAGUUAAGACGACGCAAUAAAUAAACCAACGACGUAUUAUUUUAGAAUGACAAACCUCAUAUAUACAGCAAUGACAGUGGCUCCUAUUUCUUCCAUGCCUGCAAAUUGUGUAAUAUCUUCAGGCAGGAGGAAGGUAUCGCGUUCUAGACCAAACACCUUCUUAUCAAUUGUAAAGUUCAGGGUCUUAUCCUGAGGCACGAGUGUCGUUUUCACAUAACGACAAAGGGAUUUGAAAGAAGAUGGCGCCUCCAUAUUUGAAUAAUCAACAACUUUAAUAACCUGUUCAAAGAAAUAAAAAAAAUGACGUGGUAAUUCAAUAAAAACGACGGUUUAAGGAAUAAAACGUCGUCUGAAAAGAAUUUAAACGACGGUGAAAAAACCGUCGUGGUGAAUAAUUUAUUACGUCUUAGAAAAAAAUUCGCCGUCUAAGUUGUAAACAAACGACGGUUUAAAGAAAAAUAUCGAUGUCUGAAAUUUUGAAAAACAAAUAAAAAAGGCAAAGUUAUGUGAACAUACCUGGUCGUCAUGCUUUUCUUCAUCUUCUUUCUCCUUUUCAUCUUGUUUUUCUUCUUUCUUCUCUUCAUCUUUUUUUUCUUCUUCCUUCUCUUCAUCUUUUUUUUCUUCAUUCUUCUCUUCAUCUUGAUUUCCUUCAUUUUUCGGUUUUUAGUAAUAAAGAAUGUAGAGAAAUUAAAAAAAUUAAAUUCAAACGUCGUGGUAAGACAAAACACAAGAUAGUAUGGACGUCUUAAAUUAUUAAACGAUGGUAAAUAGUAAACGUCGUGGGAUUUAUAUAUUACGUCGGGAAUGACUAACACCGUCGUCUAAAAACCACAAAGUUUUAAAAAUAACGACGUUUAAUGGCGUGUAAAACAAGUAAACUAAAUACGACGUGGUAUUGAAAUACAAACGACGGUUUAUUUUUAAAAUCGUCGUGGUAUGUAUUUCAAACGACGGUUUUAUUAAUAAUAACGACGUCUAAUAGUUUUUUAAAAAACAGAGAAUUCAAAGUUCAAAUAUGUUACCUUUUCUUCCUGAUGUUUCCCAUUUUUGGCAGUAUCAUCCUCAAAAUGUAGGGAUCUCACAUCACCUCCAGAGCAGCUUGCUUUGUCAGACAUUGGAUUUCUGAGACUUUGGCUAAUUCUUGGUUUAAGCAUGCUUGGAUCAAAAUUGGGAAUUAAUUGGGAAAGCUGACUCAGGAAAUGCUCCCUCUCAGCCUCUACCAAUUGUUUGGUUCUAGCCUCCAUCCUUAAAGCCUCUUCCCUUGCCUUAGCUUCCAUCUUUUUAUUCUCUUCUUGAAGGAGAACUCUUAAACUGUCCUUUAAACGGUCGUCAAAGCUCAUCCUCUGUGGUUUGGGUAAAUUGAAAUAUUGCCUUGGGGAAAUCCCAGCACCUACACCUCUCACUCUGCCUGGAUGCUCGGGGUCCAAAGCCAUGGUCAGCACAUCAUUGCUGCCAGAUACACUGACUUUGCCUUCCGAGACUUGUUUUUGCAAUUCAUCCUAAAACAAAGAUAUAUAAAAAAGUAAGAACAAAAAACACACGACGGUUAUUUAUAUACAAACGACGUAUUAUAUAAUUUCACACGACGCAAUAACAUAUAAAUCGACGUUAUUAUAAUUUAUCACAACGGUAGUUAUACCGACGUGGUUAGUUUUUUAAAACGACGAAAUGAAUAAACCACCGACGUCUUAUGCUUUAUUUACAGAUAACAGAGGGAUGAUUCAAUAUUCACACCUUUAACGACCUUGUUUAACACAUUUCGACGUAGUAAUUUAAUACAAACGACGCGAAAAUGAACCACCGACAUCUUAUGCUAUAAUUACAGAAAACAGAGUAGUGAUUCCUGAUUUAGACCUUUAACGACGUUUUUAAAAAAAUGUCGACGUGGUAAUAUCAUUCACACGACGCAAAAUAUAACAUAAGACGUGAUAAGAAUUAUUCACAGUUUAAUAAAAAUUUAAAACAGAGUGAGUAGGCUUACAAUUAAUUUUGCUUUCUCUGCCACCUUUGGAUCUGGGAUGUUACCAUGUUUGUCCUGUCUAGCUCUUUUCCAUAAGGUAGAUCGAUCAAUUUCUACCCCAGGCAUGGUUUCCUCCAAUUGAUCCUCCAAACCAGCAUAUCCUUUUCGAGACAAUCGAUGAUUGUACUCAAGUUUCUCCCUAAUCUGUGCAUGUUGAGAAUGCACAGACUCAAAAUCUUUGGAUAACUUUGAAGCUACAAAGGCAUCCCAUUGUGCUUUCUCUAUGAAUUUAUAUGUCUCAGGGGGUUGGCUUAAUCUCUCCCUGUCAUUGAUGUAUGGAAGGAUAUAAUGCCUCGUUAGUGUAGACUUGAAAUCCUUCCAUUUCUUGGCAGCAGAAGCUAACACAGAGUUCUUGCCCCCUUGACCUACCACAAAAGCAAUGUCAACUGCUUCCCAAAUCUGCUCCUUUAUAUCCUUGGGAAUUUGAGCCCAUUUCAUGUCCACAAGUGGAACUCUGGAGCGUGCCAACACACCAAUGUAGGACUGCAUCUCACUAUGUGCUUGGCCAAUUCCUUUCCCCCUUUUAUUGUACUCAACAAUUGGCCUGAGUUUAUGAAGUUUUCUCUUCACAACACGAGGCAUUGUGUUCAUACCUCGACCAGACUUUGAAUCAUCAGAGAUUGUUGUCGUGCUGGUUGGUUCUGUCUCAGCAGAUGAUGAAGAAAACUUCAUCUUCUUCAAAGACUUCUCUUCAGAAGUUACCAUUCCAAGCUCCUUACCUCCAUUUUUCUUGGAGCCAGAGUCCUUACUUUGGUCUUGAGAAACCAUUUUUACAGACAAAACUGCAAGUGAAAAUAUUUCAGGAAAAGAUUAAGAACACAAACGACGGUUAUUAAUAAAAUAUGACGUAUGAUAUGAUUUUAAACGACGCAAUGAAAUAAUCUCAGACGUAAUAAAUGUUUAAAACCAAGGUAAUUAAACAACGACGAAAUAAUAUAAAAUAAGACGUAAUAAUAACUUAUUACGUCGAUAUUUACCGGACGACGUGAUAAUUAACUAUAAACGACGAAAUAUUUAUAUAACGUCGUGGUAUUGAUGUUCACACGACGUCAAUAGUAAUAUACCGUCGUCUAUAUAAGGAUCCAAAAUCCUUCUUUCUUUCUCUGUGAAUGUUUGAUUGUAGAUUUGAUUUUUCUGAACCAUGGUUUUUGUUUUCUAAUUUGAUAAAAUACAAGGCCAAGAAAGAAAGUUUUGGAAUCUUAUAUAGACGACGGUAUUUUAAUAUGACGUCGUUAUAUUAACAUUCACACGACGUAAAAUAAUAAGAUACUGUCGUCUAUAUUAGAUACCAACCCUACUUUCUUUUUCUUUAUAUUUUAUCAAAUUAGGGAAAAACAAAAACCAUUGUUCAGAGAAAUCAAACCUGCAAUUAAACAAGCAAAUAAAAAAAAGACUAUAAUUUUAAAAACAACUUUGUCAAUUUUCAGACGACGCUAGAACGACUGACGAACCGUCGUGGUCUACAUAUUUAACCACGUAAAUAAGAAGCUACCGUCGUCUUAUUUAGUUGAGGUAGUUGUCUUCAAAGUUGGAAACUUUCCCUCUUUGUCUGUAUAUUUUAUCAAACUUGGAAAGAAGUAAAAUGAUUUUGGCCAGAAAAAAGGUAAAAAGAUUUUUCAAACAAAAAACGUAUGAGCAUGCAAAAUAGCAACCAAAAUAGUGAAAAUGAAAUCUUACCUUUUGCGUGCAAUGAAAGCAAGAGGAAGACGAUGUUUAAGUUCAGAGACGACGAAGAAGACGAGAGGAAGACGAUAAGAUACUCUGACAGUGCUCUGACAAGGAAAAAAGUCAAAAAGUUUUCUCUGGGAGAUUGAAAUUUUUAAUCGGGUUUGGAAACAGUGCAUGUGUAAGUCAGGUAGACGAAAAGUUGCUUACAUAUAAAACCAUUUCAAAAAAAUAAUACGGCGGUUACAUAUAACUACGACGUAUAAAUUACAAAAUACGACGGUACAUUUAACUUCGGACGUGGUAAAUAAAUACGACAGUAGUGUUGUAGGUACCGUCGUAAUAAACUCAAAAAUUAAAGUACAUAAGUAAUAACUCGCGUCAUGGUAGAUUAUUUAACACGUCGUUUUUAUUAAUUUACCGACGUUGAUUUUACAAUUUAAACGGCGGUUUUUUUGUAAGGACCGCCGUUGGUUUUAAAAAUUUAUUCUAUAAAUUUGUCGCUUUCAUUCAUUUUCGGUUUACAUUUAGGGUUCCAAGUUCUUCCUCUCUCAGAGACACUGUCUCUCACAUCUCAAAGACAAUAAUUUGGAUGUCUUUCUCAAAGAGAAAUUGAGCUUACUCGCAUCAAAUCUAUGUCCACAAGAAGAAGCUUGUCAACUAGCCUUCUCACUUCCUUGAUCAAGCCUGAUAGGACACUUAGUGCUUCUGAAUACUCCUUGCUUUCCAUCAAAAGAGAUGCAAGCCUGGGCUCCACUCGCUGUCGAAGGAAAGUUCGCUUCUCAGGGAAAUCUGAAGAUCAGAUGUGCCUGAUCCUCUGCUUGAUUUUCUUGGCUAAGAAGAUCCGUCAUAUUUGUGAUAGCCUCUUCCUUUAUCCGUAGAGCUUCAGACGAAGAAGAUGGGUUUCAAGAAUGCGAUAAAGAAUAGAAAUGGCUUCAGAUGGCCUCUAAAGACAUUGUCAAUGCUUUGAACUAUACAAGUCCUGUAGAAAGAUAAAGGACCAAACUGUUAAAGAAACUGAAACAACGGCGGUUUUCUGUUCUACCGUCGUCUUUUUUCGUCGUCUAUAUUAAGGUAAGAUGGCGGUAGAUUUAUAAUUACCGACGUAGAUUAUUUUGUUAAACGUCGUUAAGUGUAAUACAACCGACGUGGAUUUUAUUUUUAAAUUAUAAAUAGAGUUUUUUUUCCCGAAUUCUUUCAGUUUUAGUUUUCAAUUACAAAGCGUGAUAAAUAGAUUUUUCUUUCCCGAGGAAAUUUAAAAUGAGGGAAAUUAAUGUUCUAGAAUUUGUAAACUAACACGACGCAAUAUUACUAACCAGAGGAAAUUAUAAACAGAUUUUGCUUUCCCGAAGAAAUUUUAAAUUAAUUCAGUUUGAAACAAGGACGGUUUUUUGUUAUGCCGUCGUUUUUAACUAACACGACGCAAUAUUUGUUUUGCGACAUGGAAUCUUUUCAUUUAACGUCGUUAGGUUUAAUAUAAUCGACGUGGAUUUGAAUUUUUAAAUUAUGAAUAGAAUUUUUUUUCCCGUGACCUUUCAGUUUAUUUUUCAAUUACAGUGCGUUAUAAAUAGAGUUUUUUUUCCGGAGGAAAUUUAAAAUGAAGGAAAUUAAUGUUCUAGAAUAUGUAAAGUUUCUUUUUUGGAUGACAGAUUUAAAUAAAAUAAGAAUAUAAAAACAACGACUGUUUUUGUAUUACUGUCGUCGUUUUUCGUCGUCUUAAGUAAGACUAAGACGACGUAAUAUAUUUGUUGAGCGACGUUGAUUUGUUUUUUAAACGUCGUUAGGUAUAAUAUAACCGUCGUUGAAAAUUGUCUCUCUGAUUGCAAAUUUGCAACGACGUUAGGUAUAAUAUUUGUAGAUACACAAACGCACACACAUCAUCAACUUCCAAAAAAUUGUCUCUCUGAUUGCAAAUCUGUGUUAUCUGUUAAGAUUAUGAUGUGGAACAGAGUUCCAUCUGGUAAGAUUUCUUAACCCUUGGGAUCUUAGAAAAAUCUGAUUAUGUCGGCGGUUUUCUAUAUAAACCGUCGUGGUUAUUUCAAUUCUUGUCAUUAAGUAGAUCUACCGACGUAGGAUAAGAAAAUCAAAGAAAAAAAUUGUUAACAAAAAUUCUUAUUAAGACGACGGUUUAAAUUAAAGGUACGACGUAUAAAAUGAAUAAAUACGACGUUAAAUUUUAUAGUACGAUUUAAAGAUAACGUCGUAGAACUAUACGAGAAUGACGUCGAUAUAUUUAUAUUUUCCGUCGUUGUACAUUAAUUUAAUACGGCGAUAUUUUGUAUUUUAAAGCCGUGGAUUUGUUUGUAAUUAUACGGCGUCUUAUACGAAAACCUCGUCGUGUUAUUUUAUGAGUAAAAACGGCGGCUUUUAUUGAAAUCGUCGUCUUUACUUUCUACGUCGGUCGAUUCAUAACUUCUGCCGUUCUUUGUUGGCUUUGAUUUUACACUGCGGAAAUCUGUUUCAAAUAGACGUCGGUUGUUUAAUUCGGUACAUCGUUGUUUUUGAACAGCCAUUUGAAUCUCCAUUUUUUAGUUGUCUAAGGUGGUAUUACACGACGGUGUUUUUAGAACCGUCGUCUUUUUAAAAACCACGACGGUUUUCACUUAGACCGUCGUUGUUUUCUGGUCGUCUUUUUCACUUUUUGUAGUAGUGAUUGCUAAAUGGAACAAGGAAAUUACAUAAUAUUACAAAUGAAACUAAGCUCUAGUGAUCUCCAUGUGCCCAAAAAUCAAACCCGAUCCAAUGCAUCUUCGUGGUUUAAUGAAUAUGGCACUUUGCUUGAAAAAGGACUUGCACACUCAAAUAUCUUUUAUAUGCAAAGAGCUUCCAUUGAGGAAUUACUUAAAUAAGUUAUUUGGAGGACACCCUUGUAGGGCCCACUUCACAUUAUAUUUCACUAAUGAAUAAUAAGGCCAUGGAGUGGAAAACAAUUUGAAUCUUUAUUCUGAUUGCUUGAUAUAACGUUUAAUUGGGUUUAAUUGUGAAAAAUACUGUAUACCCACUAAAAUAUCAUUUACCUGUUUGUUUGUUCUGGGCAUUAAAUUCUGUUGGGUAUCUUUGUUUUUAACGUAGACUUUCCCUUCAAUUUAUUUGAUUCCUACAAGGAAAACUUUUGCAGAAGAAGCUACUGGUCCACAUGGUUCUUCAUCCACAAACUUAGACAAUUUAGUGAAGCAAGUGCUAUUGAGAAAAAGUGAAGAUGUUUCCAUAAGAAUAUUGAUGUUAUUAAUUAUCAUUUCCAUUGCCAUUGUCUCAAAUAAUCAACUAUCUGGCAAUAUAUAUGUACUACUGGUCUGUAACCAUGAUGCAUACUAUAUCUAGAAUUUUUUUCUGAUUAAGGUUUCACUACGCUUCAGGCCUUUAACUCUAAAAUCUUAUUGGAGAAUCGGCUAAUAUUUAAUUAUUUUUUUAUACGUAUUUCCUUUUUAUUAUGUUCUAUACAUAUUUAAUUGGAUUACUACUCUCAAGGAAGAUUAUCCUUAAGUAUUAUAUUCAACAAAUUACUAUUCAUGUGUCAGUUGGUUUACAUUUAUUGUAUUAAAUCAAUACUCACCAAUUCUUUAAAGUGUGAGAUAAUUAGUCACAAAUAAUGGUGACUAGUAACCAAAGUCAUUGACCACCCAUUCAAAUGUCACCAAAACUAUUUUGUUGCUAUACAAAUAUGACUAAUGCUUUCUAUUUUGUCGCCGGAUCAAGGCCGUGAAGUUCCGGGUUAAACCGUGAGUUUCCGACGCCGAUUCCAACCACUUGCCGUCCGAAUUGGACUUGGGUGUAGUUGAAUAAAAUGUUCCACUCGUCGAGUAGAACCUGUAGCCGGGAGGGUGGCUUGUAGUUUGGAGAUUUUCCGGUGAAGCUUUAUCGCUUUGGACACCUGCGCUUGUGGCGGCACGUGGGCACUGUAGCAGAGGGGAAUUAUUGUCCCAAUGCAAUCUCCUGGUUGUCACGAGUACGUAGGAAUUCGCGGAUCUCAAUUCGGAUGUCGUUUGACUAUCGAACGGAUUUUCGCAUAGUGUGCGUUAUCCGGGUUCGAUAGGUUAUGACCGUUGGAUCAUUUCCCAAUUAAAUUAUGUUGUUCUAGGUAUUCCUAGGAUCGUGUAGGACUUCGCAGAUCGUGAAUCGGAGCCCGGAUGUUCCAAUUCAAUAACUUAAAGUUUGAGUUUUAUAUUAACCGUCCGAUCGUGCGAUCGUAAGCGAUCUAACCGUCUGUUUUGGACCAAACUUGCGACACGGGUAUCUUAGACCUUGUGGAACCUUUAGGAACUUACGGAUUGUAAAACGGAGGUCGUGGGUCCCGUGGACCCGGUUGACCUGAAUUGGGAAGUUUGACCGCCGGUUGACCGAGUGUCUCCCGAAGUUGUUCUAUCGUCCAAAUUGAGUAGUUGGACCUUAGAAUGUCUCAUUCCUAGUACACUUACUAGAAACUUGGGAAAUUAGGAUAUUUAAUUCAAAGUACUCGUUCGAAACGCUUCGUAUUAAUCUUGUGUACGUAUUCUGAAUUAGGUACUUCGAUCACGCAUACGCAGCAGGCGGGACCCUCUCAGGGUCAAGCAGCGUGGGACUACUUGUGAGUGAACUUUGUUUUCAAAUCUUAUACAUGUUUUUAUUGAUGAAAGAUUUAUGCAUAAUGUUUUUAAUGAUUUAUUGAAUAUAUUAUAUUCAUGGGUUGAAUUUGAUGUUUGUAUAGCGCUUUGUCAAUAUAUUGUGGGUUUGGCAUUGUUGGGUAUUGAAAGCAUAUUUUAUAUGGAUUUUGGGAAAUAUUAUGCAUGAUGUUUUAAACGGUAUUUUGGAUAUAUUAUUUAUGAAAUUGUUGAAAGUGAUAUUUUUAUGAGGCAUUGAAAAUAUAUUUUGGGUUUUGACAUAUUUGAGUAUCUUGAGUAUGAAUAUAUGGAUUUUGAGGAUUUCUAUAUAUAUUUGGCUAUGUGUGAGGUACUUGGGUUGUUGAGAUGAGAUUGUGGAAAGUGGUGAGUAUAGAAUGUCAGUUUGGUGUGAAGCACUACCCUAUGUACCUCCCCUGAUUUGGAACUUGGAUAUAGAGACUUGAGAUACUUGGAAUUGUCGGAACCCGGGGCAUCCUUGACGGGAUGUUGCUGUACACCCUUAAUUGGGUAGUCUGCGCGUGUAGGACUGAUCACAGACGUAUGAGUUUUGAGGUUAUCGACGGUACGUGCUGGCUGAGAGUUGGUCCCCCAGUUGGACGGCUCGUUCCCUAGUCACAUAGUGGAUUGAGGACUUUUCAUGAGGACUCUGCCAAGGUGACUAGUCAAAAAAUCCCCCGGUUCGAUUGUUUCCCCGGUACAACUAGGUGAUGGUCAUAUUUAUAAUAUAUAUAUCUCUUAUAUGAUAUAUUUAUAUAUAUAUAUAUAUAUCUAUUGAUUCAUUCUUGUUUAUCGGUGUGGAUACUUCCUUGCCGGUCUUACCAAUGGGUACGCUUUCGAGAGUUUAGUUGUGAGAUUUAUAAGUUUUGGAUGGUGGGUUUUGUAAAGCGUUCUUUAUGGAUUUUGAACUUCGUAUCUGGUAUUGAUUUGUUUUGAUAUAUAUAUAUUAUAUAUAUAUAUACUUGAGUAUGAUGGUUUUGAGAUGCAUGGGAUUUCUUGCAUGGUUUUCUAAACGGUGGGGUUAUAUUACGUUGGUUUACAUUGAACUGAAGUUAUUUUUGUCCACUCACAAUUUUCUGUUUUGCGCCCCCCAGCCAGUAGUUGACUGAGCUCCGCAGCAGAGCCGGAUCAUGAGCUUCCGAACCUUGAGUCUUCGUAGGACUCUUUCUUCAUGUUUUUCCCUUUGAACUCUGUUUUGUUGAAAUUGAAGUUCUUAGCCAUGCUCUGUUAUCGCCCCUGUUAGGGUUUGAUUUGUGAGGCCGGAGGCCAUUUUGUUGUAAACUGUUUAUUCGCUUUAAAGCAUGCUGCUGGUUGGGAUUAUUCUAUGUUUAUGCAGGUUGAAUUUUUGUUGGGUUUGUUCAAUUCACAGGGGAGACUUUGCCAAAAUUUUGGUAGAGAGUAUGGGUUUUUAGUAAGUGGGCCCGGCAUCGGGAUGAUGUCGGAACAAAGACGGGAUUCGCCCUGGUUUCCGGGAAUUACGUAUAUAAUACAACUUCAAUAUUUAUAUGUAUAUUAUUUCAUUAAAUAUUUAUAUAUACAUAUAUAUGUUCUUUUGAAUAAAAGGGGUUAAAUUAUAUAUUUGUUCAUUAUUUCUUGAGAUGCCAUUAGAUGGUUAUUGGAUGCUUUCUAUACAUAUAUAUUAAUAACAUGGAUUAAGAGUUUAGACGUGGCAUCCUUACAUUGUUUUCUUGGAGAGAAAGACUAUUUCUCUCUUAUCUUAAUUAGGAUGCCGGAUGUGGCUUUUUCCAUUAAAUUAGUUGAUGCAUUACCAUGCAUUUGCACAGCUCAUGCUUACAAUUUGGUGAGUAAGCUUUAUCUUAGCUUCAAUAGGUGUCACAGCCUUUGGAAAUAAAUCUCCUAGCGUUGACACAUAGCAACUUAUAAAAUAGAGUGGCAACCAAGUUAUCUUUUCGUAUAAAUAAGAUAAUGUCCUUUGUUAUUAUCCUCUCCAUUGUUACGCCAUCUCACCACCAAUAAAUAGAAGUUUUAAUGGAAGGAAGAGAUAUCAGGCAAAGGGUAAAGAGAGAGGGAGAGAGAGAUGAUGAUGAUGAAAUUCUUAGAAGAGAUAUAGGAUUUAGCUUGUAUUUUCUUAACUUGGAGAGAGAGAGAUGAUGAUGAAAUUCUUAGAAGAGAUAUAGGACUUAGCUUGUAUUUUCUUAACUUGGAGAAAUGCUUUAGAAUCGAGGUAGGAGUUUCUUGGUGACCUUUUAUAAAGAUUGAUCAAAUUAAAUUUCGUGAGCAUUAUAUCAUGCAUGAUAUUAUUAUUCGAUUAUUAUUGAUAUUGGGUGUUUAAGUGUUGUUAAUUAUCAUAUUAUUUUAUUAAUAUUGACAUGAUCAUAUGUUAUCGGUGAUGGCUGGAAUUCUUGGGUUGAUAAAGAAAGUAUGGAAAAGGGGAUAAUGGGAAGGAUCUUUUGUGUAGUUGAGUCUAACUCUUGGUAAGUACCAGGUCUCAGGGAUCCCGCAGCGCACAUGGUUUUUAUUGGGCGAUUCAGGACUGGCGACAGGGAGUUAGACAAGAUGACUAACGAAAGGGAAAUUAUGGGAUGAUUGAAAUGGGUGUUAGUUCAUACAAAUGGGCAUUCGGGACCAAGUGGUAUAAGCAUGGUAUGGGACGUGCAAAUCUGCUUGUCCAGUUAUAUGAAUUAACAGGAGUAGAUGAAGAGCAUUCAUUCAUGCAUUAUUAUUAAUAAUGUGAUAUUUGGCUGUGUGAUUGCAUGUCACUUAAUUUAGAUAUAUCAAUCUACUGCGGUAAGGUCUCAUGUCCCUACUGAGCGGUGAUUGUUCAUUCCUCACCCUGUUUAAUUUUUCAGAUGAAUUAGUAGGCAAGACAAAGACUAAACCAAUUGAGGCUAAAUUAGAUGAGAGUGAUAGAGCUUUAUUUUUUUAAUUUUAAAGUUGUAAGAUUUUGGGAGCUAUUUUUAUAAGAAAAGUUUAUUUUAUGUUUCAACUUCCUGUUAUUCUAUUUUACUUUUUAUUUUCUCAUGCACUAGGCACGAGGUUUCCACUAACCCCCAGGUCCGAGGCGUGACAGAAUGGUAUAAGAGCUUUAGGGAUUAAAUACCCUUGGGAACUGUGGUAUAGUAUUACCACAAAGUAAAUUUGAAUUGGUGAAGUAAGUUAGUGACCUAACUUUUCAGGAGCAUAUUUCUUUUUAUGAUUAAGUGUAGUUUACGUAAUAAUUGUUUAGUAUUGUUUUAUAUAUGUUGGUUUAAUUUGGUAGAAAUAUUUGGUAAAGGUUCAAUUGUUAAGAUAGCUAGAGUAGAUGGGAAACGUGACAAUGAUAAGAAUGGUAGCAUGAGGGUAAUACUAACCAUUCAGGAUAUGGCCUUUGCAAUACGUGAAACGAAUCAACAAAACCAAGAACCCCAUCAAGAGAUUCAAGGUGGUCAAACAAUGAGUGUUAAAGGAGAAAGAUAAAUGAACAAAGAGUUCUAGGAAAUCUGAAAGUGGCUAUUGCUUCUACCUAUUUGGGAGGAGCAAGGAGACCAGAAUAACUCACUCAAGGACAUGUGUAUGCUAUUGGACAAGUGACAAAGCAAAAUGAACCUACUAUGGUAGAAGGUACAUUUCUAGUUUACAACUCAUGGGCUAAGAUAUUGUUUGACCGGUGCUACAAAUUCAUUCAUCUCUAUUUCGUUUGCGUUUAUUCUUGGAUUAGAAUAUGAAUUUAUGAAAUCUUCAUUAAUGGUUGGAUCUCCAUUGGGUAAAUGUGUCGAAGUUAAUAAGGUGUGUAGAUCUUACAUAAUAGAGAUAUCAUAUCAUAAAAUUGUUGUUGACCUUAUGAUAUUGGAAUUAAUGGAGUAUGAUGUAAUAUUAGGGAUGGACUUGACCCAAUUUAAAGCUAUUUUUGAUUGUGGUAGAAAGAUGGUGACUAUGACUCUUAGCGAGGGAAAACAUGUAGUUUCUAUGGAAGUAGGAAUACUCACAUCAAUCUUGGAUAAUGGAAAUUGUAAUUAUUUGAGAUUGAUUGCUCACAUGGUCACUGAGGAUCUAAGUAAUACCAAGCUUGAGCUUAUCCCAAUAGUGAAAGAUUUCGGUGAUGUUUUCCCAGAAGAAUUAUAUGGAAUCCCCCUAGAAAUGGAGUUUUUCUAUAGAUAUUUAUCCUGGCAUGUCACCUAUAUCUAUACCUCCACAUUGAAUGGCACCAAUAGAGUUGAAGGAACUCAAAACACAACUUCAAGAACUUGAAAGUAAAGGUUUUAUUCGUCCUAGUACCUUACCAUGGGGGUUUUUUCUCCAUUCUUUGUGAAGAAAAGUGAUGGAAGUUGUAACACCCCGACCUCAAAUUUAACCUUUAUUUAAUUAUUUAAUUAUUUAAGGGCAUUUUGGUCAUAUUUUUAACCGGAGAGAGUUUGGGGCAGUGACUAUGUCACAUCCCGGGAUCAACUCCGUCGUAGCACGAUAUUGUCUGCUUUGGGCCCCCCCUCUCUGGCCCUCACGGUUUUGUUUCUGGGAGCUCACGAGCAACUUCCCAGUGGGUCACCCAUCCUGGGAUUGCUCUGGCCCCCAACUCGCUUAACUUCGAAGUUCCUACGACUUCGAAGCCAGUGAGCUCCCAAAAGGCCUCGUGAUAGAUGGAUGCGGGUGUGCACAUAUAAGGCACAUCGCCCCCUCUCCGUUGGUUGAUGUGGGAUCUUACAAUCCACCCCCCUCAAGGGCCCGACGUCCUCGUCGGCACACUCACACCACACGGCAGAGUGGCUCUGAUACCAAAUUGUCACAUCCCGGGAUCAACUCCGUCGUAGCACGAUAUUGUCCGCUUUGGGCCCCCCCUCUCUGGCCCUCACGGUUUUGUUUCUAGGAGCUCACGAGCAACUUCCCAUUGGAUCACCCAUCCUGGGAUUGCUCUGGCCCCCAACUUGCUUAACUUCGAAGUUCCUACGACUCCGAAGCCAGUGAGCUCCCAAAAGCCCUCGUGCUAGAUGGAUGCGGGUGUGCACAUAUAAGGCACAUCGCCCCCUCUCCGUUGGUUGAUGUGGGAUCUUACAGACUAGUAUUUUUAGAUAGGUCGUACUGAGACGAGUUCAUAGACAUGUAGUGGGCUCGAAUCGGAGUUCUAACGAGAGAGAUAUGGUCAAAAGAAGCCCAGUGGCACAAUCGUAAAUAUUUCAAAAUGGGAUUUUUUUUAUAAAAACUCAGAUUUUUUUUUCUCUCUCUCUCUCUCUCUCUCUCUCUCUCCCGCGGGUGUCUCUCUCCUCUCUCUCGCGCGCGACGGCAGCUGGCCACGUUUUGGCCGGCCGUGCUCUCCUCCGGCCACCAAUGACGACGGGACCGGUACCAAAAUGACCGGGCCGUCGUCCUCUCGAGCUGCUCUAGCUGAUGGUUGGGUAGGAUUAGAUCGAUUCUUAGCGUAGACAAUUCGAUUUUCGAAUUGAAAUUCGGCCGGUUUUGGGAUCGCGAUUCCGGCCACUUCCGGUCAGUUUUUGGGGUAGGUCCAAGAACAAAAGUGGCUCCAAAUAGGGUGUUAUACCUAGGGUAGGAGUUUUGAGCUGUGGUUUUGAGAUUUUCCGGCGAAGCCGUUAUCGCUUUGGGCACCCACGCGCUGCCGGCGCGUGCGGCGGCGUGUGGGCACUGUAGAAAAAGUAGCAAUGUGUUCCGAUGAGAUCCUUAGGUUGUCACGAGUGCGUAGGAUUUCACGGAUCUCAAUUCGGACGUCGUUUGACUAUCGAACGGAUAUUCGCAUAUUGCGCGUUAUCCAGGUGCGAUAGGUUGGGGCCGUUGGAUGGACCCAAAUUUAAUAUAUGUUGAUCUAGGUAUUUCUAGGAUCGUGUAGGAAUUCACGGAUUGUGAAUCGGAGCCCCGGAUGUUCCGAAAAAUAAUUUUAAAGUUUAUAUUUUAUAUUAACCGUCAGAUCGUGCGAUCGUGAGCGAUCCGACCGUCCGAUCUGAACCAAACUUGCAGGACAAGAUUCCUAUACCUGGUAGAACCCAUAGGGACUCUCGGAUCGAAAAUUGGAGGUCGUGGGUUCCGCAGGUCCUUUUGACCAGGGUUAGAGUAGUUUGACCCUUGGUUGACCGUGAGUCUCCCGGAGUAAUCUCACCUUUCUAGGGGAGAUUAUCGGGUACUAGAUUAUUGUGGAGGGUUACACAAUAUUAGAAUUAAUUUAUAUAUUUAUAAUUAUAAUAUGUUUGUACAAGAGUACAAAAGAGUCUAGACUGUCAGUUUGGAGUGCUAUACCCACUACUUUAGGUACCUUCCCAAAUUUUGGAUUCACUACAAGCACCACCAAGUGAAAGUUAGGUCUCACAUGGCGUAGGUUAUCCGGCGUUAAGACAGGCCCCAUACGUGGCGUUGGUUGUACCGGCGUAUGGGGAGAUAUUGUGAUAUUGUGUUGAGAUCGCACGUGGCGUAGGUUAUCCGGCGUGUCGACAGACCCCAUACGUGGCGUUGGUUGUACCGGCGUAUGGGGAGAUUUUUGAUAUGAUAUUGAGGUCCCGCGUGGCGUAGGUUAACCGGCGUUGGGACAUGCCCCAUACGUGGCGUUGGUUGUACCGGCGUAUGGGGAGAGAUGUGAUAUGAUGUGCAGGUUUCGCGUGGCGUAGGUUAUCCGGCGUUGUGACAGAUCCCAUACGUGGCGUUGGUUGUACCGGCGUAUGGGGAGAUAUUAUGAUAGUAUGGCAUGGUCGCACGUGGCGUAGGUUAUCCGGCGUGUUGACAGGCCCCAUACGUGGCGUUGGUUGUACCGGCGUAUGGGGAGAUAUUAUAUGAAAUACAAAGAAAUGAAAUAAGGUAUCGCCCAAGUGUGGAAUUAGGUUUUAUGGAAGAACUACGUGUGGCUUGAUCCCUCAAGGAGGGUACGUAGGCAGCCUAAGGUUAUUAGCUGCAGCCGCAGACUAAAUAUUAGUCAUAAUUGGUAUUUGAAUUGUUUGGUAGUUGGUUAAGAAUUAUUGGAAGGCCGAAGGCCAUUUGUGCGAAUUGCAUGAAAUUAUAUUGUGCAUGCUGCCAGUUGGGAAUAUUAAAUGUGUUUUCAUGCAGGUAUAAAUUUUGGGAAAUGUCCAAUUUAUAGGGGAGACUCUGCCGAAUUUUCGGCAGGAAGUCUCGGUUUUGAGUAUUUGGGCCUGAUAUCGGGAGGAUGUCGGGAAUUUCAAAGGGUUCGCCUCGAGUUCUGAAAAAUUCGGAGCGGGUCCUUUCAGAAGUCUUAGGAUGUGUUUUGUUGCAAGCUAACAAAGUAGUUGCAUACGACUUUUGUCAAUUGAAAUGACAUGAAAAGAAUUAUCUAACACAUGAUCUAGAAUUGGCAACCAUUGUUCACACACUGAAGAUAUGGAGAUAUUAUUUGUAUGGGGAACGUUUUGAACUCUUUUUGGAUCAUAAGAGUUUGAAGUAUUUAUUGACUUAGAAGGAGUUGAAUUUAAGACAAAAGCGAUGGAUGGAAUACCUGGAAGAUUAUGAUUUUGACUUACAUUAUCUUCCAGGAAAGGCUAAUGUGGUAACAGAUGCUUUAAGUCAAAAUCCUCAAGGAAUUGUAGCAAGUUUGUAUGAUCAAAGGUGGAAGAUGGUGGAGUCUCUUUACGAUUUUGACCUAUAUAUAGGUGCGCAUGAGGAUUGUGCAUAUCUAUGUAAUUUGGUAACUCACCCCACUUUGAUUGGAAGAAUAAUUGAGGCACGGGAUUUGGAUUCUAUGUCUGAAGACAUUCGAACUAAGAUUACAACUAGAAAGACACAGGAAGGAUGGAGUAUCCUCACAAGCAGUGGAUUAAGAUAUUUGAAUAAGUUUUAUGUACCAAAUAUUUCUGAUAUAAGAAAUGAAGUUCUCAGAGAAAGUCAUCAUUCACCUAUACAAUUCAUUCUAGAGGGACAAAGAUGUAUCGUGAUUUUAGACGUAAUUUUUGGUGGAGUAGUAUGAAGGGAGGUGUAGAAAUAUUUGCAGCAAAAUGUCUAACAUGUUAGCUGGUGAAAACUGAAUAUCAGAAACCGUCAAGUCCAUUACAGCCAUUACCAGUAGUAGAAUGGAAAUGAGAUCAUAUAACAAUGAAUUUUGUUACAGGUUUACCUAAAUAUCCAAAAGGACGUGAUGCAAUAUGGAUUAUGGUGGAUCGUUUGACCAAAUCUGCACAUUUCAUACCAGUCAAAUCAAUGGAUUCCACUAAAAAUCUUGGAAAGCUUUACGUUAGAGAUAUAGUAAGAUUACAUGGAAUUCCUAUUUUGAUUGUAUCGGAUAGAGAUUCCAAGUUUACUUCUAAAAUUUGGGGAAGCUUACAGAAAGUGUUAGGUACGCAACUAAAUUUGGUACCGCCUUUUAUCCCCAAACUUAUGGACAAUUGGAGAGAACUAUUCAAAUUUUAGAGGACUUGUUGAGAGCAUGUAUUCUAGAUUUGGAGGGAAGUAGUUGGGAAGAUCAUUUAGUGGUAGUAGAGUUUGCCUACAACAACUAUCAGUCUAGCAUUCAGAUACCACCUUAUGAAGCUUUAUAUUGAAGACCUUGUCAAUCACCUGUGUGUUGGACUGAAGUAGGAGAAACUGUAUUGCUAGGACCUGGUUUGGUACAAGAGACAACUGAAGGGAUUAAAGUUAUCAAGCAACGUCUUUUAACUACUCAAAGUUGACAAAAGAACUAUGUAGACCGAAGAAGGAAAACAUUAAGUAUUGACGUGGGUGAUUAUGUAUUUCUUAAACUCUCACUACUAAGUGGAGUAAAAAAAGGUUUGGGAAGACUGGAAAAUUAUCACCAAAGUUUGUUGGACCAUUUGAAAUCUUAGAAAGGAUGGGUGAAGUAGCUUAUAAGUCAGCAUUACCACCUCAACUGUUGAAUGUACCUGAUGUUUUCCUUGUUUCUAUGCUUCGAAAGUAUGAGCCUGAUCCAACCCAUUUUCUAGAUUGAGGAGAGCUCAAUUUAGAUGAGGAACUGUCAUUUGAAGAAAGACCGACUCAGAUUUUGGAUUCUAAGGAACAAGUGUGACGUACGAAAAUAAUACCAUUGGUCAAAAUUCUUUGGGUACAUGGGAAUACAUUGGAAGCUACAUGGGAAUUAGAAACUAAAAUGUGUAAGAAGUACCCAUAAAUUUUUCCCUUAUUCCAGUUUUUCUUUUUAACUCGAAAUUUCUUUAAGGAGAGUAGAUUGUGAGAGUCUGUUUCUUAAAUGUUCAUUAAAGAAAAAUAAAUGUUAUUAUAUAUUCUUAAGUAAUUAUCUUGCUAAGAAGGAAAUGUAUAUUUAUAAUUGUUUUACGUUUAUAAUACCAUUUCAAUAGUUAUGUGUAUAUUAUUUCAUUAAAUAUUUAUAUAUACAUAUGUUCUUUUGAAUAAAAAGGGUUAAAUUAUAUAUUUGUUCAUUAUUUCUUGGGAUGCCAUUAGAUGGUUAUUGGGUGCUUUAUAUACAUAUAUAUUAAUAACAUGGAUUAACAGUUUAGACCUGGCAUCCUUACAUUGUUUUCUUGGAGAGAAUGACUGUUUCUCUCUUAUCUUAAUUUGGAUGCUGGAUGUGGUUUUUUCCAUUAAAUUAGUUGAUGCAUUACCAUGCAUUUGGACAGCUCAUGCUUACAAUUUGGUGAAUAAGUCUAUCUUAGCUUGAGGUGGAGUUUAUAAUUUCAAUAGGUGUCACAGCCUUUGGAAAUAAAUCUCCUGGCGUUGACACAUAUAUAGCAACUUAUAAAAAAGAGUGGCGACCAAGUUAUCUUUUUGUAUAGAUAAGAUAAUGGGCUUUGUUAUUAUCCUCUCCACUGUUACCGCCAUCUCACCACCUAUAAAUAGGAGUGUUAAUGAAAGGAACAUAUAUCAUGCAACAUGAGAGAGAGAGAGAGAUAUGAUGAUGAUGAUGAAAUCCUUGGAAGAGAUUAGGACUUAACUUGUAUUUUCUUAACUUAGAGAUAUGUUUUGGAAUCGAGAUAGGAGUUUUUUGGUGACCUUUUACAAAGAUUGAUCUAAUUAAAUUUUGUGAGCACUAUUGUUCACCCGUGUUCGUGUUUAACUCCUGAUGUGGAAGGGCGAAGUUCCCCACUGGCUUGAAGACCACUUGCUGGUCGACAAGUCAGCUUUCUUUGGUGUGUGAGCGUGCCACUGCUAGCAAUGUAGAUUCUAGCAGACUUAUUUUGAAAGUGGAUAACUUGCGCCUCAAGUUACUGGCUUCUAAAACAAAACGAUUGUGAAUUUGGGUGAGGAAUAUCUCCCAAGUAAGUUCUUUUCUUGCCUCAGACUGGUGAGGACUUUCAUAAUUUAUCUCAGUAUCAAAUGGUUGUUCUGGCCAGAAUGGAUAAUAAUAAAGUACUAUUUUCAGGCAGAACUCCCUUUUACAAAAUUAAGCAGGGAGAAACCGACUCUAGAAAGGCAAAAAGAUGGCUGAAACUCCAUUUCUGCCUGGGUGGAAACUUCUAAUCCGGGCUGGACUGGGCAUGUCUACGCUGGACUGUACUGUCGACAACUUUAGCUUCUUGGCUUCAGCUGUAAAUCGAUACCAAAGUUCAAUUUUGGCAGAGCUUCAAUCUACUUCAAGCCUUGGGAGACUUUUGAGCGGGCAGAACUGCGACUUCUUCAGUUUGAAGGGACAGAAGUGGCUAUUCGUAUUCAGCAAGCUGGAACUAUGCUAUAAAAUUUGUUGAGGUUUUCAUAUUUGUGAAAACUCAAACUGUGUUUGUCUUGGCUGUUGCUAAACCAAACUUGUAACGAGAGGGAUCUCGCUUUCAGAGGACUUAUUUUCUAAGUCUGAACUUCGGAAUUCUGAUCUAAAGCUGGUUUUCUUUGGAUCCAAGUGAGCUUUUUCUUGUUUGUUUUUUGUGAUUGAUUGAUGCAUUGAGUGUCCUUUGUUCCUUUGCCUACUUUCGUUUUUAUAAGAGACCCUCCUGGGGAGGUGAUUUUUAAUCCUAAAUAAUGGGCGGCAAAAAGAUCUCUUAUAAUAUAAAGUAAGAAGGAUUUCUUAUCAAUCAAGACAGAUAGGUUCUGAGCAGUCACCUCCUAAAGCAGUCUCUUGCCUGGUUUCCUGGGUGGCAGUUUCUAAUUCAAACCACCGCCACCAUCUGUGUAGGCUUUUUAUGGCGGUUUGGCUUUUUCUUUUAUAUUUUCUGAAUGGUUCCCUAUUUCCCGUUCUAAUUUAGAAAGCGUGAUCCGUGAAUCCCUGGGGGGGUGGUGCAUCGAUUUGGAGCAAAAUCUUGAACAUAGAUGGGUUUUUUGAUCUUCAAUUGGCAGUGUUUCAGAGACGUCCCUUUCAUAUUUUUAAAUUUCAGUCGGUAUUGCUGACUUUUCUAAAGCUGAGGCAAUCACGUGGGUGUGUUUUUGAUCCCUUGGGUCUGAACCUAAUCAAUAAUUCAUGGGCUGAUCUUUUGAAGCCCAUCUUGUCAGUUUCCUCUUUGGGCCUUUCUUUGGGCUGAAGCUUUGUUUUCAACAUUCUUGGUGUGAAGCCCAAUCUGUCUGGAUCCUAUUUUGUUUUUCUCAAGUUUUCGGGCUGGGCAGGCAAUUUCAUCAUGGGCUUGUCUCUUGGUUUUUGGUGUGCCGAAUUUUGGGCCCAAACAAUGCCCCCAUUAAGUCUGAAUCGUUUUUUGGACGGUUUUAGACUUAAUGUUUUGCCAUUUAAUUCGCGCACCAGUUUCUUCCGUCUUUUCGCCCACGUCUGCCAUGUUUGCUUGCUACGAACUAGAGUUCGUGGGAAAACGGCUAGUUAUUAGCUAGUUACUAGCUAAUAAUCAUCAGGUGCCGUCCCAUCUUCUUCUUCCCACGUUUUCGAGCCCCUCUUUAAAAGAAAUUCAAAUUCAUAGCCUCUGAAAACCCUAAACCUUCCAACUCUUAUUCCUGCGAGCUUCUUUCGAGAUCUCCAUAUCUUUCUUCAAACCUCUCCUUCUUCUGUUUCUGCCUUUGAAUCAGAAAUGUCUUCCCCAAGGUCCCGUGCUCAAUCCUCUUCCGCUCCAAUUCCUCCCGAUUAUAUCACUGGGAGCGGGAUUAAUGCUCACGCGAUAGAAAUCAGGAGCAAGCUUCAUCCCUUUGCCCAGAAGAAUCUGGACGAGAAUGUCCUCCAUUUGUUCGAGAAUACCCUGGUGUUAGGGCCUCACUGGUUUGGUCCUGUUCCAGCUGAGAUGGCAGAACUGCUAAAAAAGGAUGCCGAGGCUCCUUUGUGUUUUGAGAGCUCUUCUGCCCUGGCCUAUCAUUCUUGGGUUAGCAAGAAUUUGAGUCGAUCUUUCCCGUCCAGCGAGGUGAGGAACAGUUCCGUCAAAUGGGCAGACUGGAUUGACAGACUUCUCCCGAGAUAUGGGGGUCACUGGAGGAGAGCUGGGAUUUAUGACGCCAUUCUUCUGUCCAAACAGUCGAUUAACAGAGAUGAGAACCUGCUUGCUGCUGCCCUGUGUUUUUGGAAUUCUGCCAGCAACACAUUUGAUUUCCGUGUGGGUCCCAUGGCUCCAACUCUGCUGGAUAUGGCUCAGAUUUUUGGGUUUAGGCCCCAUGGCAGACCUGUUGAUGCUGUUGGGGACUAUCACAGGCGAAAGAACCAAGAGAAAGUGGCUACCCCCUUCACUGUCUCCCCAGCCACGAUCAACCAGAACUGUUCUUUCUCCAAUUAUCUGAAGAGAUUCAGUGCUGAGAAGGACAAAGAUCAGCAACAUAUGUUGUUCCUUCUAUAUUGGCUGAACCGAUUUGUCUUCCCCAAUCGGUCUUCGGCAGUUCUGCUUGAGUAUAGACAUCUGGCAAAAGCUCUUCACAAUCACACUGAUGUGGGGCUUGGACCAACAGUUCUGGCCCACCUUUUCAAGAAUCUGCAUACUGCCACUCUGGAAAAUCCGCUGAACCUGUCUGCCCCUGGCGCAUUCUGGAUGAUCCAGAUCUGGCUGCAGGUAUAUUUCCCUGAGUUAAGGUUCCCAGACAUAGUUCUGCCUGAAAACCAAGUUCUGGCUCUUCCCCUGAUGUCUGCAGAAGUGCCUAAGCGCUCUCUUGAGGAGUAUUUGAUGUUCUUCAGGCAUUGUACCAAGAGGUCGGCUGCUCAGUGGCAAGUGGUGAUCAGAAGGACCUAUCCCUGGUUCCAGACUGUAUUUUGGCUUUUUGAGAAGGAGCCAGAAGAUGAGGCUGCCAGAACAGACUUUAGGAAGAAGUUCUUGAGCAUUACUCUGCCUAGAGAUCUGCCUCAUGGUGGGGGCAAACCUCCAAACUAUCAUCUGGGGGCAGAAGUCUAUCAUCCUAACUUCUGUGCAAGGCAGCUUGGCUGUCCUCAGCUUAUUCCGCUGAAAUCAUAUCGUAGUUGCAAUCGGGCCUCUUCUUGGAGGGAUGCAGAUGAUCUGGAGGUGCACAAGGAUGCCCGGUGUGCAGUGAAUAAGAUCAACAAUAGCACGGAUGCCCUCUAUCCCUCGUGGGAACCAAAUUCCUGCAGUUCCGCCGAUUUUGAUGCCUGGUGGCACGCCAGAUUCCAGAGUCUGCCGGCUUCUGUCACUGCUCUCAAAGUGCUUUUUGAUGGUUGGGAGAAUUGGCACACUUUUGCGGAUGGGGAUGCUAGAGCGCACCUGAUCCAGACCAUCAAAGAUAUCAAUGCGCAGAUCAUAGAAGGUAGACAUCUAAUUCUGUCUGUGAUUUUGUUCUGUCUUGGUUGUCGAUCUCUAACAUAUGUUCUGCCUGUUUUAGAUCCUUCUUUGACCAGCGUAGGUGGGCAAUCUGUUCAUGCUGGAGAAGUGAUUGGUAAGUCUUUUUCUUUUAGUUCUAUUCUAUCCCUUCCAGCUGGAUUGGUUUCUAAUGUCUAAUGCCUUGGUGCAGUCUCUUCUGUUAUUGCUGCCGGGGACUUGGAGCUCCCCUCUGCAGAUGAAGGAGAUGAGGUCCAGACAGAACAAACACCUGCCGAGGCCGCUCUUUCUGCCAGAAGAAAAAGGAAAGGGCCUGCCCUUCCUUCGGACAAUAUCAUUCGGCCUGGUAUUUCAGGUAAGCUCAUGAUGUUCCAACCAUUUUUUUAUUCUGUCUUGCCUUCUUUUCCCUAAUACUGCUUUUCUGUGCAGCUGGAAGUCCUUCCCCUCCUCCUACCAAGUUGAAAAAACUUAGAAAGAAGAGUGAGGAGGAGUAUGUCGCUGCAGAAGAAACGGCAGCAGUCCCCACCACUACCUCUAGGACGGAUGAAGAGCUGCGAGAGGCUUUUGAGGAGGUGGAGCAAGAAAAAGAAUUGGAAGAGCUGGAAGAAACGCCUCAGAACAAAACGGCAGUGGUGGAAGAAGAGGUAAGUUUUAUUUCGAUGAUUCGCAUCAGUUCCCUUCUUGCCCUGUUUCUUUCGUUCUGACCCCCAUUUUGUAGGAGGAGAUUCUUGCUGAGGUGAUUGCAGAGAGCAUUGCCUUGGCGCAGAAGCAACAAGGGGGUCCAAGGGCUGAGCUGACUAGCUCAGAACUAGCCCUAUUUGAGGAUGCCGAUGAGGAUGCCGAGGCAGAGCAUUCUACUGCCGUUCCAGCGGCUGAGGAUCAGGCGGAACGGUCUGCAUCAGACCCUGUGGACCAGGCAGAAUUAACUGUUGUGGUUCCGGAGGCUGAGGUGGGAACGACUGCAGCUGCUCCUGUGGUUGUGGUAAUUUUCCUCCUUGAUUGUUCAUGUUUUUCUGCUGUUCUGUCUGUUCUAACAGUUGUAGUCUUUCUAGGUGGAAGUGCCUAAGGCUACUGGUGCUCUGGCUGCGGUAUCCAGCCCCCUGAAACCUCCCAUUGUCGCUGUAAGUUUUCAUAACUUUUGAGCCUCCUUUAUCUUCCACUUUCUGCCUGGUCUUAACUUAUGUUCUCUUCUGCAGAUGCCUAUUCAUUCCUUUCCAGGAUCAUCUGCCACGGCUUCUUUUGCUGAUCCAGAGCUGGAAGAGUUUGAAGCCAUGGAUCUGGAUGCUCAACUGGAGAGGCUGGAGAAACUCAGCUCUCCUCCGAGCAAGGCAAAAUCUAGAGCAGUGCAAGAGGCCAUGGAGAGGUUAAGAAUCUGGCAGUCGACUGAGCUGGAAUUUGAUGAAGAUACAGGGGCUCUAGAUCAGCUGAUGAAGGACCUGGACCUGCUGCAUAGACAGAACAUGGCUCCGAGGCCUAUUCUUGAGAUGGGCCUAAGCCUGGCCAGAGAUGUGCUUAAUCUGCAUGAUCGCUAUGAAGAUCUUAGGCCUACGUUCAAAACUUCUGAGUUCUGUAAGGCCACACAUGAAGCCAAUCUGGCUGACUUUGCUAGGCAGAAAACAGAACUGGAUCAGAUGGUGGCCGGAUAUAAGGAGGCCAAGGCUACCGCGGAUAAGUUGGAGAAGCAGAUUGAAGAACUUCAAAAACAACUGGCAGAGUGUAGGGAGGUGCAGAACAAACUUGGGGCUGGACUGAGUUCGAAAACCAAAGCCACCUUCCUUGUGCAGAGAAUGGUUGCAGCUUCCAGGCCAGCUUUGGAAAUCGCAGAAGCCUCGAUUCAUCAAGGAGUGCUGCUCCAGAAAGAACUCUCUGUCAAGAAGGCGAAUCUGCAGGAAACCCUUAGAAAAUUAGGGUUUUAGUUUUUCAUUUCUGUUUAUUUAUUUUUUUGGACAAAUUUGCCGCUAUGGUGGCUAUUUUUAAAUAAAGUUUGUUCUGCUUUCCUUUUAAAUAGCAUUUUACUAUUUUCAUUUACCCUUGACGUAAUAAACAAAACAAUACUGUGAAAGUAGAAACGAAACAAUCUUUAAAGCAAAAAUGGAUUCAAAAAAAAAAAAAAGAAAAGUCAGCCUUGUUCUUUUUCUAUCCCGGGGUCUGUCUGUACAGCUUGUGAAUCCCACAUGGUUGGGUAGAAUUUUUUUAACCAUUUGCCAUUGAUUGGGACGUUGUGAAUAACUCCAUCUCUGUCCUGCAACCUGUUCACCCGUUUUCGUGUUUAACUCCUGAUGUGGAAGGGCGAAGUUCCCCACUGGCUUGGAGACCACUUGUUGGUCGACAAGUCAGCUUUCUUUGGUGUGCGAGCGUGCCACUGCUAGCAAUGUAAAUUCUAGCAGACUUAUUUUUAGAGUGGAUAACUUGCGCCUCAAGUUACUGACUUCUAAAACAAACGAUUGUGAAUUUGGGUAAGGAAUAUCUCCCAAGUAAGUUCUUUUCUUGCCUCAGACUGGUGAGGACUUUCACAAUUUAUCUCAGUACCAAAAAAUGGUUGUUCUGCCCAGAAUAGAUAAUAAUAAAGUACUGUUUCAGGCAGAACUGCCUUUUACAAAAUUAAGAAGGGAGAAAUCAACUCUAGGAAGGCAAAAGGAUGGCUGGAAUCCCAUUUCUGCCUGGGUAGAAACUUCUGAUCCGGGCUGGACUGGGUAUGUCUAUGCUGGACUGUACUGUCAACAACUUUAGCUGCUUGGCUUCAGCUGUAAAUCGAUACCAAAGUUCGAUUUUGGCAGAGCUUCAAUCUACUUCAAGCCUUGGGAGGCUCUUGAGCGGGCAGAACUGUGACUUCUUCAGUCUGAAGGGACAAAAGUGGCUAUUCUCGAGGAUUUAGCAAGCUGGAACCAUGCUGUAAAAUUUGUUGAGGUUUUCAUAGUUGUGAAAACUCAAACUAUGUUUGUCUUGGCUUUUGCUGAACCAAAUUUGUAACGAGGGAUCUCGUUCUAGGAAAUUUGUUUUCUAAGUCUGAACCUUGGAAUUCUGAUUUAAGGUUGGUUUCUCUUGGAAUUUAAGUGAGCUCUUGGCUGUUUUUCUUGCUGUUGUUUUUUUGGUUGAUGAGUUGAGUGUCCUUUCUUUCUUGCCUGCUUCUGUUUUUAUAAGAGACCCUCCUUUUGAAGGUGGUUUUAAAUUUUAAUAAUGGGCGGCAAAAGAUUUCUCAAAACGUAAAGUAGGAAAGAUUUUUAUCAAUUAUGGCAGAUAGACUCCCAGUGGUCACUUCCUAUAGCGAUCCCUUCCCUGGUUUCCUGGCUGACGGUUUUUCUAUUUUAAUGCCACCGUCUGUGUGAGCUGAUCCUAUGGCGGUUUUGAUUUUUCUUUUGUAUUUUCUGAACAACUCCCUGUUUCUUGCUCUUGAAAACGUGAUUUGCGAAAUCUUUUUAGAAGAUGGUGUGUUGCUUUGGAGCAAAAAGUCUCUGAUCAUAGACGCCCCUUUGAUUUUUCUUUCUCGGCUGUUUUCAGAAACGUCCCUUCUCACAUAAAAACUCUAGUUGGAAUUGCUGACUUUCCAGAGAGGUGAGGUAGCCACGUGAAUGUGUCUUUAGUCUCUUGGGCUUGAGUUUAAACAAUAUUUUGUGGGCUGAUCUUCAAAGGCCCAAUAUGACAGCUUUCUACGUUUUGGGUUUUUUGGGACUGGAUAAGUAUUUCACCACGGGCCUGUUUCUGGAUCUCUUUGGUGUGUCAAAUUUAGGCCCAAACAAUGCCCCCAUUAAGUCUGAACUUGUUUUUGGAACGGUUUUUCAGACUUAAUGGGUUUUGCCAUGAAUUUGCGCGCCAGUCCUUUCCGCUUCGUGCGUCUGUCACGUCCGCCCAUAAUGAUCUAGAGUUCGUGGGAGAAGAAAAACGGCUAUUUAUUUGGCUAGUUACUAGCCAAUAAUCACCAGCUGCCGUAUCUUCUUCUUCCUCUCACGUUUCGAGCCUUCCCUUUUAAAAAGAAAUUUCAGACCCACUGCCUCUUAGCCUUUCAAACUUGGAACUUCUCUUCGGGUUUUCAUCGUUUCCUUCGAACUUCCCCCUUUUCUCUCUGCUUCCUUCCUUGAAUCCGAAAUGUCUUCCCUAAGGUCCCAUGCUCAGUCUUCUUCAGCUUCAAUCCCUCCUGAUUACAUCACUGGGAGCGGGAUUGAUGCCCACGCAAUAGAGGUUAGGAGCAAGCUCCAUCCUUUUGCUCAGAAGAAUCUGGAUGAAAAUGUUCUUCAUUUGUUCUAGAAUACCCUGGUGCUGGGGUCUCACUGGUUUGGCCCUGUUCCGGCUGAGGCGGCAGAACUGCUGAAAAAGGACGCCGAGGCUCCUUUGUGCUUCGAGAGUACUUCCGCCCUGGCUUCUCAUUCUUGGGUUAGCAAGAAUUUGAGUCGAUCUUUCCCGUCCAGCGAGGUGAGGAACAGUCCAGUCAAAUGGGCAGACUGGAUUGACAGACUUCUCCCGAGAUAUGGGGGUCACUGGAGGAGAGCUGGGCUCUAUGACGCCAUUCUUCUGUCCAAGCAGUCGAUUAACAGAGAUGAGAACCUGCUUGCUGCUGCCUUGUGUUUUUGGAAUUCUGCCAGCAACACAUUUGAUUUCCGUGUGGGUCCCAUGGCUCCAACUCUGCUGGACAUGGCUCAGAUUUUUGGGUUUAGGCCCCAUGGCAGACCUGUUGAUGCUGUUGGGGAUUAUCACAGGCGAAAGAACCAAGAGAAAGUGGCCACUCCCUUCACUAUCCCUCCAGCCACGAUCAACCAGAACUGCUCCUUCUCCAACUAUCUGAAGAGAUUCAGCGCUGAGAAGGACAAGGAUCAGCAACAUAUGUUGUUCCUUCUGUAUUGGCUGAACCGAUUUGUCUUCCCCAAUCGGUCUUCGGCAGUUCUGCUUGAAUACAGACAUCUGGCAGAAGCACUUCACAAUCACACUGAUGUGGGGCUUGGACCAACAGUUCUGGCCCACCUUUUCAAGAAUCUGUAUACUGCCACUCUUGAGAAUCCAUUGAACCUGUCUGCUCCUGGCGCAUUCUGGAUGAUCCAGAUCUGGCUGCAGGUAUAUUUCCCCGAGUUAAGGUUUCCAGACAUAGUUCUGCCUGAAGACCAAGUUCUGGCCCUUCCCCUGAUAUCGGCAGAAGUGCCCAAGCGCUCUCUUGAGGAGUAUUUGAUGCUCUUCAGGCAUUGUACCAAGAGGUCGGCUGCUCAGUGGCAAGUGGUGAUCAGAAGGACCUAUCCUUGGUUCCAGACUGGAUCUCGGCUUUUCGAGAAAGAACCAGAAGACGAGGCUGCCAGAACAGAUUUCAGGAAGAAAUUUCUGAGCAUUACUUCGCCCAGAGAUCUGCCCCAUGGCGGGGGCAAACCUCCAAACUAUCAUCUGGGGGCAGAAGUCUAUCAUCCCAACUUUUGUGCAAGGCAGCUUGGCUGCCCUCAGCUCAUACCGUUGAAAUCAUAUCGGAGUUGCAAUCGGGCCUCUUCUUGGAGGGAUGUAGAUGAUCUGGAGGUGCACAAGGAUGCCCGGUGUGCAGUGAACAAGAUAAAUAAUAGCACGGAUGCCCUCUAUCCCUCAUGGGAGCCAAAUUCCUGCAGUUCUGCUGAUUUUGACGCCUGGUGGCAAACCAGAUUCCAAAAUCUACCAGCUUCUGUUACUGCCCUCAAGACGCUUUUUGACGGUUGGGAGAACUGGCAUCUUUUUGCGGAGGGGGAGGCCAAAGUGCAUAUGAUCCAGACCAUCAAGGACAUUAAUGCACAAAUCAUAGAAGGUAGAUACUUGAUUCUGUCUGGGACUUGUUCUGUCUUGAUAAUCUAUUUUUAACCUAUGUUCUGCCUGUUAUUAGAUCCUUCCCUGACAAAGAACGUGGGUGGACAGUCUGUCCAGGCUGGAGAAGUGAUUGGUAAGCCUUUCCUUUUUAAUUUUCUUCUGUCUUUUCCUGUUGGAUUGGCUUUUAACCUCUAACUGCUUGGUGCAGUCUCUUCUGUCAUUGCCGCCGGGGAUUUGGAGCUCCAUUCUGCUGAUGAAGAGGAUGAUGUUGAGGCAGAACAAACCCCUGCCGAGGCUGUUCCUUCUGGUAGAAGAAAAAGAAAAGGGCCUGCUCCCCCUCUGGAUAAUACCGCGCGGCCUGGCAUUCCUGGUAAGUUUGGAGCAUUCCAACUGUUCUCUUUGGAUUUAUUCUGUUUUCUCUUUUCUAAUCUUUUCCUUUUGUUCUGUCCAGCUGGGAGUCCUUCUCCUCCUCCUACUAAGUUAAAAAAGCUUAAGAAGAGGGGUGAAGUGGAAUACUUUGCCGCAGAAGAAGCCGCAGCAAUCCCAGCCACUACUUCUGGGACGGACGAUGAGCUGCGAGAAGCCUUUGAGGAGGUGGAGCAGGAAAAAGAGCUGCAAGAGCUGGAGGAGGUGCCCCAAGAGAAGGUGGCAGCGGUGGAAGACGAGGUGAGUUUUAGUCUGUGACUCGCAUUAGUUCCUCUUUUGCUUCAUUCCUUCUGUUCUGACCCCCUUCUUGUAGGAUGAAAUUCCUGCUGAGGUGAUAGCGGAGAGCAUUGCCUUGGCGCAGAAGCAACAAAAGGGUCCGAGUGCUGAGCUGACCAGCUCAGAACUGGCUCUUUUUGAGGAUGCUGAGGCAGAACACUCUACUGCCGCUCCAGAGGCCGAGGAUCAGGUGGAGCCAUCUGCAUCAGACCCCGUGGAUCAGGCAGAAUUAACCGUUGUGGUCCCGGAGGCUGAUGUGGGAACGACUGCAGCUGCUCCUGUGGUUGUGGUAAUUUUCCCCUUCAACUGUUCAUGUUUUCCUGCUGUUCUGUCUGUUCUGUCUUUUUAACAUUUGCAGUCUUUCCAGGUGGAAGUGCCUAAAGCUGCUGGUGCCCUGGCUGCGGUGUCCAGCCCUCUGAAGCCUCCCAUUGUCGCUGUAAGUUUUCAUAACUUUUGAGCCUCCUUUAUCUUCCACUUUCUGCCUGGUCUUAGCUUAUGUUCUCUUCUGCAGAUGCCUAUUCAUUCCUUUCCAGGAUCAUCUGCCACGGCUUCUUUUGCUGAUCCAGAACUUGAAGAGUUUGAAGCCAUGGAUCUGGAUGCCCAAUUGGACAGACUGGAGAAACUCAGCUCUCCUCCAGGCAAGGCAAAAUCUAGGGCGGUGGAGGAAGCCAUGGAGAGGUUGAAAAUCUGGCAGUCCACUGAGCUGGAAUUUGAUGAAGAUACAGGGGCUCUUGAUCAGCUGAUGAAGGACCUGGACCUGCUGCAUAGACAGAACAUGGCUCCGAGGCCUAUUCUUGAGAUGGGCCUAAGCCUGGCCAGAGAUGUGCUUAAUCUGCAUGAUCGCUAUGAAGAUCUUAGGCCUACGUUCAAAACUUCUGAGUUCUGCAAGGCCACACAUGAAGCUAAUCUGGCUGACUUUGCCAGGCAGAAAACAGAACUGGAUCAGAUGGUGGCUGGAUAUAAGGAGGCUAAGGCUACCGCGGAUAAGUUGGAGAAGCAGAUUGAAGAACUCCAAAAACAGCUGGCAGAGUGUAGGGAGGUGCAGAACAAACUUGGGGCUGGACUGAGUUCCAAAACUAAGGCCACCUUCCUUGUGCAAAGUAUGGUUGCAGCUUCUAGGCCAGCUUUGGAAAUUGCAGAGGCUUCAAUUCACCAGGGGGUGUUGCUCCAGAAAGAACUGUUUGUCAAGAAAGCGAACCUACAGGAGACUCUUAGAAAGCUAGGAUUUUAGCUUCUUCUUUCUUUUGUUCGAAUAAUUUGCCGCAAAGGUGGCUAUUUUUAUAUAAGCUUUCAAAGCAUUUUUACUGCUUUUUAUUCUUGAUGCAAUAACCGGACACGGUUUUGAAAGUACAGUAAAAACAGAACAACAUUAAAGUAAAAACAAAUCUAAACAAGAUUCCCUUUCAAGAAACAAAAAGGUCAAUCUUCUUCCUCUUCUAUCCCAGGAUCCGUUUGUACAGCCUGUGAAUCCCACAUGGUUGGAUAGAACUUCUUUAACCAUUUACCAUUGAUUGGGGCAAAGUGAACAACUCCAUCUCGGUCCUGCAACCUAUAUGCCCCCAUUCCGAGGAUUUGGUUAAUUAUAAAAGGGCCUUCCCAGGUAGGUGACCACUUCCCAUACCCAGCUAUGUGUGCUCCAAGGGGCAGAAUUGCCUUCCAGACUAUCUCUCCCUCUUCAAAACUCUUGUUUUUGACUCUUUUGUUGUAGGCUCUCGAUACAGCCUGUUUUCCUGCUAAGAGUUUGUUGAGGGUGUCAAUUCUGCUUGCAUCCAAUCCUUCCAAUUCCAGUAACAUGGCUUGAGAGUAAUCCUCCCCAGUGAGACCAUGCUGGUGAGCAAUUCUAAGAGACUGGACUGCUAUCUCCAUGGGAAGAAUUGCAUCGUGGCCGUAGGUUAGAGCAUAGGGGGUCAUGCCAGUCGCUUCUCUCUUCGAAGUUCUGUAUGCCCACAAAGUUUCUGACAACUUCUCGUGCCAUUGCUUUGGAUUUUUCUCUAGCAUCUUUCUAAUGAUAUUGAUAAUCACCUUGUUACUUGAUUCUGCCUGUCCAUUAGCUUGAGCAUAGUAAGGAGUAGAUUGAAGCAGUUUGAACUUGAAUGUUUCUGCCAUAUCUAGCAUGUCCCUAGAUAUGAAAGAAGAACCCCUAUCGGUUGUGAUUGAUUCUGGAAUGCCAAACCUUUGUAUGAUCUGUUCUUCUAUGAAGGUGAUGAUCUCUUGAGAUGUUGUGGUUUUUACUGGCUUGGCUUCUACCCACUUGGUGAAAUAAUCUGUGGCAACGAUGAUGAAACAGUGCUGCUGGUUGCUGGCUGGAUAGAUUUUGCCAAUGAGAUCCAUUGCCCAUCCCCUGAAAGGCCAUGGUUUUACUACUGGAUUCAUGGGAACCGAAGGAGCCUGCUGGAUUGGGCCGUGCCUUUGACAGGCUUCACAUCCUUUGGAAUAGUCGAUGCAAUCCUUCAUCAUGGUUGGCCAGAAGUAGCCAUAUCUUCUGAUUAACCAGCACAUCUUUCUUCCCCCUUGGUGAGCUCCACAGACCCCAUCAUGGGUUUCUCCCAUGACUUUCAUGUAUUCUGUCUUCCCGAGGCACCUUAAUAGUACCUCAUCCUUACUUUUUCGGACCAAAUCUUCAUUCCACAUGAGGUAGUUUGUAGCCAUGAUUCUGACUCUUUUCUCAGAGGGCAGAGUGGGAUAUCGUAAGUAAGUCAUGAUAGGCUCCCUCCAAUCAUCUCCAGUGAUCGAGGCAGAAUUGACUUCUAUCUCCAUUCCUCUCGUCAAAACAGAUGGUAGACUUUUCCUUCCUAUCUUGAUGAUCCUUUGGACGCAGUCUUCGGGCAUUUGUAUGCCUGAUGCCACCUGAGCCAGUUCAUUGGCUGCAAAGUUUUUCUCCCUUGGGAUGUGCUCCCAAGUAGCUUCUCUAAAUUCAGACACUUAUAUUCUCCAGCAAUCUGUUUUAGGACAAGCAUGGAAUCUCCCAAGAUUUCCACGGACUGGACUCCUAAUUCUACCAACAUUUCGAGCCCUAUAAUCAAAGCCUCAUAUUCGGCCCUGUUGUUGGUGCAUUGGAAAUCUAGCUGGAAAGAAUAGCAAUGCCUGACCCCUAAUGGUUCUUCCAGAACAAUCCCUGCUCCGGAAGCCUUGUCUGUCUUCGAUCCAUCAAAAUAUAAUUUCCAAGGUGUGAGAUGAAUCGAGUAAAUUGGAUUGUUAAGGCAAACAUGAGCUCUAGUUAACAGAUCUGCAUUUGCAAUGUCCAAAGAAUCCAUGUUUUCAAUUUCCUCUCCCGGGUGAUCUGCCAAAAAGUCUGCCACAGCUUGCCCUUUGACAGCUUUCUGGGGGACAUACCUCAGGGUGAAUUCUGUCAAAGCCAAAGUCCAUUUCCCAAUUCUGCCCCUCAGCAUUGGUCUUGUUAGCAUGUAUUUGAUUAAGUCGGUUUUGGCAAUGAUGUAGAUAGUAUGUGGCAGCAUGUAGUGCCUGAGCUUCACAGCAGUGAAAUAUAAGGCUAGGCAAAGCCUUUCUAUUGCGGAAUACCUUCUUUCCACUUCUGUCAACGUUCUGCUUAGAUAGUAGACCGCCUGUUCUUUUCCUUCUUUGUUAUCUUGAACUAGCAGACUUCCAAUGGAUACUUCUGAUGCAGAUACAUAAAGUUUGAAGGGUCUGCCCCUUUUUGGUGGGGACAGAACUGGUGGAUUUGAGAGGUAAUGCUUUAUUUCCUGGAAAGCCUGUUGGUGCUGUUCUUCCCAUUUGAAUGUCUGUUCCUGCUUCAGUCUCAACAGGGAGGAAAAGGGUUGGAUUUUUCCUGCAGAAUUGGAUAUGAAUCUCCUUAGGAAAUUGAUUUUUCCUAAGAGACUCUGAAGUUCCUUCUUGUUCCGAGGUGGUAGAGCUUCUAUGAUGGAUUUUGCUUUAUUUCUGUCAACCUCUAUACCUCUCUGGUGGACCAAGAAUCCUAAGAAAUUCCCUGCCUGGACUCCAAAAACACAUUUUUUGGGGUUCAUUUUUAGCUUGUGCUGCCUCAUUCUCAGGAAUGCCUUUCUCAGACUUGCUACGUGAUUUCCUUCCUCAGGGGAUUUAAUCACCACGUCAUCUAUGUAUACUUCCAAAGAAUGUCCUAUCAUAUCAUGAAAAAUAGAAUUCAUUGCCCUUUGGUAGGUAGCUCCCGCAUUUCUCAAACUGAAAGGCAUUACAGUAUACUCGAAAGCACCUAUAUGUCCUGGACACAUAAAGGCUGUCUUGUGGAUGUCCUGUUCUGCCAUCAUAAUCUGGUUAUAACCUGCAUUGCCGUCCAUGAAAGAUAGCAUCUGGUUAUGAGCGGCUCCAUCCACUAACAUGGCUGCCAUUGGCAUAGGAUAUUCGUCUUUAGGAGAUGCCUCAUUCAGAUUCCUGUAAUCUACGCAGAUUCUAACUGCCCCUGUUUUUCUUUUGAGAACAGGUACAAUAUUUGCUAACCAAUCGGCAUAGACGGCUGGCCUGAUGAAUCCUGCCUUGAGCAACCUUCCUAUCUCUUCUUUGACCUUUAGUUCUGUGUCCAUAGACAUUCUUCUUCUGGCCUGUUUGACUGGAAGGUAGCCAUCUUUAAUUGGCAGCUUGUGCUCCACUAACUGCCUGUCUAAUCCUGGCAUCUCGUGGUAAUGCCAGGCAAAACAAUCUCUGAACUCCUGCAAAAGUGCCGUGAGUUCAGCCUUGAGUGGUUCCUUUAACAGUGUACUGAUGAAAGUAGGCCUUGGAUCUUCUUCUGUCCCUAAGUUUAUCUCCUGUAGAGGGUCCUCUACUUCUGGCAGGGAGUCAUCUAGUGCUGCCGGUGCAAAUUCCAACACUUCCUCCUGUAAAACUUCUUCCUCUUGUUCUUUUAUGCUUUCAUGGGUGAAUUCUGCCAUAUUAAUGGCUGGAUUCUGUAUGAAAAGUCUCCUUUCUCCCCAGUAUAUCAACAAUCUUUUUGUGAUGGAUCGGAUUGUUGCAGCUCGAUCCUUGUCCAGUUGAUUGGGACUAAACAUCAGAAUUCUGGAAGUUCGGCACAAGAAAGUCUAUUCCAGUCCUCUAGAGAACUGGCUAGACCUUCUUCAAUGAGUCUUUGGGCCGUGACACCAUGGGGGCGGCCGUUCUGAUUGACUCCAAGGAAAGUGUAGGGACCGAGGUCAUCAUGAUAAUACCUUGCUUCAAAGCACAUGGCAGAGGGUAGGAAUGGCCGUGGAUCGGCCUCUAUAAUCUCCAUGCAGCCUUCUUCAUUCCAUAUUGCUAACUGCUGGUGGAGGGUGGAAGGGAUACAAAGGCUCUGGUGAAUCCAAUCCCUGCCGAGUAGUGCAUUGUAGGUGGUGGAGGUAGUGUCUAUAACAAAGAAUGCUAUUUUCAACUCUUUGCUUCCGACUACGACAUCUACAUCUAAGAUGCCGUGUAUUUUGGUGAUGCCCCCAGCGAAGUUGGUGACGGUUAAUCGUGUUGGAAUUAGAUCCCUCUCUGUCCUGCCCAACUUGGUCAGCAUUGUGUGGGGUAAUAGAUUAAUGGCUGCACCUCCAUCUACCAUGAUCUUGGAGAUAGGAAUACCUCCAAGAUUUGCCGUUAUAAACAACGGUCUGAGGUGAUUUUCCAUUUCUCUGGUUGGCUUGGCGAAACAAGCCUGCUCUGUAGCUGGUUUAUUGGCUGUUCUGCCUGUCCUAGGGUCGUCUGCUUGCGGUUCUGGCGGCUCCUCUGCUUCUGCCAACCUACACUCAAAGCUCUCCUGGGAGAAAACGUCCCCUUCCAGAGUGCUUUUUUGUCCUUCGGUAGCCCUGAAUUCACCUGGUAGGAUGAAUACCAUGUUAAUUCCCAGAUCACCCUGUAGGAGGUCUUCUAAUUCUGCGCCAAAAGCUUCUGUUUCUGGGUCCAAUUCCUCACCAAAUUCCAUUAAUUCUUCCCCAUAUUCUUCCGUCCAGUCAUCCUGUUCUGCUACUUCGAGGGGCUCUUUCUGAUCAUCUGCAGAAGGUUCAUAGUCUAAUUGCUCUUCUUCAUAUUCCUCAGCGUAGUCGUCUUCUUUUUGUAACGGGGUAGACCCGGAUUUCUCUAAUGUCCGCGUGGUGUCAGGAUGGCUGCCGGACGACGAGGCUAUAUGGAUAGGAGACCUGGCUGGCUGCUCUGUUUUCAGCAAUUCCCUUGACUGGCAGGCUUUCUGUUCCGUCUGGGGAAGUGUUUCAGGAUUCUUUCCUUUCCUGGCAGAACUGGGUUGUGAACGUACCUGCGUAUUGUCUUGGCUUUUAAGAUAUGUGCAGUAUUGCCUCUGGAUUCUUCUUUUCUGGGUUCUGGUCAGCUCCAGAGUCGGUCUACCGCUUCUUCCUACGGAAUACCACCUCCCUUCUAUGAUCGUUGCCAAGGGUCUUUCGUUUCCGGGCGUCUUGACUGAUAUUUCCUUCCUGGGUUGCUCCAUCCUCCUCUCGCCGUAGUGUGUAGGCCUAAGACAGCUCUUCUGCCUUGUCUUGUCUUGGGAUAUAGUUCCAAUUCUGUCAAAGACACUAGGUGUGGGCUGAUUUUGUUUGUCUAGGACCACCUCUAGCUCUGUUUCACACUUGCACCUACUGCAGAGCACCACCCCAGCCGAGAUGGUCGCUCUUGGUAUCUGACUGGUCUCCCUUAUGAUUCUUCUGCCUCUGCUGCAACCAGCAUCUGUGAUAGGGUCGGUUUUCCUCUGUUCUGGCCAAUUUAAGUUGACCAUAUUGACUUGCGGUUGAGGAAAAGGAUCCGUCGUGACGGAUGGUGGUUUUUCUGCCAACUUCAACCUUCCUGCCGUUAUUCCUUCUUGUACUACGUCCCUGAAAACGACACAACUAUUGGUAGAAUGGUUCCAAGAGUUGUGCCACCUGCAGUACUGUCUGCCUUUGAGUUCUUCCGGCUUCGGUAUUCUGUGAGGCGUCUCUAUUACCUUCUGCAGUAGCAUUUCGUCGAACAAGGCAUUGACCUUGGUUAAGUCAAAAGAGUAAACCUUGUUUUGUGUUGGUUUGUUUGGAACGAAUCCUCCUGUGAAUGGUGGUGGCUUUUGGUCUUUGGGUGGCUUUGUGAGGGCUUUGCAACUGAUGGGAUGUUUCAGUUUUGCCAUUUCUGCCACUGAAACCUCUUUCUCCUCUGAUUCCUCUGUAUCUUCUUGCGACUCCACCUCGAUCAGGUGGACUGAAGAAGAAGGGGUUUUGUAGUAUGUACCUUUGGAGGAGUUCCUCCUUUGCUGCUCUUCCCUGAGUAGCUCUUCAUAUUUGGAUGCCUUAUCAGCCAGUUCUGCCAGAUCUCCGAACAAUAUCCCGUCGAACCUUUUCCUGAGGGAGAUUUUAAGGGCGGCUUGGGCCAUCUGGAUGAAGUGUCUUUCUUCCAUUGGGAUUCGGCACUUCAUCUUGAGCCUUCUGAACCUGGUUAUAAAAUCUUGCGCCGGUUCAUCUUCACUCUGCUUGAGGGCAGCUAGAUCACUGAUGGUGACUUCUGGCUGAAUCCUGUAAUAGUAGUCAUGGAAGACAUUUUCCAUCUGUUCCCAGGUUUGAACAGAGUUAGCUGGCAGGCUGGUGUACCAGGUAAAAGCUUGCCCAGAGAGAGAGUUGCCAAAAAGCCUUAAUUUCAGCAGAGGGUUGUUUUCUAUAGCUAUGCAUUGGACGGAGAACCUGCCUAUAUGUUCGACUGAGGAAGCAUGGGGGUCUUCCCCGUUGAACAAAGUGAAGUUUGGCACUUUGAAACCUGGAGACAACGGUAUUUGAUCGAUGUAGGCUGGGUAUGGCUUUCUGUAAGUAGGCCUUUCCCCUCUUCUAGCCUCGGGUUCCAUGAUCUCUCUGACCAUUCUUCGCAAUGCCCCUACGUCAUUUAAAGCAUUGACUGGGGGAAAAUUUUGUCCCUGUUCUGGCUGAACGUAAUCAAACCUGGGUUCUGCCCUGAGUGGUCUGGGUGGAACUUCCUCCCUGUGUUCUUCCUGCUCUUCGACUUCUGGAUGAUUCCUCCAGUUUGCCCCCUGUCUAUUCCUGUCAUGAUUAGCAAAAAGGUUGUUUCCCCCUCGGGCUCUCCUCCCUCUUGCAGGUGGAGGGAAUGGAUUAGGGUCCAUCCUUCUGGGUCUAUAUGGCAAUACUGCCGGUGGUUCAGGCAGAAGCGCCAAAGGUUGAUCAUGCGGGGCUGCAUGAUGUGAAUUGGGCUGAGGUCCUAGCUGGUUCUGAGCCAGUGUCAGGUUAUCUGGCUGGGCUGGGGCCUGAUGUUCUUGAUUAGGAAGGGCUCUCUCCCUCGGAUCAGCCUGAACUUCUGUGUGGCCUGGCACUCCAGCCAUCUGUGCAACUAGAGGAUUUUCCUGAUAUGGCCAUAUUAGUCCUGGCGGAGGGCCAUAAGGAAGAUCCAACUGCUGGAUUACAGGAUCUGGGUUUGGAUUUCUGGCCAUGGCGGAUUCUCGGUCCUUCCGGAACUGUCUGUUUACCUGCCAUUGCAUCAUGGCUGUCAUGUUAUCGAGAGUGUCCUGGCUCCUUUGUACUGUGAUCUCUUGUCGGAGUACUGACUCCUUUAUUUGACUCAUCCUUUUGGAGCCAGUCCUGGAACGUCUGCUUCCUGUACUGUCGUGGGCAGACUGCCUAGCGUCGCUUUCUUCCGAUUCGAGGCCUUCUCUGAGAACCAUCUUGUUUUUCUCCAUGUCUGGUGUGGGUUCUGACUAGAUCUUCCGGCUUUUGUAAAUCUGUGAAUGACUCUGUCAGAGUAUGUAUACUGAGAAGUCCCACUGGGCGUGCCAAAUUGUUCACCCGUUUUCGUGUUUAACUCCUGAUGUGGAAGGGCGAAGUUCCCCACUGGCUUGGAGACCACUUGUUGGUCGACAAGUCAGCUUUCUUUGGUGUGCGAGCGUGCCACUGCUAGCAAUGUAAAUUCUAGCAGACUUAUUUUUAGAGUGGAUAACUUGCGCCUCAAGUUACUGACUUCUAAAACAAACGAUUGUGAAUUUGGGUAAGGAAUAUCUCCCAAGUAAGUUCUUUUCUUGCCUCAGACUGGUGAGGACUUUCACAAUUUAUCUCAGUACCAAAAAAUGGUUGUUCUGCCCAGAAUAGAUAAUAAUAAAGUACUGUUUCAGGCAGAACUGCCUUUUACAAAAUUAAGAAGGGAGAAAUCAACUCUAGGAAGGCAAAAGGAUGGCUGGAAUCCCAUUUCUGCCUGGGUAGAAACUUCUGAUCCGGGCUGGACUGGGUAUGUCUAUGCUGGACUGUACUGUCAACAACUUUAGCUGCUUGGCUUCAGCUGUAAAUCGAUACCAAAGUUCGAUUUUGGCAGAGCUUCAAUCUACUUCAAGCCUUGGGAGGCUCUUGAGCGGGCAGAACUGUGACUUCUUCAGUCUGAAGGGACAAAAGUGGCUAUUCUCGAGGAUUUAGCAAGCUGGAACCAUGCUGUAAAAUUUGUUGAGGUUUUCAUAGUUGUGAAAACUCAAACUAUGUUUGUCUUGGCUUUUGCUGAACCAAAUUUGUAACGAGGGAUCUCGUUCUAGGAAAUUUGUUUUCUAAGUCUGAACCUUGGAAUUCUGAUUUAAGGUUGGUUUCUCUUGGAAUUUAAGUGAGCUCUUGGCUGUUUUUCUUGCUGUUGUUUUUUUGGUUGAUGAGUUGAGUGUCCUUUCUUUCUUGCCUGCUUCUGUUUUUAUAAGAGACCCUCCUUUUGAAGGUGGUUUUAAAUUUUAAUAAUGGGCGGCAAAAGAUUUCUCAAAACGUAAAGCAGGAAAUAUUUUUAUCAAUUAUGGCAGAUAGACUCCCAUUGGUCACUUCCUAUAGCGAUCCCUUCCCUGGUUUCCUGGCUGACGGUUUUUCUAUUUUAAUGCCACCGUCUGUGUGAGCUGAUCCUAUGGCGGUUUUGAUUUUUCUUUUGUAUUUUCUGAACAACUCCCUGUUUCUUGCUCUUGAAAACGUGAUUUGCGAAAUCUUUUUAGAAGAUGGUGUGUUGCUUUGGAGCAAAAAGUCUCUGAUCAUAGACGCCCCUUUGAUUUUUCUUUCUCGGCAGUGUUUUCAGAAACGUCCCUUCUCACAUAAAAACUCUAGUUGGAAUUGCUGACUUUCCAGAGAGGUGAGGUAGCCACGUGAAUGUGUCUUUAGUCUCUUGGGCUUGAGUUUAAACAAUAUUUUGUGGGCUGAUCUUCAAAGGCCCAAUAUGACAGCUUUCUACGUUUUGGGUUUUUUGGGACUGGAUAAGUAUUUCACCACGGGCCUGUUUCUGGAUCUCUUUGGUGUGUCAAAUUUAGGCCCAAACACAACCUAUAUGCCCCCAUUCCGAGGAUCUGGUUAAUCACAAAAGGACCUUCCCACGUAGGUGACCAUUUUCCAUAUCCAGCUAUGUGCGCUCCAGCGGCAAAAUUGCCUUCCAGACUAUUUCUCCUUCUUCAAAACUCUUAUCUCUGACUCUUUUGUUGUAUGCCUUUGACACAGCCUGUUUUCCUGCUAAGAGUUUGUUGAGGGUGUCAAUCCUGCUUGCAUCCAAUUCUUCUAAUUCAAGUAGCAUGGCUUGAGAGUAAUCUUCUCCUGUGAGAUCGUGCUGGUGAGCAAUUCUAAGAGACUGGACUGCUAUCUCCAUGGGCAGAAUUGCAUCAUGACCGUAGGUCAGAGCAUAGGGAGUCAUGCCAGUUGCUUCCCUUUUUGAAGUUCUGUAUGCCCACAAAGUUUCUGACAACUUCUCAUGCCACUGCUUCGGAUUCUUCUCCAGCAUCUUUCUGAUGAUAUUGAUAAUCACCUUGUUACUUGAUUCUGCCUGUCCAUUAGCUUGAGCAUAAUAGGGGGUAGAUUGAAGCAGUUUGAACUUGAAUGUUUCUGCCAUAUCUAGCAUAUCCCUAGACAUGAAAGAAGAACCCCUAUCAGUUGUGAUCGAUUCUGGAAUGCCGAAUCUCUGUAUGAUCUGCUCUUCUAUAAAGGUGAUGAUCUCUUGAGAAGUUGUGGUUUUGAUUGGCUUGGCUUCUACCCAUUUGGUGAAAUAGUCUGUAGCAACAAUGAUAAAACAAUGCUGCUGGCUGCUGGCUGGAUAGAUUUUGCCAAUGAGAUCCAUUGCCCAUCCCCUAAAAGGCCAUGGUUUCACCACUGGAUUCAUGGGAACUGAAGGAGCCCGCUGGAUUGGGCCGUGUCUUUGACAAGCUUCACAUCCCUUGGAAUAGUUGAUGCAAUCCUUCAACAUGGUUGGCCAGAAGUAGCCAUACCUUCUAAUUAACCAGCACAUCUUUCUUCCUCCUUGGUGAGCCCCACAGACCCCUUCAUGGGUUUCUCCCAUGACUUUCAUAUAUUCUGUCUUUCCGAGGCACCUUAAUAGCACCUCAUCCUCACUUUUUCGGACCAAAUCUUCAUUCCACAUGAGAUAGUUUGUAGCCAUGAUUCUGACUCUUUUCUCAGAGGGUAGAGUGGGAUACUGCAAGUAAGUCAUGAUCGGCUCCCUCCAAUCGUCUUUAGUGAUCAAGGCAGAAUUGACUUCUAUCUCCAUUCCUCUAGUCAGAACUGACGGUAGACUUUUCCUUCCUAUCUUGAUGAUCCUCUGGACGCAGUCUUCAAGCAUUUGUAUGCCUGAUGCUACCUGAGCCAGUUCAUUGGCUGCGAAGUUUUCUUCCCUUGGGAUGUGUUCCCAAGUAGCUUCUCUAAAUUCUGUUAGCAGAUUUCUAGCUGCUACCAGAUAUACAGCCAGAGAAGGAUUUAGACACUUGUAUUCUCCAGCAAUCUGUUUUAGGACAAGCAUGGAAUCUCCCAAGAUUUCCACGGAUUGAAUUCCCAAUUCUACCAACAUCUCGAGCCCUAUAAUCAAAGCUUCAUACUCGGCCCUGUUGUUGGUGCAUUGGAAAUCUAACUGGAAGGAAUAGCAAUGUCUGACCCCUAAGGGUUCUUCUAGCACAAUCCCUGCUCCUGAAGCCUUGUCUGUCUUUGUUCCAUCAAAAUAUAAUUUCCACGGUAUGAGAUGAAUCGAGUAGACUGGAUGGUUAAGGCAAACGUGAGCUCUAGUUAGCAGAUCUGCAUUUGCUAUGUCCAAAGAAUCCAUGUUUUCAAUUUCCUCUCCCGGGUGUUCUGCCAAGAAAUCUGCCACAGCUUGUCCUUUGACAGCUUUCUGGGGAACAUACCUGAGGGUGAAUUCUGUCAAAGCCAAAGUCCAUUUCCCAAUUCUGCCCCUCAGCAUUGGUUUUGUUAGCAUGUAUUUGAUUAGGUCUGUUUUGGCAAUGAUGUAAAUAGUAUGUGGCAGCAUGUAGUGCCUGAGCUUUACAGCAGUGAAAUAUAAGGCCAGGCAAAGCCUUUCUAUCGCGGAAUACCUUCUUUCCACUUCUGUCAAUGUUCUGCUUAGAUAGUAGACUGCCUGUUCUUUCCCUUCUUUGUUAUCUUGAGCUAGCAGACUUCCAAUGGAUACCUCUGAUGCAGAUACAUAAAGCUUGAGGGGUCUGCCCCUUUUUGGUGGGGACAGAACUGGCGGAUUUGAGAGGUAAUGCUUUAUUUCCUGGAAAGCCUGUUGGUGCUGUUCUUCCCAUUUGAAUGUCUAUUCCUGCUUCAGUCUUAACAGGGAAGAAAAGGGUUGGAUUUUUCCUGCAGAAUUGGAUAUGAAUCUCCUUAGAAAAUUGAUUUUUCCUAAGAGACUUUGAAGUUCUUUCUUGUUCCGAGGUGGUAGAGCUUCUAUGAUGGAUUUUGCUUUAUUUCUGUCAACCUCUAUACCUCUCUGGUGGACCAAGAAUCCUAAGAAAUUUCCUGCUUGGACUCCAAAAACGCAUUUUUUGGGGUUCAUUUUUAGUUUGUGCUGCCUCAUUCUUAGGAACGCCUUUCUUAAGCCUGCCACGUGAUUUCCUUCUUCAGGGGAUUUAAUCACCACGUCAUCUAUGUAUACUUCCAAGGAAUGUCCUAUCAUAUCAUGAAAAAUAGAAUUCAUUGCCCUUUGGUAGGUGGCUCCCGCAUUUCUCAAACCGAAAGGCAUUACAGUAUAUUGGAAAGCACCUAUAUGUCCUGGACACAUAAAGGCUGUCUUGUGGAUGUCCUGUUCUGCCAUCAUAAUCUGGUUAUAACCUGCAUUGCCGUCCAUGAAAGAUAGCAUCUGGUUGUGAGCGGCUCCAUCCACUAGCAUGUCUGCCAUUGGCAUAGGGUAUUCGUCCUUGGGAGAUGCUUCAUUCAGAUUUCUGUAAUCCACACAAAUUCUAACUGCCCCUGUUUUUCUUUUGAGAACAGGUACAAUAUUUUUUAACCAAUCUGCAUAGAUGGCUGGCCUGAUGAAUCCUGCUUUGAGCAGCCUUUCUAUCUCUUCUUUGACCUUCAGUUCUGUGUCCAUAGACAUUCUUCUUCUGGCCUGUUUAACUGGAAGGUAGCCAUCUUUGAUUGGCAGUUUGUGCUCUACUAACUGCCUGUCCAGCCCUGGCAUCUCGUGGUAAUGCCAAGCAAAACAGUCUCUGAACUCCUGCAAAAGUGUCAUGAGUUCAGACUUGAGUGGUUCCUUCAAAAGUGUGCUGAUGAAAGUAGGCCUUGGAUCUUCUUCUGUCCCUAAGUUUACUUCUUGCAGAGGGUCCUCCACUUCUGGCGGGGAGUCGUCUAGUGCUGCUGGUGCAAAAUCUAAUACUUCUUCCUGUAAAAUUUCCUCCUCUUGUUCUUUUGUGCUUUCAUGGGUGAAUUCUGCCAUAUUGAUGGCUGGAUUCUGCAUGAAAAGCCCCCUUGCUCCCCAGUAUAUCAACAAUCUUUUUGUGAUGGAUCGGAUUGUUGCAGCUCGAUCCUUGUCUAGUUGAUUGGGACUAAACAUCAAAAUUCUGGAAGUUCAGCGCAGAAAGGUCUAUUCCAAUCCUCUAGAGAACUGGCUAAACCUUCUUCAAUGAGUCUUUGGGCCGUAACACCAUGUGGGCGGCCGUUCUGAUUGACUCCAAGAAAAGUGAAAGGACCGAGGUCAUCAUGAUAAUACCUUGCUUCAAAGCACAUGGCAGAGGGUAGGAAUGGCCGUGGAUCAGCCUCUAUAAUCUCCAUGCAGCCUUCUUCAUUCCAUAGUGCUAACUGUUGGUGGAGGGUGGAAGGAACACAAAGGCUCUGGUGGAUCCAAUCCCUACCAAGCAGUGCAUUGUAGGUGGUGGAAGUAGUGUCUAUAACAAAGAAUGCUAUUUUCAAUUCUUUACUUCCGACUAUGACAUCCACGUCCAAGAUGCCAUAUAUUUUGGUGAUGCCCCCAGCGAAGUUGGUGACGGUCAAUCGUGUUGGAAUCAGAUCUUUCUCUGUCCUGCCCAAUUUGGUCAGCAUUCUGUGGGGUAAUAGAUUAAUGGCUGCUCCUCCAUCUACCAUGAUCUUGGAAAUAGGAAUACCCCCAAGAUUUGCCGUUAUAAACAAAGGUCUGAGGUGAUUUGCCAUUUCUCUGGUUGGCUUGGCGAACCAAGGUUGCUCUGUAGCUGGUUUAUCGGCUGUUCUGCCUGUCCUGGAGAUGUCUGCUUGUGGUUCUGGUGGCUCCUCUGCUUCUGCCAAUCUACAUUCAAAGCUUUCCUGAGAGAAAACAUCUCCUUCCAGAGUGCUUUCUUGUCCUUCGGUAGCCCUGAAUUUACCUGGUAGGAUAAAUACCAUGUUAAUUCCCAGAUCACCCUGUAGGAGGUCUUCUAAUUCUGCGCCAAAAGCUUCUGUCUCUGGGUCCAAUUCUUCACCAAAUUCCAUUAAUUCUUCCCCGUAUUCUUCCGUCCAGUCAUCCUGUUCUGCUACCUCGGGGGGCUCUUUCUGGUCAUCUGCAGAAGGUUCAUAGUCCAAUUGCUCUUCUUCCUCUAUGUAGUCGUCUUCUCCUUGUAACGGGGUAGACCCGGAUAUCUCUGGUAUCUGCUCGGUGUCAGGACAGCUACUGGACGAUGAGGCUAUAUGGGCAAGAGAUCUGGCUGGUGGUUCUGUUUUCAGCAAUUCCCCUGACUGGCAAGCUUUCUGUUCUGUCUGGGGAAGUGAUUCAGGAUUUUUUCCUUUCCUGGCAGAACUGGGUUGUGAACGUACCUGCGUAUUAUCCUGGCUCUUAAGAUAUGUGCAGUAUUGCCUCUGGAUUCUUCUUUUCUGAGUUCUGGUCAGCUCCAGAGUUGGCCUACCAUUUCUUCCUACGGAAUACCAUCUCCCUUCUAUGAUCGUCGCCAAGGGUUUUUCGUUUCCGGGUGUCUUGACUGGUAUUUCCUUUCUGGGUUGCUCCAUCCUCCUCUCGCUGUACUGUGUAGGCUUAAGACAACUCUUCUGCCUUGUUUUGUCUUGGGAUGAGGUUCCAAUCCUGUCAAAGACACUAGGUGUGGGCUGAUUUUGUCUGUCUAGAACCACCUCUAGCUCUGUUUCACAUUUGCACCUACUGCAAAGCACUAUCCCAGCUGAGAUGGUCGCUCUUGGUAUUUGACUGGUCUCUCUUAUGAUUCUUCUGCCUCUGCUGCAGCCAGCAUCUGUGAUUGGCUGGGUUUUCCUCUGUUCUAGCCAAUUUAAGUUGACCAUAUUGACUUGAGGUUGAGGAAAAGGAUCCGUUAUGACCGAUGGUGGUUUUUCUGCCAGUUUAAGCCUUCCUGCCGUUAUCCCUUCUUGUAUCACGUCCCUGAAAACAACACAACUAUUGGUAGAAUGAUUCCAAGAGUUGUGCCACCUGCAGUACUGUCUGCCCUUGAGUUCUUCCGGUUUUGGUAUUCUGUGAGGCGUCUCUAUUGCCUUCUGCAGUAGCAUUUCGUCGAACAGGGCAUCGACCUUGGUUAAGUCAAAAGAGUAAACCUUGUUUUGUGUUGGUUUAUUUGGAACGAAUCCUCCUAUGAAUGGUGGCGGCUUUUGGUCUUUAGGUGGCUUUGUGAGGGCUUUGCAACUAAUGGGAUGUUUUAGUUUUUCCAUUUCUGCCACUGAAACCUCUUUCUCCUCUGAUUCUUCCGCAUCUUCUUGUGAUUCCACCUCGAUCAGGUGGACUGAAGAAGAAGGGGUUUUAUAGUAUGUACCUUUGGAGGAGUUCCUCCUUUGCUGUUCUUCCCUGAGUAACUUCUCAUAUUUGGAUGCCUUAUCGGCCAGUUCUGUCAGAUCUCCGAACAAUAUCCCGUCGAACCGUUUCCUGAGAGAGAUUUUAAGGGCGGCCUGGGCCAUCUGGAUGAAGUGUCUUUCUUCCAUAGGGAUUCGGCACUUCAUCUUGAGCUUUCUGAACCUGGUUAUGAAAUCUUGUGCCGGUUCAUCUUCACUCUGCUUGAGGGCGGCUAGAUCACUGAUGGUGACUUCCGGCUGAAUCCUGUAGUAGUAGUCGUGAAAGACAUUUUCCAUCUGUUCCCAGGUUUGAACAGAGUUAGCUGGCAGGCUGGUGUACCAGGUAAAAGCUUGUCCAGAGAGAGAGUUGCCGAAAAGCCUUAAUUUCAGCAGAGGGUUAUUCUCUAUAGCUAUGCAUUGGACGGAGAACCUGCCUAUAUGUUCAACUGAAGAAGCAUGGGGGUCUUCCCCAUUGAACAAAGUGAAAUUUGGCACUUUGAAACCUGGAGACAGCGGUAUUUGAUCAAUAUAGGCUGGGUAUGGCUUCCUGUAAGUAGGCCUUUCUCCUCUCCUAGCCUCGGGUUCCAUGAUCUCUCUGAUCAUUCUUUGUAAUGCCCCUAUGUUAUUCAAAGCAUUGACUGGGGGAAGAUUUUGUCCCUGUUCUGGCUGAACGUAAUCAAAUCUGGGCUCUGCUCUGUGUGGUCUGGGUGGAAGUCCUUCCCUGUGUUCUUCCUGCUCUUCGACUUCUGGAUGAUUCCUCCAAUUUGCCCCUGGUCUAUUCCUGUCAUGAUUAGCAAAGAGGUUGUUCCCUCCUCGGCCUCUCCUCCCUCUUGCAAGUGGAGGGAAUGGAUUAGGGUCCAUCCUUCUGGGUCUAUAUGGCAAUACUGCCGGUGGCUCAGGCAGAAGUGCCAAAGGUUGAUCAAGCGGGGCCACAUGAUAUGGAAUGGGUUGAGGUUCUGGCUGGUUCUGAGCCAGUGCCGGGUUGUCUGGUUGGGCUGGGGCCUCAUACUCUUGAUUAGGAAAGGCUCUUUCCCUCGGACCAGCCUGAAUUUCUCUGUGGUCUGGCACUCCAGCCAUCUGUGCAACUAGGGGAUUUUCCUGGUAUGGCCAUAUUAGUCCUGGCGGAGGGCCAUAAGGGAGAUCCAACUGCUGGAUUACAGGAUCUGGGUUUGGGUUUCUGGCCAUGGCGGAUUCUCGGUCCUUCCGGAAUUGUCUGUUCACCUACCAUUGCAUCAUGGCUGUCAUGUUAUUGAGAGUAUCCUGGCUCCUUUGUACUGUGAUCUCUUGUCGGAGUACUGACUCCUGCACUUGAUCCAUCCUUUUGGAGCCAAUCCUGGAACGUCUACUUCCUGUACUGCCGUGGGCAGAAUGCCUAGCAUCGCUUUCUUCUGACUCGAGGCCCUCCCUGAGGACCAUCUUGUUUUUCUCCAUAUCUGGUGUGGGUUCUGACUAGAUCUUCCGAUAUUUGUAAAUCUGUGAAUGAUUCCGUCAGAAUAUGUAUACUGAGAAGUCCCACCGGGCGUGCCAAAUUGUUCACCCGUGUUCGUGUUUAACUCCUGAUGUGGAAGGGCGAAGUUCCCCACUGGCUUGAAGACCACUUGCUGGUCGACAAGUCAGCUUUCUUUGGUGUGUGAGCGUGCCACUGCUAGCAAUGUAGAUUCUAGCAGACUUAUUUUGAAAGUGGAUAACUUGCGCCUCAAGUUACUGGCUUCUAAAACAAAACGAUUGUGAAUUUGGGUGAGGAAUAUCUCCCAAGUAAGUUCUUUUCUUGCCUCAGACUGGUGAGGACUUUCAUAAUUUAUCUCAGUAUCAAAUGGUUGUUCUGGCCAGAAUGGAUAAUAAUAAAGUACUAUUUUCAGGCAGAACUCCCUUUUACAAAAUUAAGCAGGGAGAAACCGACUCUAGAAAGGCAAAAAGAUGGCUGAAACUCCAUUUCUGCCUGGGUGGAAACUUCUAAUCCGGGCUGGACUGGGCAUGUCUACGCUGGACUGUACUGUCGACAACUUUAGCUGCUUGGCUUCAGCUGUAAAUCGAUACCAAAGUUCAAUUUUGGCAGAGCUUCAAUCUACUUCAAGCCUUGGGAGACUUUUGAGCGGGCAGAACUGCGACUUCUUCAGUUUGAAGGGACAGAAGUGGCUAUUCGUAUUCAGCAAGCUGGAACUAUGCUAUAAAAUUUGUUGAGGUUUUCAUAUUUGUGAAAACUCAAACUGUGUUUGUCUUGGCUGUUGCUAAACCAAACUUGUAACGAGAGGGAUCUCACUUUCAGAGGACUUAUUUUCUAAGUCUGAACUUCGGAAUUCUGAUCUAAAGCUGGUUUUCUUUGGAUCCAAGUGAGCUUUUUCUUGUUUGUUUUUUUUGAUUGAUUGAUGCAUUGAGUGUCCUUUGUUCCUUUGCCUACUUUCGUUUUUAUAAGAGACCCUCCUGGGGAGGUGAUUUUUAAUCCUAAAUAAUGGGCGGCAAAAAGAUCUCUUAUAAUAUAAAGUAAGAAGGAUUUCUUAUCAAUCAAGACAGAUAGGUUCUGAGCAGUCACCUCCUAAAGCAGUCCCUUCCCUGGUUUCCUGGGUGGCAGUUUCUAAUUCAAACCACCGCCACCAUCUGUGUAGGCUUUUUAUGGCGGUUUGGCUUUUUCUUUUAUAUUUUCUGAAUGGUUCCCUAUUUCCCGUUCUAAUUUAGAAAGCGUGAUCCGUGAAUCCCUGGGGGGGUGGUGCAUCGAUUUGGAGCAAAAUCUUGAACAUAGAUGGGUUUUUUGAUCUUCAAUUGGCAGUGUUUCAGAGACGUCCCUUUCAUAUUUUUAAAUUUCAGUCGAUAUUGCUGACUUUUCUAAAGCUGAGGCAAUCACGUGGGUGUGUUUUUGAUCCCUUGGGUCUGAACCUAAUCAAUAAUUCAUGGGCUGAUCUUUUGAAUCCCAUCUUGUCAGUUUCCUCUUUGGGCCUUUCUUUGGGCUGAAGCUUUGUUUUCAACAUUCUUGGUGUGAAGCCCAAUCUGUCUGGAUCCUAUUUUGUUUUUCUCAAGUUUUCGGGCUGGGCAGGCAAUUUCAUCAUGGGCUUGUCUCUUGAUUUUGGGUGUGCCGAAUUUUGGGCCCAAACAACUAUAUUAUGCAUGAUAUUAUUAUUUGAUUAUUAUUGAUAUUGGGUGUUUAAGUGUUGUUAAUUAUCAUCAUAUUAUUUUAUUCAUAUUGACAUGAUCAUAUGUUAUCGGUGAUGGCUGGAAUUCUUGGGUUGAUAAAGAAAGUAAGAAAAAGGGGGUAAUGGGAAGGAUCUUUUGUGUAGUUGAGUCUAACUCUUGGCAGGUACCAGGUCUCAAGGAUCCCGCAGUGCACAUGGUUUUCAUUGGGUGAUUCGGGACUAGCGACAGAGAGUUAGACAAGAUGACUAACGAAAUGGGAAUUAUGAGAAGAUUGAAAUGGGUGUUUGUUCAUAUAAAUGGGCAUUUGGGGCCAAGUGGUAUAAGCAUGGUAUGGGACGUGCAGGUCUGCUUGUGCAGUCAUAUGAAUUAACAGGAGUAGAUGAAGAGCAUUCAUUCAUGCAUUAUUAUUAAUAAUGUGAUAUUUAGCUGUGUGAUUACAUGUCACUUAAUUUAGUUAAAUCAAUCUACUGUGGUGAGGUCUCAUGUCCCUACUGAGUGGUGGUUUCUCAUCCCUCACCCUGUUUAAUUUUUCAGAUGAAUUAGUGGGCAUGACAAGGACUAAAUCAGUUGAGGCUGAACUAGAUGAGAGUGAUAGAGCUUUAUUUUUUUUAAUUGUAAAGUUUUAAGAUUUUGGGAGCUAUUUUUAUAAGAAAAGUUUAUUUUAUGUUUCGGCUUCUUUUUAUUCUAUUUUACCUUUUAUUUUCUCAUGCACUGGGCACGGGGUUUCCACUGACCCACGGGUCCGGGGCGUGACAAGGGUUAAUCGUUUUAUUCGUUCUUGGACUUAGACCCGGUUUGCAUUUGAGUACCUCAAUUUCCAAAAUCGUUCUCAUAUUCCUUUAACUUCACUUUUGUUAGGACAAAUGGUCCAGCCAUUAAUUUUGUUAACUUUUUCUGUUAAAUGCAGGGGCAAAAUGGUAUUUUUAUAUUAAAACCAAAAGAAUAAAUAAAUAAUCACAUCUUUAAAAUAACAAUAAAAUCAAAUCAAAUAAAAAACCAACCAAAAAAAAAUCGAGUUUGGGAAGAGUAGAAAUCGGGAUAGAGGGGGAGAGAGAGAGUUUAAUUUUAAUUUUUUAUUCAUAUUUUAAUCAAUUUAAUACAAAAUGAGGAGAACUACCCCCCCUCUUCUUCUCUUUUUAUUCACUACAUGCCAUGUAAAGAGAAGAACUAAAUGAGGUUAGGUUAUUAAAAUUGGGUGAGCUAGGAUUCUAUUUUUUUUGGCUGGAAAAAAGAAGCCACCUGGGUUGCCAAACUAAAGGUACAUCCGUGGGUAAGCUAGGAUUUUAUUUUUUUUUGGCUUGAAAAAAGAAGCCACCUGGGCUAUAGCCCAGGUUUGCCAAACUAAAGGAAGGUCUGUGGGUGGGCUAGGAUUUUAUUUUUUUGGCUGGAAAAAAGAAGUAGGUUUGCCAAACUAAAGAUCCGUCUCUGUUUCCACUUCAACCCAUUUACAAUCAAACUAUUUUAUGACUAAAACACUUCACAUUAAUGAUAAUUUUAUUAAACUAAAACACAGUUUUAUGAGUCUACUUAUGGAGAAAAACUUAGUUGCAAUGAGAUAACACUAUUUUGCUAUCCUUAUUUCAUAAAAGUCUUUCUCCUACUUAUGACUAUGGUUGCAGCCUGCAAUAUUCUUAAAAUAAUAAAAAAAUAAAAAAAAUAAAAAAAGUAGCUAUUCUGAAGGACAUUACCUCACUUUUGCUGUAUAAAUACUCUGCAUUUGCAAGCACUGCAAUGCACACACAAAAGCUAAGAUGGAUUCCAGAGAAGUAGCAACUAAGCCACACGCUGUUUGCAUUCCAUUCCCUUAUCAAAGCCAUAUAAAGGCAAUGCUUAAAUUUGCAAAGCUCCUCCACCACAGAGGUUUUCAUAUAACCUUUGUUAACACAGAGUUCAAUCACAAGCGCUUUCUUAAAUCUCAAGGACCCAAUUCCCUUGUUGGCUUGCCUGAUUUUCAAUUCGAUGCCUUCCCGGAUAGCCUUCCGGAUUCAGAUGAAGAUGCCACACCAGAUGCCACCUUGCUUUGUGAAUCCAUCAGAAAAAAAAAAUUCUUGGCUCCCUUUCAUGCCCUCCUUGCAAAACUCAACAAUGAUGCCAUAUCAACAUCCCACAAUCCUCCUGUGACUUGCAUAGUUUCAGAUGGUUUCAUGUCCGCGUUCACAAUCACAGCUGCUGAAGAAAUCGGAGUCCCUAUAGCGCUGUUCUACACUAUAGCUGCCUGCAGCUUCAUGGGAUUUAAACAACUUCGCGCUGUGGUCGAAAAAGGACUUUUUCCACUCAAAGGUGAAUAACUACGAAUUAAAAGCAAUUGUUGUUUCUAAACAUGCAAAUGAAAUGUUUCUUCAAUUGAAUUUCAUUUGUCUAUUGCAGAUGAGAGCUGUUUCAAAAAUGGCUAUCUGGACACCGUAAUAGAUUGGAUCCCAGGAAUGAGAGAUAUCCGUUUAAGGGAUCUCCCGACCUUCGCGCGAAACACAAAUCUGGAUGACACCGGAUUUAACUUCAUCAUGGAAGAAACCGAAAGAGCUCAUGAAGCUUCAGCAGUUGUUCUUCAUACUUUUCAUGCCUUGGAGACAGAUGUUUUGGAAGCUCUCUCAUCUAUGCUUCCCCAUGUGUACACCGUUGGCCCUCUUCAAUUGCAUCUCAAUCAGAUACCAGAGCACCCUUUGAAAAUGGGAUACAGUCCAUGGAAAGAAGAAACUGAAUGCCUCGAGUGGCUAAACACCAAGGCACCAAACUCAGUUGUCUAUGUGAAUUUCGGCAGUGUAGCAGUCGUGACACCAGAACAGCUUGUGGAGUUUGGGUGGGGACUUGCAAAUAGCAAGCUUCCAUUCUUUUGGGUAAUUAGACCUGAUCUAGUUGUUGGAGAAUCAGCUAUUUUGCCGCCUGAGUUUGUGGCUGAAACUAAGGAAAGAAGUCUAAUAGCUGGGUGGUGCCCACAAGAGCAAGUCCUCAACCACCCCUCAGUUGGAGGAUUUUUAAUGCACAGCGGUUGGAAUUCAACAGUUGAGAGCCUUACUGCAGGAGUUCCUAUGCUCUGUUGGCCAUUCUUCGGGGACCAGCAAAUGGACUGUCGCUAUACUUGCAAUGAAUGGGGAAUUGGCAUGGAGAUUAGUGAUGAUGCGAAGAGGGAAGAGGUAGAGAAGCUUAUCAAAGAGUUAAUGGAGGGAGAGAAGGGUAAGAAGAUGAAAAAUAAGGUCAUGGAGUGGAAGAAACUUGCAGAAGAAGCUACUGGUCCACAUGGUUCUUCAUCCACAAACUUAGACAAUUUAGUGAAUCAAGUGCUAUUGAGAAAAAGUUAAGAUGUUUCCAUAAGAAUAUUGAUGUUAUUAAUUAUCAUUUCCAUUGCCAUUGUCUCAAAUAAUCAACUAUCUGGCAAUAUAUAUGUACUACUGGUCUGUAACCAUGAUGCGUACUAUAUCUAGAAUUUUAUUCUGAUUAAGGUUUCACUACGCUUCAGGCCUUUAACUCUAAAAUCUUAUUGGAGAAUCGGCUAAUAUUUAAUUAUUUUUUAUACGUAUUUCCUUUUUACUGUGUUCUAUACAUAUUUAAUUGGAUUACUACUCUCGAGGAAGAUUAUCCUUAAGUAUUAUAUUCAACAAAUUACUAUUCAUGUGUCAGUUGUUUUACAUUUAUUGUAUUAAAUCAAUACUCACCAAUUCUUUAAGGUGUGAGAUAAUUAGUCACAAAUAAUGGUGACUAGUAACCAAAGUCAUUGACCACCCAUUCAAAUGUCACCAAAACUAUUGUGUUGCUAUACAAAUAUGACUAAUGCUUUCUAUUUUGUCGCCGGAUCAAGGCCGUGAAGUUCCGGGUUAAACCGUGAGUUUCUGAAGCCGAUUCUGACCACUUGCCGUCCGAAUUGGACUUGGGUGUUUGAAUAAAAUGUUCCACUCGUCGAGUAGAACCUGUAGCCGGGAGGGGUGGCUUGUAGUUUGGAGAUUUUCCGGUGAAGCUUUAUCGCUUUGGACACCCGCGCGUGUGGCGGUACGUGGGCACUAUAGCAGAGGGUCAUUAUUGUCCCAAUGCGAUCUCCUGGUUGUCACGAGUACGUAGGAAUUCGCGGAUCUCAAUUCGGAUGUCGUUUGACUAUCGAACGGAUUUUCGCAUAGUGUGCGUUAUCCGGGUUCGAUAGGUUCUGACCGUUGGAUCAUUUCCCAAUUAAAUUAUGUUGUUCUAGGUAUUCCUAGGAUCGUGUAGGACUUCGCAGAUCGUGAAUCGGAGCCCGGAUGUUCCAAUUCAAUAACUUAAAGUUUGAGUUUUAUAUUAACCGUCUGAUCGUGCGAUCGUAAGCGAUCUAACCGUCUGUUUCAGACCAAACUUGCGAGACGGGUAUCUUAGACCUUGUGGAACCUUUAGGAACUUACGGAUUGUAAAACGGAGGUCGUGGGUCCCGUGGACCCGGUUGACCUGAAUUGGGAAGUUUGACCGCCGGUUGACCGAGUGUCUCCCGAAGUUGUUCCAUCGUCCAAAUUGAGUAGUUGGACCUUAGAAUGUCUCAUUCCUAGUACACUUACUAGAAACCUGGGAAAUUAGGAUAUUUAAUUCAAAGUACUCGUUCGAAACGCUUCGUAUUAAUCUUGUGUACGUAUUCUGAAUUAGGUACUUCGACCACGCAUACGCAGCAGGCGGGACCCUCUCAGGGUCAAGCAGCGUGGGACUACUUGUGAGUGAACUUUGUUUUCAAAUCUUAUACAUGUUUUUAUUGAUGAAAGAUUUAUGCAUAAUGUUUUUAAUAAUUUAUUGAAUAUAUUAUAUUCAUGGGUUGAAUUUGAUGUUUGUAUAGCGCUUUGUCAAUAUAUUGUGGGUUUGGCAUUGUUGGGUAUUGAAAGCAUAUUUUAUAUGGAUUUUGGGAAAUAUUAUGCAUGAUGUUUUAAACGGUAUUUUGGAUAUAUUAUUUAUGAAAUUGUUGAAAGUGAUAUUUUUAUGAGGCAUUGAAAAUAUAUUUUGGGUUUUGACAUAUUUGAGUAUCUUGAGUAUGAAUAUAUGGAUUUUGAGGAUUUCUAUAUAUAUUUGGCUAUGUGUGAGGUACUUGGGUUGUUGAGAUGAGAUUGUGGAAAGUGGUGAGUAUAGAAUGUCAGUUUGGUGUGCUAUAAGCACUACCCUAUGUACCUCCCCUGAUUUGGAACUUGGAUAUGGAGACUUGAGAUACUUGGAAUUGUCGGAACCCGGGGCAUCCUUGACGGGAUGUUGCUGUAGACCCUUGAUUGGGUAGUCUGCGCUCGUAGGACUGAUCACAGACGUAUGAGUUUUGAGGUUAUCGACGGUACGUGCUGGCUGAGAGUUGGUCCCCCAGUUGGACGGCUCGUUCCCUAGUCACAUAGUGGAUUGAGGACUUUUCAUGAGGACUCUGCCAGGGUGACUAGUCAAACAAUCCCCCGGUUGGAUUGUUUCCCCGGUACAACUAGGUGAUGGUCAUAUUUAUAAUAUAUAUAUCUCUUAUAUGAUAUAUUUAUAUAUAUAUCUAUUCAUUCAUUUUUGUUUCUCGGUGUGGAUACUUCCUUGCCGGUCGUACCAAUGGGUACGCUUUCGAGAGUUUAGUUGUGAGAUUUAUAAGUUUUGGAUGGUGGGUUUUGUAAAGCGUUCUUUAUGGAUUUCGAACUUCGUAUCUGGUAUUGAUUUGUUUUGAUAUAUAUAUUAUAUAUAUAUAUAUAUAUUUGAGUAUGAUGGUUUUGAGAUGCAUGGGAUUUCUUGCAUGGUUUUCUAAACGGUGGGGUUAUAUUACGUUGGUUUACACUGAACUGAAUUUAUUUUUGUCCACUCACAAUUUUCUAUUUUGCGCCCCCCAGCCAGUAGUUGACUGAGCUCCGCAGCAGAGCCGGAUCAUGAGCUUCCGAGCCUUGAGUCUUCGUAGGACUCUUUCUUCAUGUUUUUCCCUUUGAACUCUGUCUUAUUGAAAUUGAAGUUCUUAGCCAUGCUCUGUUAUCGCCCCUGUUAGGGUUUGAUUUGUGAGGCCGGAGGCCAUUUGGUUGUAAACUGUUUAUUCGCUUUAAAGCAUGCUGCUGGUUGGGAUUAUUCUAUGUUUAUGCAGGUUGAAUUUUUGUUGGGUUUGUUCAAUUCACAGGGGAGACUUUGCCAAAAUUUUGGUAGAGAGUAUGGGUUUUUAGUAAGUGGACCCGGCAUCGGGAUGAUGUCGGAACAAAGACGAGAUUCGCCCUUGUUUCCGGGAAUUACGUAUAUAAUACAACUUCAAUAUUUAUAUGUAUAUUAUUUCAUUAAAUAUUUAUAUAUACAUAUGUUCUUUUGAAUAAAAGGGGUUAAAUUAUAUAUUUGUCCAUUAUUUCUUGAGAUGCCAUUAGAUGGUUAUUGGAUGCUUUCUAUACAUAUAUAUUAAUAACAUGGAUUAAGAGUUUAGACGUGGCAUCCUUACAUUGUUUUCUUGGAGAGAAAGACUAUUUCUCUCUUAUCUUAAUUAGGAUGCCGGAUGUGGCUUUUUCCAUUAAAUUAGUUGAUGCAUUACCAUCGCUAACUUACGCACGUUGUUAAUAACGUGUUGUCAUAGUAUAUUUUUAUUAUAGUGGUCACAGCCUUUGGAAAUAAAUCUCCUAGCGUUGACACAUAGCAACUUAUAAAAUAGAGUGGCAACCAAGUUAUCUUUUCGUAUAAAUAAGAUAAUGUCCUUUGUUAUUAUCCUCUCCAUUGUUACGCCAUCUCACCACCAAUAAAUAGAAGUUUUAAUGGAAGGAAGAGAUAUCAGGCAAAGGGUAAAGAGAGAGAGAGAGAGAGAGAGAUGAUGAUGAUGAAAUUCUUAGAAGAGAUAUAGGAUUUAGCUUGUAUUUUCUUAACUUGGAGAGAGAUGAUGAUGAAAUUCUUAGAAGAGAUAUAGGACUUAGCUUGUAUUUUCUUAACUUGGAGAAAUGCUUUGGAAUCGAGGUAGGAGUUUCUUGGUGACCUUUUAUAAAGAUUGAUCAAAUUAAAUUUCGUGAGCAUUAUAUCAUGCAUGAUAUUAUUAUUCGAUUAUUAUUGAUAUUGGGUGUUUAAGUGUUGUUAAUUAUCAUAUUAUUUUAUUAAUAUUGACAUGAUCAUAUGUUAUCGGUGAUGGCUAGAAUUCUUGGGUUGAUAAAGAAAGUAUGGAAAAGGGGGUAAUGGGAAGGAUCUUUUGUGUAGUUGAGUCUAACUCUUGAUAAGUACCAGGUCUCAGGGAUCCCGCAGCGCAUAUGGUUUUUAUUGGGUGAUUCAGGACUGGCGACAGGGAGUUAGACAAGAUGACUAACGAAAGGGGAAUUAUGGGAUGAUUGAAAUGGGUGUUAGUUCAUACAAAUGGGCAUUCGGGACCAAGUGGUAUAAGCAUGGUAUGGGACGUGCAAAUCUGCUUGUCCAGUUAUAUGAAUUAACAGGAGUAGAUGAAGAGCAUUCAUUCAUGCAUUAUUAUUAAUAAUGUGAUAUUUGGCUGUGUGAUUGCAUGUCACUUAAUUUAGAUAUAUCAAUCUACUGCGGUAAGGUCUCAUGUCCCUACUGAGCGGUGGUUGUUCAUUCCUCACCCUGUUUAAUUUUUCAGAUGAAUUAGUAGGCAAGACAAAGACUAAACCAGUUGAGGCUAAAUUAGAUGAGAGUGAUAGAGCUUUAUUUUUUUAAUUUUAAAGUUGUAAGAUUUUGGGAGCUAUUUUUAUAAGAAAAGUUUAUUUUAUGUUUCAACUUCCUGUUAUUCUAUUUUACUUUUUAUUUUCUCAUGCACUGGGCACGAGGUUUCCACUAACCCCCAGGUCCGAGGCGUGACAGAAUGGUAUAAGAGCUUUAGGGAUUAAAUACCCUUGGGAACUGUGGUAUAGUAUUACCACAAAGUAAAUUUGAAUUGGUGAAGUAAGUUAGUGACCUAACUUUUCAGGAGCAUAUUUCUUUUUAUGAUUAAGUGUAGUUUACGGAAUAAUUGUUUAGUAUUGUUUUAUAUAUGUUGGUUUAAUUUGGUAGAAAUAUUUGGUAAAGGUUCAAUUGUUAAGAUAGCUAGAGUAGAUGGGAAACGUGACAAUGAUAAGAAUGGUAGCAUGAGGGUAAUACUAACCAUUCAGGAUAUGGCCUUUGCAAUACGUGAAACAAAUCAACAAAACCAAGAACCCCAUCAAGAGAUUCAAGGUUGUCAAACAAUGAGUGUUAAAGGAGAAAGAUAAAUGAACAAAGAGUUCUAGGAAAUCUGAAAGUGGCUAUUGCUUCUACCUAUUUGGGAGGAGCAAGGAGACUAGAAUAACUCACUCAAGGACAUGUGUAUGCUAUUGGACAAGUGACAAAGCAAAAUGAACCUACUAUGGUAGAAGGUACAUUUCUAGUUUACAACUCAUGGGCUAAGAUAUUGUUUGACCCCGGUGCUACAAAUUCAUUCAUCUCUAUUUCGUUUGCGUUUAUUCUUGGAUUAGAAUAUGAAUUUAUGAAAUCUUCAUUAAUGGUUGGAUCUCCAUUGGGUAAAUGUGUCGAAGUUAAUAAGGUGUGUAGAUCUUGCAUAAUAGAGAUAUCAUAUCAUAAACUUGUUGUUGACCUAAUGAUAUUGGAAUUAAUGGAGUAUGAUGUAAUAUUAGGGAUGGACUUGACCCAAUUUAAAGCUAUUUUUUAUUGUGGUAGAAAGAUGGUGACUAUGACUCUUAGCGAGGGAAAACAUGUAGUUUCUAUGGAAGUAGGAAUACUCACAUCAAUCUUGGAUAAUGGAAAUUGUAAUUAUUUGAGAUUGAUUGCUUACAUGGUCACUGAGGAUCUAAGUAAUACCAAGCUUGAGCUUAUCCAAAUAGUGAAAGAUUUCGGUGAUGUUUUCCCAGAAGAAUUAUAUGGAAUCCCCCUAGAAAUGGAGUUUUUCUAUAGAUAUUUAUCCUGGCAUGUCGCCUAUAUCUAUACCUCCACAUUGAAUGGCACCAAUAGAGUUGAAGGAACUCAAAACACAACUUCAAGAACUUGAAAGUAAAGGUUUUAUUCGUCCUAGUACCUUACCAUGGAGGUUUUUUCUCCAUUCUUUGUGAAGAAAAGUGAUGGAAGUUGUAACACCCCGACCUCAAAUUUAACCCUUAUUUAAGUAUUUAAUUAUUUAAGGGCAUUUUGGUCAUAUUUUUAACCGGAGAGAGUUUGGGGCAGUGACUAUGUCACAUCUCGGGAUCAACUCCGUCGUAGCACGAUAUUGUCCGCUUUGGGCCCCCCCUCUCUGGCCCUCACGGUUUUGUUUCUGGGAGCUCACGAGCAACUUCCCAGUGGGUCACCCAUCCUGGGAUUGCUCUGGCCCCAACUCGCUUAACUUUGAAGUUCUUACGACUUCGAAGCCAGUGAGCUCCCAAAAGGCCUCGUGCUAGAUGGAUGCGGGUGUGCAUAUAUAAGGCACAUCGCCCCCUCUCCGUUGGUUGAUGUGGGAUCUUACAAUCCACCCCCCUCAAGGGCCCGACGUCCUCGUCGGCACACUCACACCACACGGCAGAGUGGCUCUGAUACCAAAUUGUCACAUCCCGGAAUCAACUCCGUCGUAGCACGAUAUUGUCCGCUUUGGGCCCCCCCUCUCUGGCCCUCACGGUUUUGUUUCUGGGAGCUCACGAGCAACUUCCCAUUGGAUCACCCAUCCUGGGAUUGCUCUGGCCCCCAACUCACUUAACUUCGAAGUUCCUACGACUCCGAAGCCAGUGAACUCCCAAAAGGCCUCGUGCUAGAUGGAUGCGGGUGUGCACAUAUAAGGCACAUCGCCCCCUCUCCGUUGGUUGAUGUGGGAUCUUACAGACUAGUAUUUUUGGAUAGGUCGUACUGAGACGAGUUCAUAGACAUGUAGUGGGCUCGAAUCGGAGUUGUAACGAGAGAGAUAUGGUCAAAAGAAGCCCAGUGGCACAAUCGUAAAUAUUUCGAAAUAGGAUUUUUUUUAUAAAAACUCAGAUUUUCUCUCUCUCUCUCUCUCUCUCUCUCUCUCUCUCUCUCUCUCUCUCUCUCUCCCGCGGGUCUCUCUCUCCUCUCUCACGCGCGCGACGGCAGCUGGCCACGUUUUGGCCGGCCGUGCUCUCCUCCGACCACCAAUGACGACGGGACCGGUACCAAAAUGACCGGGCCGUCGUCCUCUCGAGCUGCUCUAGCUGAUGGUUGGGUAGGAUUAGAUCGAUUCUUAGCGUAGACAAUUCGAUUUUCGAAUUGAAAUUCGGCCGGUUUUGGGAUCGUGAUUCCGGCCACUUCCGGUCAGUUUUUGGGGUAGGUCCAAGAACAAAAGUGGCUCCAAAUAGGGUGUUAUACCUAGGGUAGGAGUUUGGAGCCGUCGUUUUGAGAUUUUCCGGCGAAGCGUUAUCGCUUUGGGCACCCACGGGCUGCCGGAGCGUGCGGCGGCGCGUGGGCACUGUAGAAAAAGUAGCAUGUGUUCCGAUGAGAUCCUUAGGUUGUCACGAGUGCGUAGGAUUUCGCGGAUCUCAAUUCGGACGUCGUUUGACUAUCGAACGGAUAUUCGCAUAUUGCGCGUUAUCCAGGUGCGAUAGGUUGGGGCCGUUGGAUGGACCCAAAUUUAAUAUAUGUUGAUCUAGGUAUUUCUAGGAUCGUGUAGGAAUUCACGGAUUGUGAAUCGGAGCCCCGAAUGUUCCGAAAAAUAAUUUUAAAGUUUUUAUUUUAUAUUAACCGUCAGAUCGUGCGAUCGUGAGCGAUCCGACCGUCCGAUCUGAAUCAAACUUGCAGGACAAGAGUCCUAUACCUGGUAGAACCCAUAGGGACUCUCGGAUCGGAAAUUGGAGGUCGUGGGUUCCGCAGGUCCUUUUGACCAGGGUUAUAGUAGUUUGACCCUUGGUUGACCGUGAGUCUCCCGGAGUAAUCUCACCUUUCUAGGGGAGAUUAUCGGGUACUAGAUUAUUGUGGAGGGUUACACAAUAUUAGAAUUAAUUUAUAUAUUUAUAAUUAUAAUAUGUUUGUACAAGAGUACAAAAGAGUCUAGACUGUCAGUUUGGAGUGCUAUACGCACUACUUUAGGUACCUUCCCGAAUUUUGGAUUCACUACAAGCACCACCAAGUGAAAGUUAGGUCUCACAUGGCGUAGGUUAUCCGGCGUUGAGACAGGCCCCAUACGUGGCGUUGGUUGUACCGGCAUAUGGGGAGAUAUUGUGAUAUUGUGUUGAGGUCGCACGUGGCGUAGGUUAUCCGGCGUGUCGACAGACCCCAUACGUGGCGUUGGUUGUACCGGCGUAUGGGGAGAUUUUUGAUAUGAUAUUGAGGUCCCGCGUGGCGUAGGUUAACCGGCGUUGGGACAUGCCCCAUACGUGGCGUUGGUUGUACCGGCGUAUGGGGAGAGAUGUGAUAUGAUGUGCAGGUCUCGCGUGACGUAGGUUAUCCGGCGUUGUGACAGAUCCCAUACGUGGCGUUGGUUGUACCGGCGUAUGGGGAGAUAUUAUGAUAGUAUGGCAUGGUCGCACGUGGCGUAGGUUAUCCGGCGUGUUGACAGGCCCCAUACGUGGCGUUGGUUGUACUGGCGUAUGGGGAGAUAUUAUAUGAAAUACAAAGAAAUGAAAUAAGGUAUCGCCCAAGUGUGGAAUUGGGUUUUAUGGAAGAACUACGUGUGGCUUGAUCCCUCAAGGAGGGUACGUAGGCAGCCUAAGGUUAUUAGCUGCAGCCGCAGACUAAAUAUUAGUCAUAAUUGGUAUUUGAAUUGUUUGGUAGUUGGUUAAGAAUUAUUGGAAGGCCGAAGGCCAUUUGUGCGAAUUGCAUGAAAUUAUAUUGUGCAUGCUGCCAGUUGGGAAUAUUAAAUGUGUUUCCAUGCAGGUAUAAAUUUUGGGAAAUGUCCAAUUUAUAGGGGAGACUCUGCCGAAUUUUCGGCAGGAAGUCUCGAUUUUUAGUAUUUGGGCCUGAUAUCGGGAGGAUGUCGGGAAUUUCAAAGGGUUCGCCUCGAGUUCUGAAAAAUUCGGGGCGGGUCCUUUCAGAAGUCUUAGGAUGUGUUUUGUUGCAAGCUAACAAAGUAGUUGCAUACGACUUUUUUCAAUUGAAAUGACAUGAAAAGAAUUAUCUAACACAUGAUCUAGAAUUGGCAACCAUUGUUCACACACUGAAGAUAUGGAGAUAUUAUUUGUAUGGGGAACGUUUUGAACUCUUUUUGGAUCAUAAGAGUUUGAAGUAUUUAUUGACUUAGAAGGAGUUGAAUUUAAGACAAAAGCGAUGGAUGGAAUACCUGGAAGAUUAUGAUUUUGACUUACAUUAUCUUCCAGGAAAGGCUAAUGUGGUAACAGAUGCUUUAAGUCAAAAUCCUCAAGGAAUUGUAGCAAGUUUGUAUGAUCAAAGGUGGAAGAUGGUGGAGUCUCUUUACGAUUUUGACCUAUAUAUAGGUGCGCAUGAGGAUUGUGCAUAUCUAUGUAAUUUGGUAACUCACCCCACUUUGAUUGGAAGAAUAAUUGAGGCACAGGAUUUGGAUUCUAUGUCUGAAGACAUUCGAACUAAGAUUACAACUAGAAAGACACAGGAAGGAUGGAGUAUCCUCACAAGCAGUGGAUUAAGAUAUUUGAAUAAGUUUUAUGUACCAAAUAUUUCUGAUAUAAGAAAUGAAGUUCUCAGAGAAAGUCAUCAUUCACCUAUACAAUUCAUUCUAGAGGGACAAAGAUGUAUCGUGAUUUUAGACGUAAUUUUUGGUGGAGUAGUAUGAAGGGAGGUGUAGAAAUAUUUGCAGCAAAAUGUCUAACAUGUUAGCUGGUGAAAACUGAAUAUCAGAAACCGUCAAGUCCAUUACAGCCAUUACCAGUAGUAGAAUGGAAAUGAGAUCAUAUAACAAUGAAUUUUGUUACAGGUUUACCUAAAUAUCCAAAAGGACGUGAUGCAAUAUGGAUUAUGGUGGAUCGUUUGACCAAAUCUGCACAUUUCAUACAGUCAAAUCAAUGGAUUCCACUAAAAAUCUUGGAAAGCUUUACGUUAGAGAUAUAGUAAGAUUACAUGGAAUUCCUAUUUUGAUUGUAUCGGAUAGAGAUUCCAAGUUUACUUCUAAAAUUUGGGGAAGCUUACAGAAAGUGUUAGGUACGCAACUAAAUUUGGUACCGCCUUUUAUCCCCAAACUUAUGGACAAUUGGAGAGAACUAUUCAAAUUUUAGAGGACUUGUUGAGAGCAUGUAUUCUAGAUUUGGAGGGAAGUAGUUGGGAAGAUCAUUUAGUGGUAGUAGAGUUUGCCUACAACAACUAUCAGUCUAGCAUUCAGAUACCACCUUAUGAAGCUUUAUAUUGAAGACCUUGUCAAUCACCUGUGUGUUGGACUGAAGUAGGAGAAACUGUAUUGCUAGGACCUGGUUUGGUACAAGAGACAACUGAAGGGAUUAAAGUUAUCAAGCAACGUCUUUUAACUACUCAAAGUUGACAAAAGAACUAUGUAGACCGAAGAAGGAAAACAUUAAGUAUUGACGUGGGUGAUUAUGUAUUUCUUAAACUCUCACUACUAAGUGGAGUAAAAAAAGGUUUGGGAAGACUGGAAAAUUAUCACCAAAGUUUGUUGGACCAUUUGAAAUCUUAGAAAGGAUGGGUGAAGUAGCUUAUAAGUCAGCAUUACCACCUCAACUGUUGAAUGUACCUGAUGUUUUCCUUGUUUCUAUGCUUCGAAAGUAUGAGCCUGAUCCAACCCAUUUUCUAGAUUGAGGAGAGCUCAAUUUAGAUGAGGAACUGUCAUUUGAAGAAAGACCGACUCAGAUUUUGGAUUCUAAGGAACAAGUGUGACGUACGAAAAUAAUAUCAUUGGUCAAAAUUCUUUGGGUACAUGGGAAUACAUUGAAAGCUACAUGGGAAUUAGAAACUAAAAUGUGUAAGAAGUACCCAUAAAUUUUUCCCUUAUUCCAGUUUUUCUUUUUAAAUUUCGAGGACGAAAUUUCUUUAAGGAGAGUAGAUUGUGAGAGUCUGUUUCUUAAAUGUUCAUUAAAGAAAAAUAAAUGUUAUUAUAUAUUCUUAAGUAAUUAUCUUGCUAAGAAGGAAAUGUAUAUUUAUAAUUGUUUUACGUUUAUAAUACCAUUUCAAUAGUUAUGUGUAUAUUAUUUCAUUAAAUAUUUAUAUAUACAUAUGUUCUUUUGAAUAAAAAGGGUUAAAUUAUAUAUUUGUUCAUUAUUUCUUGGGAUGCCAUUAGAUGGUUAUUGGGUGCUUUAUAUACAUAUAUAUUAAUAACAUGGAUUAACAGUUUAGACCUGGCAUCCUUACAUUGUUUUCUUGGAGAGAAUGACUGUUUCUCUCUUAUCUUAAUUUGGAUGCUGGAUGUGGUUUUUUCCAUUAAAUUAGUUGAUGCAUUACCAUGCAUUUGGACAGCUCAUGCUUACAAUUUGGUGAAUAAGUCUAUCUUAGCUUGAGGUGGAGUUUAUAAUUUCAAUAGGUGUCACAGCCUUUGGAAAUAAAUCUCCUGGCGUUGACACAUAUAUAGCAACUUAUAAAAAAGAGUGGCGACCAAGUUAUCUUUUUGUAUAGAUAAGAUAAUGGGCUUUGUUAUUAUCCUCUCCACUGUUACCGCCAUCUCACCACCUAUAAAUAGGAGUGUUAAUGAAAGGAACAUAUAUCAUGCAACAUGAGAGAGAGAGAGAGAUAUGAUGAUGAUGAUGAAAUCCUUGGAAGAGAUUAGGACUUAACUUGUAUUUUCUUAACAUAGAGAUAUGUUUUGGAAUCGAGAUAGGAGUUUUUUGGUGACCUUUUACAAAGAUUGAUCUAAUUAAAUUUUGUGAGCACUAUAUUAUGCAUGAUAUUAUUAUUUGAUUAUUAUUGAUAUUGGGUGUUUAAGUGUUGUUAAUUAUCAUCAUAUUAUUUUAUUCAUAUUGACAUGAUCAUAUGUUAUCGGUGAUGGCUGGAAUUCUUGGGUUGAUAAAGAAAGUAAGAAAAAGGGGGUAAUGGGAAGGAUCUUUUGUGUAGUUGAGUCUAACUCUUGGCAGGUACCAGGUCUCAAGGAUCUCGCAGUGCACAUGGUUUUCAUUGGGUGAUUCGGGACUAGCGACAGAGAGUUAGACAAGAUGACUAACGAAAUGGGAAUUAUGAGAAGAUUGAAAUGGGUGUUUGUUCAUAUAAAUGGGCAUUUGGGGCCAAGUGGUAUAAGCAUGGUAUGGGACGUGCAGGUCUGCUUGUGCAGUCAUAUGAAUUAACAGGAGUAGAUGAAGAGCAUUCAUUCAUGCAUUAUUAUUAAUAAUGUGAUAUUUAGCUGUGUGAUUACAUGUCACUUAAUUUAGUUAAAUCAAUCUACUGUGGUGAGGUCUCAUGUCCCUACUGAGUGGUGGUUUCUCAUCCCUCACCCUGUUUAAUUUUUCAGAUGAAUUAGUGGGCAUGACAAGGACUAAAUCAGUUGAGGCUGAACUAGAUGAGAGUGAUAGAGCUUUAUUUUUUUUAAUUGUAAAGUUUUAAGAUUUUGGGAGCUAUUUUUAUAAGAAAAGUUUAUUUUAUGUUUCGGCUUCUUUUUAUUCUAUUUUACCUUUUAUUUUCUCAUGCACUGGGCACGGGGUUUCCACUGACCCACGGGUCCGGGGCGUGACAAGGGUUAAUCGUUUUAUUCGUUCUUGGACUUAGACCUGGUUUGCAUUUGAGUACCUCAAUUUCCAAAAUCGUUCUCAUAUUCCUUUAACUUCACUUUUGUUAGGACAAAUGGUCCAGCCAUUAAUUUUGUUAACUUUUUCUGUUAAAUGCAGGGGCAAAAUGGUAUUUUUAUAUUAAAACCAAAAGAAUAAAUAAAUAAUCACAUCUUUAAAAUAACAAUAAAAUCAAAUCAAAUAAAAAACCAACCAAAAAAAAAUCGAGUUUGGGAAGAGUAGAAAUCGGGAUAGAGGGGGAGAGAGAGAGUUUAAUUUUAAUUUUUUAUUCAUAUUUUAAUCAAUUUAAUACAAAAUGAGGAGAACUACCCCCCCUCUUCUUCUCUUUUUAUUCACUACAUGCCAUGUAAAGAGAAGAACUAAAUGAGGUUAGGUUAUUAAAAUUGGGUGAGCUAGGAUUCUAUUUUUUUUGGCUGGAAAAAAGAAGCCACCUGGGUUGCCAAACUAAAGGUACAUCCGUGGGUAAGCUAGGAUUUUAUUUUUUUUUGGCUUGAAAAAAGAAGCCACCUGGGCUAUAGCCCAGGUUUGCCAAACUAAAGGAAGGUCUGUGGGUGGGCUAGGAUUUUAUUUUUUUGGCUGGAAAAAAGAAGUAGGUUUGCCAAACUAAAGAUCCGUCUCUGUUUCCACUUCAACCCAUUUACAAUCAAACUAUUUUAUGACUAAAACACUUCACAUUAAUGAUAAUUUUAUUAAACUAAAACACAGUUUUAUGAGUCUACUUAUGGAGAAAAACUUAGUUGCAAUGAGAUAACACUAUUUUGCUAUCCUUAUUUCAUAAAAGUCUUUCUCCUACUUAUGACUAUGGUUGCAGCCUGCAAUAUUCUUAAAAUAAUAAAAAAAUAAAAAAAAUAAAAAAAGUAGCUAUUCUGAAGGACAUUACCUCACUUUUGCUGUAUAAAUACUCUGCAUUUGCAAGCACUGCAAUGCACACACAAAAGCUAAGAUGGAUUCCAGAGAAGUAGCAACUAAGCCACACGCUGUUUGCAUUCCAUUCCCUUAUCAAAGCCAUAUAAAGGCAAUGCUUAAAUUUGCAAAGCUCCUCCACCACAGAGGUUUUCAUAUAACCUUUGUUAACACAGAGUUCAAUCACAAGCGCUUUCUUAAAUCUCAAGGACCCAAUUCCCUUGUUGGCUUGCCUGAUUUUCAAUUCGAUGCCUUCCCGGAUAGCCUUCCGGAUUCAGAUGAAGAUGCCACACCAGAUGCCACCUUGCUUUGUGAAUCCAUCAGAAAAAAAAAAUUCUUGGCUCCCUUUCAUGCCCUCCUUGCAAAAC